rnacentral:lncRNA from 1 species
AUAAUCAAAAUUACAAAAUCAUAGUCAAUUUAUAUACUGUCUGGCAAUUUCAUUAGUUCCUAUUUUGCUUCCAGAAAGAUCACGAAAAACAAUCAAGCAAAGGAAAGAAAUAAACUAGACGCAGCUAGUGCUAGGGUUUUAGAGAAAGAUCGCUUACGAGGAUUGCCUUGUGCGCGCACACAUCUGGCCCCUCACACGCCUUGAGCGUCACAUCCAACAGUGGCAAAUCGAGGGUGUCCUGGUCCCAGGCACGCAGGAAUUUGGCCUGGCAAGCCACCGCUUAGAGGCGGCGCUCCUUGUCCCGGAGGUGUCCCCACCAGCGACUCCAGCCUGUGGAUCCGGCCCCUGUGGCAUCGAUCACAAUACGCGAACUCCAUCGCGUAGGAGCGAAACUCGUACCCUGAGAGGAGCCUCUUGCAUCCACGCGAGGCAUAUUCCCGUGUGAGGGAAUUUUUUUUCUUUAGAAGGGUGUUUGAAAGCGUAACAGCAGAAUUUAGGUUAGGACUAGAUAAACAAAAAGGUACCAAUAAGAAAGAAAAAUUAGUCAAAUAAAAUUGAAAAUAAAAUCGAAAAGGUGCCAAAAAGGAAUACAUAAACCCUAUGUUAAAAGGUAAAUCACUAUAUAAAUCUAGGUAUCAAAGUGAUCACAACACAACAAAGGAUCAAUGAGGAAGCUUGUGCUAGCUGCUUUCUUGGCUAUAUUCUUUGCAGGAGCUACUUCUUCGCGAUUGUUAGCGUCUACUCCACCACGAUCUCCAUCGCCAGGAUCUCUAGCAGUGGAGAAAUCGAUCUCUAUAGCUGUUUCUUACACAGGAAAGGAUACCUUCGCCGAUGGAACCCUUUUGACGUGCCCGCAAACCGCGAUUCAUCCCAACGUUAUGGUCCCAGGAGAUGUUGAUCCUGCGCAGCUUUACUCCAUCGUGAUGAUAGAUAGGCGAGCUUCGCGGUCGAUGUUUACAUUGGCAGAUCAAUUCACGUACGUCCACUAUUGGAUCGCCAACAUCCCUGGAUCAAAGGUUGACGCUGGCACCAUUUUGGAGGAGUAUAUGAGGCCUGCACCCCACGACUUCAUGCAGCACAAGUACGAGUUUAUACUGUAUAAGCAGCAAGGGCAGAUCAAUACGCCUCUCGCGGAUAGAUUCGUCAAGGACUGGGAAGCGGUCGCAAGUGCUUACAACCUUGGCAGCCCAGUAGCAACGACUUCCUUUGUUGCGCAGCUCACCCUAAACUUUAGAACGAGAAUGUUCCAAUGUUAAAAAGGUGGCUUCUUUGAAUCAUUGCGUGUUGUUCGAAACUAGAGAAAAGAGAUUCAACUAUUGUUAGAACAAGAUCGUCCUAAUGUUAUAAAGGUGGCGAGAUUACAGAUGUAAUGUUCUUUGAAUUAAGAGAACGAAAAUAGAGAAAAGAGAUACGAUUACAGUUUAGAGUGGUGUAUGGUACUGUUUCUCAAGAACACUGUCCCGGAUAGGACGACUUUGCCUCUCUCUUUAACUUUGCACUUGAAGGAGAUCCUGAAAGAAGAAGCAAGUGUUAUGGGGAUGGUCUAGAAACGAUUGCGGGCGCUUACUGCGAGCUCUCACCUUGUUCUUUCUUCAUCAAUGUUACGAGCGUUUCGCCCGGAUAGACGUGGUGCAGGAACCUGGAGCUGAUCCUCGCAAUUCUCGUCGUCGGAUCGCCGUCACAGCAGCACCGAAUUAUAGCUCGCACGGCAUAGCCAAGCGUGCAAAGCCCAUGAAGAAUGGGACGCUGGAAGCUGUGUUUUUAAAUCCCGUCACAGAAGUCAUUCGCAAGAACAAAGCUUACCCCGCAUCUGCGGCGAACUUUGGGUCCGAAUGCAAGGGAUUCAUGUCUCCUGAAAGACGGUAAAGUAACGCCUACAUCACGGACAAGUAACUUACGCUCUAAAAGGGAAAACCAAAAAAGAAAAUUAAUCUCUCGUUUACCUGGUUCGGCCUGAUUUGAUCUUCAAACUGGAAGUCUGGAGGAGUUGCGUCGAAUUCUUUCUCAUUGAAACUGAUGGCUGGAAACUGCGACGAUGUUCGCGACGAGAAGGAGAACGGGUUUCCAGGACCUGCCGAGAAUCCGCCAGCACCGCGUAAAAAUGCCAAAGUCCUGCAAAAUUGUUGACUUAGCGCUAGGCCUACUCUCCAAUGGGACAAAAGCUACAGCACCUUUGCAGACAUAGCACUUCCCCGGUAUCGAUGUCUCGGUGCAAGAGUUCCAUUUCAAUUAACGCGGCUCCUGGAAAAGUGACGCUCAGGCCUAUCAUUUUUGCGCAUGAAAAACGAAACAGUCGUACCUUUGUCGUGAAGACCUGAAAUUCGUUUGCUCCUACGAACCUGAAUUUACAAAGAUAAAGACACUUGAAAUUCAAGGAAAAAGAGAAAAGAGAAACCUUACCCGUGCACUCGUUGGAUGUGGUUUGUAAAUUUCCACAUACUGUUCACCACCAGUAGCUUCGGAUCAAAGCUGCAAAUUAUAUACAUUUUUUUCCAGGCUAAAACAAGAGAUGGCAGUUAGGUUAGGAAUUAGAUUUUGUAACUUUGAUUAUGAAUGGGAAGAUAUGAUGUCAAUCUAGAAAGACGCUUGCUGUCUGAUCAAUCUUGGUGCCAACAAAAUCUGGUGAGUUCUGUAGAUUGUGAUCCAAAAGCUGCAGCAGCAGAUAGAGGUGGAACUGUGAUGGAGAGAUAUCCACAGCAGCACACUGGGAGCCAGAUGAAGGAGCCUCAGAUUCAAAUUAUGAUAGCGGCACAUUGGGAGCCAGAGGAGCCAGGCAGAGAUCUCCAAUCCAAGAGGAUUUUCAUCCAGAUGGAUGAAUGUAACCUCUCAUUAACUACACAAGAAGACACUCUACAGAAGUUUGGUGGUGUGUCCCUAAAGAGACUAUUAAUGUCAAGCAUGACAUUCUGCCAUAAAUACCUUCACUUCUGGAGAACAUGAAACAGAUGGCUUGAAGGAACUCUAUUAGUGAUUAAGGAAUUUUGGCAUGGCAGUAAAUUUUGAUAGAGUCAUGGAUUUUCUGUCAGGAUCUCAUUUCUGCAUCAACAUCUCCACAUGCAAUGUGAAUGGCAAAGAAAAUUUACAAGAGGAGAAAGAUCACAAAAGGUGAUUGUUUGUUCAUUCUUUUUUUCUUGCGUGUUCUUAUUUUCAGGGUCCCAUGCUUAGCAUCACUCCAAAGAAGGCCAAUUGGGACUUGUGUAAAGACCUACAAAGAAGCUGGAGAAACUGGAGAAACAAACAAUGCAUGCUAUUCUAAGCUUCUAUGUUCUUGAAACUUAUCUUAGUUUUCUUUCUCUCUGGCUGCUCAAAGCAGGCUAUAACAAGACUAAAUUAAGUUUCUAUUCUCUACGAUGUCACUUUUUUGUUCUCAAGCUUUGAUAUUUAGAGCUGUUUCUGCUUGAGCACUUUGACCACCAGUUCCUUUGGGUGCAUAAUCCUGUAGUGCCACUUUUUUAAGCCUGCUUAUCUGCUUGAUAAAGAGAGGAAGUGGCUGCAAUCUCGUUUGAUUUGCUUCUUCUCAUUACUAGGGUUUGGGACCACUAGGUUGUGCUCCAAAGAAGGCAGGAUUUUGUUUCUCAAGAUUACGUUGCAUUUCUAGAGUAAGGCUGUGGUGUCGUCGCAGAACCUCGAAGAAGGCAAGAUUUAGUUUGAUUUCUUCUUCUCAAGUGCUUGACAUUGCCAAGGUUUGGGAGGCUAUAGCAUCAUCACAGUACCACUAAGUUGCGAUCAGAGGAGAACAAUCUCAAAACACACUCACCGACCAGCUCUAAAUGGAGUGCGACAUAAGUCAAUUCCAUUCAUGUUGAUGUCUUGCUUAAGCAAUCUCUCUGGAGACCAGAUGGAUAGAUUUUUGGACCACAUGUUUACUAUGGCUAUGCAGGGAUGUGGUGAGCAGCCAAGCUUACAUCAUGAAUUGCCAACCAAGACCAGGAGAGCAAGGAUGCAUCUGAAGAGUUUCCUUCACAACAGCUUGGCUAGUGAAAUUUUUGUCAUUCUUCCUAAAAUUUUGCCAUAAAAGUUUCCAUAAAAGUUUUUUUGAAAAAAUCCUCUAUCCAGGCUGGCAGUGUUACUUGAGGCUGUAAAUAUCACCAGCAAGCCUAUUAUUGAAAAGAACUGUAAAUGUGGGAAGAACCUUCUAACUGUCAAUAGAAGAAGAAAAAAAAAACACUUAGUAGUACUUACCAUGAACUCUAUGUUCUUCCACAGUUUCCAUGAAGGAGUUAUGUGUCUAUUUACCUGCAAAGUGAAAGAAAUCAUCUCAAACCUACUGAAAAAAAAGCUUAACACUAGGAUCUUUGAUGAAAAACUAUUGCAGUUGCCAACUAUAAUCCAAGCCUACUCCAUAUGCAAAAGCAUGAAUCAAGUCAUGUAAUUAUCACUGAAAAUACCAGCUUUUCCAAAUCGAAGCUUCCUCUUGCUUCCACAAAACACAUCUGAAAGUCAUAAACUUCAAGCACUUCUUGGCUGCUUCUCUUAGAAAUGGAAGUGCAUGCUCUCCUAUGUCAGAAAAAGAAUAGCUUUUGUCUAUAAAAAUGUUAAAAAGAGAGAUUUUGAUUGGUAUUAUAGGAUUUUGUUUAUUAUACUGGACUGGAUAGCAACAUAGCUUUUCGAUCUUCCUCGCAUUCAUUACUAUUCUUCUCAAAACUUGGUAGCCAUCAUUUUCACUAAAAUCUAAAACAAGCACUAACUAAAGUCAUGUAGAUACUUAAGUUCAUUAAGAAAUUUAGACCACAUAAAGUGCUGGUAUGGUAGCAAGAAUUAUAGUUGAGGCCUUUGGAGUAUGUACAAUGUUUGUCAGGGAAAGCUAAACAAAGCUAAAUAUGAAAGACUUCCUGACUCUCACUAGAAAAGGUAGACAAACCAAAAAGACACAAGUGCUCACAUGUGAAAAAAUAUGUGGGAUUGAGAGCUUUUUCUUUGGCAAGGCUAUUGUUAAACAUGACUUUCACUCAAAAGCAUUAACAUAAAUCUUUCAAGGAAUAACAACAAAAAAAAAAGAAAGUGGAAAGAAAAAUAAGAUGAAAAACCUCUCAUCCAAAUCUCUUACUCAAAAGCUUUAGAAACAAGCUUUCAUGGAAGAAGAAAUCAAAUAAAAAAAUAACAAUAAAACUUAAGGUUUUAUUUAAAGUUUUUUGUUGCAAAUGUGAUUGUAGAUAUCAAAAAUUAUCUAUUGGUAAGUCUUUUCAAAUAUUCUUCUCUUAUUGCCAUAACGGCAAAAAGUCAGUAUUGUUAAUUCUCUUUAUUAGUCUUUGUCCAAGUUAGUUGAAAAAUUGAUCAUUAUGUAUAUGCUUAUCCCAGAUAAACAUAAGGUAAGAACUUCUAUGUGUUUUUGCUAAGUACAUUCAACCUAAGAUAAGAAACUCAUAUAUUACUUUGCACUUAUUAGUGUUGGGAAUCCCUGCAAUAUUAACAUUGGUCCCUUAAUAUUCAUUAUAUAAUAGCUUAUUGUGUCUGCCAAAACACUCUUAUUAUCAUUCCCCAUUUGGUCCCAUUAACAAUUUAUAAAAAGUUAUAAAAUCUAGAUUUAUUAGUGAGACAUAUCUAUGAUAUGUAAAGAUUAUCUUGAAUAUGAUGGUUUUGAACUUGCAUUAGAUUUACAAUCUAGCACCAUUCCACAUUUAGAAAAUCUUGUCCUUAUAUUGCAUCUAGAGGCCCAAACUCCAUACUAUGCUAACCAAUGGAGUACCUAUAUUUUUAUGUUAAGCCACUAAUAUGCUGAAAUAGUAUUAAACUCUAUUAGCUUUGUUUUGUGUGUUGGUCUUAGUGUUAGGAUAUUAGAUCUUUUAAAACUAUUCCAAAGUCAUUCUAUACUCCUGCCUUUUUGGUCAUUAAGUUAUAUAUUUAAAAGUUAUUUUAUGCCUUAGUUCCUUCACUCUAGAGCUAUAUACCUAAGAGUUUGGCUUCAUUCUUUCAUUCAGUGCCUUGAGGCCUUGAAACUUAAGUUUCACUCUACUGCUUUUGGCCUAUGUAUUUAAGGGUUUAGGUUUCACUUUAUGGUUAUUCUAUAGUAAAUCACUAUAAGGUAAAUUGUAAAAACCAUGUAUAUUACAUUUUUAAGUAGAAAGAUUUUACUUCUUGGUUUUUUUUUUUUUUUUUUAAUUGUUGUUUAUUUGAUUUUACCUUGGAUUUUUUUGUUGUUAUUGGAUUGUAAGUGAUGAAAUAUUUUUUUGUUAUUGAAUUUUAUUAUUAUUAUUAGAUUUCACCUUUUGGAUUUUGGGGUCCCAAUUCUUUAACUCAAAAGCUUUAAAACAAAGCUAAAACUAAAGUAAAAGUAAUAAGAACCAAUCAUCCCAUUCUAAUCUUAAUUAUUGCCAAUCCAGGAAAAUCAUACUAGUGAUCUAGUGAAAUUGCUAGAAAGUAUAUAUAUUGAUAUAAUUUUGAUUAUAAAUGGGAGAUAUUGACUAACAUAAUGUGGCCACAAUGCCCUAUUAAGUAUUAUGCCUUAAAAUGAAAAAAAUUUAUAGAUGAGUUUGAUGUGGAUCUGGAAAAUACUUGUUGUUCAAUUGAUCUUGGCAUCAACAUUGUUGUUGAUAUUUAGUGAAUUAUAUUAGUGAUCUAGAAACCACAGUAGUAGAUAGUGUUUAAGAUCUAGGUGGAGUUAGAGAAGAUCAUAAUGGAGCAAUAGCAGAUAUAGCAUUAGAUUGUGAAGUAAUAAUAGCCUUAUUAAAACCUAAAGGUAUGUAAAAAGCUAAGUGAAGCUUUAGAUUCAGAUUGUGAUCUAGAGCUUGGGAAAGCUGCAUUAUUACACUGGGAGCCAAACGGUAAAAAGCCUCAACCUAAGCUAGCUAGAGCCUCAAAUUGAGAUAAUGAUCCAAAGCUUAAGGAAGCCAUAAUAGUAUAUUAGGAGCUAGAGGAGGAAGCCUUAAAUUCAGAUUAUGAUUUGGAGUUUAAUGGAGCCAUAACAGCUAGAAAAGUUAGGUAAAGAGCUUGAAUUUGAGAGGAUUUUCAUCUAGGUGCAAUAAAUAAUGAAUGAAUAGAACCUUUCUUUAGCUACACAAAAAGACAUUUUACAAAAUUCUGGAGGUGUGUUCACGAAGAGACUAUUAUAGAGAUAUAAAUAAUUUUGAACAAGGUCUUAUUGUAGUGAAGGUAACUUAUCCUGCUAUAAAUGCCUUUUCUUAUGAAGAAAACAAAAUGAAUGGUUUAAAGAAACUCUAUCGAUGAUCAAGGAAUUUUAACAUGGCAAUAAGUUUUGGCAGUCAUAGAUUUUAGGAUCCAAAUUUAUCUUUUGGAUCAAUCAAGGUAAUAUAUCAUUCAAAUUUUUAUCCUCUAUUCUAAAGGUUCCUUUUCACAAAAAGUGAUCUUUAUCACUAUGGGGUGAUUUUACAUUAGGAUGGCUGUUAAGGCUCAAAGAUCGUCCACCACCUUUAUGCCAUCAUAAAAUCUGAAAUUCUGAAUGGUGGAGAAGUUUAUUUAAACCAUUACCACUAUUUUUUAUUCCCUUUUCAAGAAGUUUAACUAAAAAGGAUAUCAAAUAGGUGUUAAGCAACUUUCAGUAAUGAUCUAGAGUAACUUUUCCUCACAAGUGUAGAAGUGGAUUUCAAUUAUCCAGAGGCAAGUGAUUUAUUUUGAGAGUUUUGCUUUUUGCUUUUAUAGGAGAUUAUCCUACUUUGUGUAAGGCCAAAAUAUUUCUCUCUGGAGCUCUCCAUUGUCAUUGACACUUUUUUUUAAUAAGGAGAAUCACAAAUGUACAGGACCACAUUGAUAUUUAAGAAAAGAAGAAGAGGACAAAAGUUAUCAUAUAUCUCAAUAAUUGAUUGCAAAGUAGAUUUCUAACACAAAAAAGGCUUGUAAGCAUACUCCUCAUCCAUAUCAAAGAGUUACAUGAAAUGCUAUUACCAAAGUUUUAGCAACUGGGUAUUUUGAGAGUAUUAGAUACAAACUUAUGAUGAACUUUAAAGAAAAAUGAACUUUUGUUUCUAUUUUAAAACUUUAGAGGCUUUACAAGAUAUAUGAAUUUGAUUUGUUGCUGCUUUGAAAUUUUUUAUAAUGUACUUUUUAUAGAAAUUGAGUGUUAUGAUGUGUAUUUUAUCAUGAAUAAGAUUUACUGCUUAAUCAUAAAAGCAAAGUUGACAAGAUUGUUAUAUAUAUCUGACAAUAACUACCUUUUAACAUAGUAGGAAGCAUUUAGCCUCAGGAAUUUGAACAAUACCAACUAUUCAAUGUUGAAGAAAACAAAGCAUUCAUUCAACUUUUCUUGAUCUAAUUUUUUAAUGUUCCCAAAGAUAUUUUAAAUUGAUAUUAUACACUUUUUUUACACACAUACAGUUGCAGAAGGUUAGACAAAAAGUGCUCUUUAAGUUAAAAGGACACUCUUGUGUGCUUUUGGUAUUUAUUGUGAAAAAAUCUUAUAAACUAAACAUAUCACCACUUGAGUAUGGUUUUUAUCUUUUCCACUCUUAAUAUUCAUUUUUAUUAUUCAUAAAGUGGGGAGAUGAUCAAUAAUAUGGAGUGGCAUGUGUCACAUUACAUAAUAUGGUGCUAUAGGUUUGAGAGGAUAGUCAAGAAGUAUUCAAGCAUUAUGAAUAACUAACAUAUUUCAUUUAUAUCGUUUACUUAUUUUCUAUUUUAAUAAUUGAUGACAAGUGAUGUAAGUUCAAUCUAUUACUUCUCAAAACUUUUAACAACUGAAGUUAUAUAUGAUAGAUUUGACAAUGAAGACAGCAAAUUACCUUUAGAAUGGCUAUAAACUCUUAUUAGAAUAGCUGUACAAAAAAUUAUGGAAAGAGUGUUAAAUAUAUAUAUAGUAAAUUGUUGAUUAUUACAAGUUUUGAGUUGGUAUUUUGAUGCACAUAUAAGCUCAAAAGAGGAGGCUUAAAAAGUCGGAAGUCAACUUAUUAAAUUUGUUGAGAAGUGAAAAUUUAAGUCCAUUUUCUAAACUACUUUAUUAAGAGGUGUUUUCUAUGAAACAGGAAAGAGAGUGAUAUUAUCAAAUGGACAUUAAGUAGAGAGUAAAUAUUUUUACAUGCUUAAAGGCCAUAAUUUAUAUUUUCAAGGGAGUUAUUUGAAAUGAGGCAUGCAAUUCCUUUCUUUGUAUUUUGUUUUGAAUGGUCUGUUAUUUUUAGCUCAAAGUUAUAGGAAACACCAUCUACUUCCUUUGCCUAUAGAAAAAUUCUUCCUUUCAAUCUCAGAUAUUUUACAUCAUUGUCUUUUACUUGAGUUUCACCACAACACAAAUUUAGCCUUUGAAUACAAGCUCCAUGACAAACUACUUCAACUAAGACAUAUAAGGAAUUUACCAAUUUAUCCAAGAAAAGGCAAUAUUAUAGGUAAUGGUUUAACACCAUCCAUCCAUCAUCCAUCAUGAAAUUCAACUUUUAUAACAAUACAAGAAUGAUGAAUGGUCUUUGAGCUUUGAUAAUCAUCCCAAUAUAGAAUCGAUACAUAUUGACAAGGAUCACCCUAUAUGAAAAAGAACCUUUAUAAAAGACGAUAGAAAGUUGAAUGAUACAUUAUCUUGAUUGAUCCAAAAGAUGAAUUUAAAUCUUAAAAUCUAUAACUCUGCCAAAACUUACUAUUGUGCUAGAAUUCCUUGAUCAUUAAUAAAAUUCCUUCAAACCAUUCAUUUCAUUUUCUCCACAAGUGAAGGUAUUUAUAGCAAGAUGACACACUUGAUAUUAGUAAAUUCAGCUGCUUAGCUAGUGGAAGAUAGUGAAACAUAAAAUUACCUUCAUUGCAAUGGUACUUUGAUAUGGAUACCAUUCUAUCUCAAUAAUAGUCUCUUUAGAGACACACCUUCAGAAUUUUGUAGAAUGCCUAAUGAAAGGUUUUAUUCAUCCAUUGCUUGCAUCUGGAUGAAAGUCCUCUCAAAUUUAAGUUCUCUACCUAGCUCCUUUAACUCCUAGUGUGUUGCUGUGGCUCUAUCAAGCUUUGGAACAUAGUCUAAAAUUAAGGCUCCUUCCUUUAACUCUUAGUGUCCUAUUAUGACUUCCCCAAACUUUGGAUAAUUUGAGGCUCCAUCUAGCUCAAAUUAAAGCUUUAUGCAUGUGCUGCUACAGCUUCCCUAACCUCUAGAUCAUAAUCUGAAUUUAAGGCUUCACUUAGCUCAGAUUGAAACUCUUCACAUAACUCCUCUAACUCCUUAUAUGUUAUUGCUACUUCAUAAUUUGAUGUUAGAUCUGUUAUUGUGAUUAGUUCUCCAUCAUGAUCUUCCACCUAGAUCGCAACCACUAUUGCUUCUAAUUCACAAUCUACAAAACUCAUUAAAUCUUGAGUGAGUUUUGUCGGCACCAAAAUCAAUUAGACAUAUGUCCUCCAGAUGUGCUCCAAAGCCACAUACAGAUCUUCUGCAUUUUAGGGCAAAAUACUGCAGUGUAAUCAAUAUAAUCAAAGUUACAAAAUCAUAGUCGAUUUAUAUACUGUCUGGCAAUUUCACUAGUUCCUAUUUUGCUUCCAGAAAGAUCACGAAAAACAAUCAAGCAAAGGAAAGAAAUGCCAAUGGAUGGAGCUAGUGCUAGCGUUUUAGAGAAAGAUCGCUUACCAGGAUUGCCUUGUGCGCGCACACAUCCGGCCCAUCACACGCCUUGAGCGUCACAUCCAACAGUGGCAAAUCGAGGGUGUCCUGGUCCCAGGCACGCAGGAAUUUGGCCUGGCACGCCACCGCUUGGAGGCGGCGCUCCUUGUCCCGGAGGUGCUGCUGCGCUCCCCACCAGCGACUCCAGCCUGAGAGGAGCCUCUUGCAAAGCAACGCGAGGCAUAUUCCCCCUCUCUCUUUUCUUUAACGCGGCAUGUUUGAAACGUAACAGCAGAAUUUAGGCUAGGACUAGAUAAACAAAAGGGUACCAUUAAGAAAGCAGAAUUUAGGUUAGGACUAGAUAAACAAAAGGGUACCAUUAAUAGUCUAGGUGCCAGAAAGGAAUGCAUAAACCCUAUGUUAAAAGGUAAAUCACUAUAUAAAUCUAGGUAUCAAAGUGAUCACAACACAACAAAGGAUCAAUGAGGAAGCUUCUGGUAGUUGCUUUCUUGGCUAUAUUCUUUGCAGGAGCUACUUCUUCGCGAUUGUUAGCGUCUACUCCACCACGAUCUCCAUCGCCAGGAUCUCUAGCAGUGGAGAAAUCGAUCUCUAUAGCUGUUUCCUACACAGGAAAGGAUAACUUCACCGAUGGAACCCUUUUGACGUGCCCACAAACCGCGAUUCAUCCUAACGUUAUGGUCCCAGGACAUGUUGAUCCUGCGCAGCUUUACUCCAUCGUGAUGAUAGAUAGGCGAGCUUCGCGGUCGAUGUUUACAUUGGCAGAUCAAUUCACGUACGUCCACUAUUGGAUCGCCAACAUCCCUGGAUCAAAGGUUGACGCUGGCACAAUUUUGGAGGAGUAUAUGAGGCCUGCACCCCACGAUUUCAUGCAGCACAAGUACGAGUUUAUACUGUAUAAGCAGCAAGGGCAGAUCAAUACGCCUCUCGCGGAUAGAUUCGUCAAGGACUGGGAAGCGGUCGCAAGCGCUUACAACCUUGGCAGCCCAGUAGCAACGACUUCCUUUGUUGCGCAGCUCACCCUAAACUUUAGAACGAGAAUGUUCCAAUGUUAAAAAGGUGGCUUCUUUGAAUCAUUGCGUGUUGUUCAAAACUAGAGAAAAGAGAUUCAACAAUUGUUAGAACAAGAUCGUCGCAAUGUUAUAAAGGUGGCGAGAUUAUAGAUGUAAUGUUCUUUGAAUUAAGAGAACGAAAAUAGAGAAAAGAGAUACAAUUACAGUUUAGAGUGGUGUAUGGUGUUGUUGCUCAAGAACACUGUCCCAGAUAGGACGACUUCGCCUCUCUCCUUAACUUUACACUUGAAGGAGAUCCUGAAAGAAGAAGCAAGCGUUACAGGGAUGAUCUAGCAAGAGAAACGAUUGCGAGUGCUUACUGCAAGCUCUUGCCUUGUUCAAUGUUACGAGGACGUGGUGCAGGAACCUGGAGCUGAUCGUUGCAAUUCUCAUCGGAUCACCGUCGCAGCCGCACCGAAUUAUAGCUCUCACGGCAUAGCUAAGCAUGCAAAGCCCAUGAAGAAUGGGACGCUGGAAGCUGUGUUUUUAAAUCCCGUCACAGACGUCAUUCGCAAGAAUAACAAAGCUUACCCUGCAUCUGCGGCGAGCUUUGGGUCCGAAUGCAAGGGAUUCAUGUCUCAGAGUAACGCCUACAUCACGGACGAGUAACUUAUGUUCUACAAGGAAAAACUAAAAAUGAAAGUUAAUCUUUCGUUGCCUGGUUCGGCCUGAUUUGAUCUUCAAACUCGAAGUCUGGAGGAGUUGCGUCAAAUUCUUUCUCAUUGAAACUGAUGGGAAACUGUGACGAUGUUCGCAACGAGAAGGAGAACAUCGUCUCCUACUCUAGAAAUGCAAACAUAAUCUUGAGAAGAAGCAAAUCAAACAAAAUCCUGCCUUCUUUUGAGCACAACCUAGUGGUCCCAAACCCUCGCAAUGAGAAGAAGCAAAUCAAACGAGAUUGCAGCCACUUCCUCUCUUUAUCAAGCAGAUAAGCCAGGCUUUAAAAAGUGGUACUACAGGAUUAUGCACCCUAAGGAACUGGUGUCAAAGCUCAAGCAAAAACAGCUCUAAAUAUCAAAGCUUGAGAACAAAAAAGUGACAUUGUAGAGAAUAGAAACUUAAGUUAGUCUUGUUAUAGCCUGCUUUGAGCAGCCAGCGAGAAAGAAAACUAAGAUAAGUUUCAAGAACAUAGAAGCUUAGAAUAGCAUGCAUUGUUUGUUUCUCCCAGUUUCUCCAGCUUCUUUGUAGGUCUUUACACAAGUCCCAAUUGGCCUUCUUUGGAGUGAUGCUAAGCAUGGGACCCUGAAAAUAAGAACACGCAAGAAAAAAAGAAUGAACAAACAAUCACCUUUUGUGAUCUUUCUCCUCUUGUAAAUUUUCUUUGCCAUUCACAUUGCAUGUGGAGAUGUUGAUGCAGAAAUGAGAUCCUGACAGAAAAUCCAUGACUCUAUCAAAAUUACUGCCAUGCCAAAAUUCCUUAAUCAUCCGUGUUUCAUGUUCUCCAGAAGUGAAGGUAUUUAUAGCAGAAUGUCAUUCUCUUUAGGGACACACCGCCAAACUUCUGUAGAGUGUCUUCUUGUGUAGUUAAUGAGAGGUUACAUUCAUCCAUCUGGAUGAAAGUCCUCUUGGAUUGGAGAUCUCUGUCUGGCUCCUUUGGCUCCCAAUGUGCCACUAUCAUAAUUUGAAUCUGAGGCUCCUUCCUCUGGCUCCCAGUGUGCUGCUGUGGCUAUCUCUCCAUUACAAUUCCACCUCUAUCUGCUGCUGCAGCUGCUGGAUCACAAUCUACAGAACUCACCAGACUUUGUCACGAAGAUUGAUCAGACAGCAAGUGUCUUCUAGGUCGACAUCAUAUCUUCAGUUAAUAUCUCCCAUUCAUAAUCAAAGUUCCAAAAUCAUAGUCAAUUUAUAUACUUUUGGGCAAUUUCACUAAUUCCCCAUCUCUUGUUUUAAAUGUAUAUAAUGUGCAGCUUUGAUCCGAAGCUACUGGUGGAGAUUCACAAACCACAUCCAGCGAGUGCACGGGUAAGGUUUCUCUUUUCUCUUUUUCCUUGAAUUUCAAGUGUCUCUAUCUUUGUAAAUUCAGGUUCGUAGCAGCAAACGAAUUUCAGGUCUUCGUGACAAAGGUACGACUGUUUCGUUUUUCAUGCGCAAAUAUCUAUGCGCCACUUUUCUAGUGGUUGAAAUGAAACUCUUGCAUCGAUACCGGGGAACUGCUAUGUCUGCAAAGGUGCUGUAGCUUUUGUAUAAUUGAACAGAGAGUAGGCCUAGCCUAAUUCAACAAUUUUGCAGGACUUUGGUAUUCUUACGCAGUGCUGGAGGAUUCUAGGCAGGUCCUGGAAAGCCGUUCUCCUUCUCGUUUGUCAUCGGAGAACCUCGAAGAAGGCAAGAUUUAGUUUGAUUGCUUCUUCUCAAGUGCUUGACAUUGCCAAGGUUUGGGAGGCUAUAGCAUCAUCGCAGUACCAUUAAGUUGCGAUCAGAGGAGAACAAUCUCAAAACACACUCACCGACCAGCUCUAAAUGGAGUGCGACAUAAGUCAAUUCCUUUCAUGUUGAUGUCUUGCUUAAGCAAUCUCUCUGGGUUGAGCUUCUCAAGCUUAGACCAGAUGGAUAGAUCUUUAGACCACAUGUUUCCUAUGGCUAUGGUGCCUGCAGGGAUGUGGUGAGCAGCCAAGCAUACAUCGUGAAUUGCCAACCGAGACCAGGAGAGCAAGGACGCAUCCUAAGAGUCUCCUUCACAACGGUUUGGAGGUACACCAUUUUCAUACUUGGCAACUUUAGACUUUCCAACCAUACCAGUAAUCUCAUUGCACAACCUUCUUUUUUAUUUCAGGAUGGAUGGCAAGCUCCACUAGAAUCCAUUCAGUGAAGAGAGCAACGGUGUCAAACUUUGGAAAUCAUCUCCUAUGAAGUCACAGCAUAAGAAACAUUAUGUAAGUCAUUAGAGCAGGAACUGCAUACUUCUGAGAUGAUGUUUAUGCAUUUUAAAGUGAAAAUACAUGUUAAAAAUAAUUAAUUAGAAUGAAAAGUGGUAUAGUGAAAAGGUGGCUGCUUUUUAGGUUAUGUGUAAGAAAAAAUCAUUAGCAUUUCACCAUAUCACAAUUCCAUCUAGUGAAAUUUAUGUCAUUCUUCCUAAAAUUUUGCCAUAAAAGUUUUCCAUAAAUUUUUUUUUGAAAAAAUACUCUGUCCAGGCUGGCAGUGUUACUUGAGGCUGCAAAUAUCACCAGCAAGCCUAUUAUUAAAAAGAACUGUAAAUGUGGGAAGAACCUAUGUGAUGACUUCUAACUGUCAAUAGAAGAAGAAAAAAAGCACCUAGUAGUACUUACCAUGAACUUUAUGUUCUUCCACAAUAAGAAGUUAUGCAUCUAUUUACCUACAAAGUGAAAGAAAUCAUCUCAAAGCUACUGAAAAAAAGUUUAACACUGGGAUCUUUAAUGAAAACUAUUGCAAUUGUCAACUCUAAUCCAAGCCUACUCCAUAUAUAAAAGCAUGAAUCAAGUCAUGUAAUUAUCACUGAAAGUACCAGCUUUUCUAAAUUGAAGCUUCCUCUUGCCUCCACAAAACACAUCCAAAAGACAUAAACUUGGAGUACUUCUUGGCUGCUUCUCUUACAAAUGGAAGUACAUGCUCUCCUAUAUCAGAAAAAAAAAAACUUUUACCUAUAAAGAAGUGAAAAAGAGAGAGAUUUUGAUUGGUAUUAUAGGAUUUUGUUUAUUACAUUGGACUGGAUAGCAACAUAGCUUUUCAAUCUUCCUUACAUUCAUUACCAUUCUUCUCAAAACUUGGUAGCCAUCAUUUUCACUAAAAUCUAAAACAAGCACUAGCUAAAGUCAUGUAGAUACUUGAGUUCAUUAAAAAAUUUGGACCACAUAAGGUGCUAGUAUGGUAGCAAGAAUUGUAGUUGAGGCCUUUGGAGUAUGUACAGUGUUUGUCAAGGAAAGCAGAACAAGGCUAAAUAUGAAAGACUUCCCUCAUUAGAAAUAGGUAGACAAACCAAAAACACACAAAUGCUCACAUAUGACAAAACAUGUAGGAUUGAGAGCUUUUUGUUUGGCAGGGCUACUGUUGAGCAUGACUCACUCAAAAGCAUUAGAACAAAUCUUUCAAGGAAGGAACAACACAAAAAAAAAAUAAAAAAUAAAAAAUAAAGUGCAAAGAAAAAUAAGAUGAAAAGCCUCUCAUCCAAAUUCUCUUACUCAAAAGCUUUAGAAACAAGCUUUCAUGGUAGAAGAAAUCAAGCAAAAAAAAAAAAAAAAAAAAAACUUAAGGUUUUAUUUAAUGUUUUUUGUUGCAAAUGUGAUUGUAAAUAUCAAAAAUUAUCUAUUGGUAAGUAUUUUCAGAUAUUCUUCAUUUUACUGCCAUGAUAGCAAAAAGUUAGUACUGUUAGUUCCUUUUAUUAGUCUUUGUCUAAGCUAAUUGAGAAAUUGGUCAUCAUGUAUAUGUUUAUCCCAGAACAUAAGGUAAGAACUUCAAUGUGUUUUUGCUAAGUAUAUUCAGCCUAAGAUGAGAAAUUCAUAUAUUGUUUUACAUUUACUAGUGUUAAAAAUCUUUAUGAUAUUGAGGUUGGUCCCUCAAUAUUCACUAUAUGGUAACUUAUCGUGUUUGCCAAGAUACUGUUAUUAUCAUUCUUCAUCCAUUCCAUUUCAUUAGCUAUUUAUAAAAAGUAUCUAGAUUUACUAGUGAAGUAUAUCUAUGGAAAUGGUUUUGAACUUGCAUCUAAAUUUACAAUCUAACACCAUUUCAUAUUUAAUAAAUCUUGUUCUGGUUUUAUGUUUGGAAGCCCAAACUCCAUACUCUGCUAACUGGUAGAAUACCUAUAUCUUUGCAUUAUGCCACUAAUAUGUUGAAAUAAUAUUAAACUCCGUUGGCUUUGUUUUAUAUAUUGGUUUUAGUAUUAGGAUAUUAGAUAUUUUAAAACUAUUCCAAAGUCACUCUAUGCUCUUGUCCUUUUGAUCAUUGAGAUAUAUGCUUGAAAGUCAUUUCAUGCUUUAGUUCCUUCACUCUGUUGCUAUAUACUUAAGAAUUUAGUUUCACUAUUUCAUUCAGUGCUUCAAAGCCCUGAAACUCAAGUUUUACUUUAUUGCCCUUGGCCCACAUGUCUAAAGCUUUAGAUUCUAAUUUAUGGUUAUUCUAUAGUAAAUCACUAUAGAGUAAAUUAUAAAAACCAUGUACACUACAUUUUUAAGUAGAUAAGUUUUAUUUCUUGAUUUUGUUUUUUGUUUUUGUUUUUGUUGUUUUUUAUUUGAUUUUACCUUGUAUUUUGUUGUUAUUAGAUUUCAUAUUUUGGAUUUUGGGAUCCUAAAUCUUUAACUCAAAAGCUUUAAAACAAAGCUAAAACUAAAAUAGACAAACAACUAAAGAAAAAUAGGAAACAAAAGUAAUAAGAACUAGUUAUCCCAUUCUAUUCUUAAUUACUAUUAACCCAGGAAAAUCAUACUAACAAACUAGUGAAAUUGCUAGAAAGUAUAUAUAUUGAUAUAACUUUGAUUUAAAUAGGAGAUAUUGACUAAAAUAAUGCCACAAUGCCCUACUAAGUAUUUUGCCUUAAAAUGAAGAAUAUCUAUAAAUGUAUUUGGAAAAUACUUAUUGUUCAAUUGGUCUUGGCACCAACAUUGCCAUUGAUAUUUAGUCAAUUAUGUACAUCGUGAUCUAGAAGCCAUAACAGCAAAUAAUGUUUGAGAUCUAAGUGGAGCUAGAGAAGAUCAUGAUAGAGAGCUAGCCACAAUAGCAAAUAUAGCAUUAGAUUGUGAAGCAACAAUAACCUCACUAAGACUUAAAGGAGCUAUGCAAAGAGUUAAAUGAAGCCUUAGAUUCAGAUUAUGAUCUAGAGCUUGGGGAUGUUAUAGUAGCACAUUAAGAACCAAACCAACUAGGUAAAGAACUUCAACCUAAGCUAGGUAAAGCCUCAAAUUCAGAUAAUGAUCCAAAGUUUGGGGAAGCCACAAUAGCAUAUUAGGAGCUACAGGAGGAAACAUUACAUUUAAAUUAUGAUUUGGAGUUUAAUAGAGCCACAACAGCACACUAGAAGCCAAAGGAGCUAAGUAAAGAAUUUGAAUUUGAGAGGAUUUUUAUCUAAGUAAUGAAUAAAUAGAAUUUCUCCUUAGCUGCACAAAAAGGCAUUUUACAAAAUUCUGAAAGUGUGUCAAUGAAGAGACUAUUAUAAAAAUAUAAAUCAUUUGGAGCAAAGUCCCAUUGCAGUGAAACUUUAUGUUUCACUAUUUCCAUUAGCCAAGUAGUUGAAGUUACUAAUGUUGAGUGUGUUAUUCUGCUAUAAAUACCUUUGCUUGUGGAGAAAACAACAUGAAUGGCUUGAAGAAACUCUAUCAAUGUGGGGAAAAAUACACGACAACAAGAAAGACGGGAAAGACUCCCCUAGGGCUUGUAUUCAGCAGUAACUACAAAUCACUCAUACUGAGUGUGCUGGGCCUGCAGUAACUCCUCUAUGAUCACACGUAGGUAACGGUACCACACUUGACCACAGGUUGGACAAGUAGUUGGAAUUUGCUGCUCCUCUUGAAUUCUCAACUCCUCGAUCGCACGCUUUAUCCGCAUGUUGUUGGUGACGCGAUCGGCAACGGGAUCUCGACGGCCUAUAGGAGGUCUCACCAUCUUCGAGCAAAGAGAACUCCAGAACCCGAGAGAAAACAAGAACUGUAAAAUAACUGAAUGGCCGUACUUAAAUUCAAACUCCCAAAAACUUAAACACCAACCAAUGGCUGAAACUUUCCCAGCUAAUAACUCUUCAUCCACAACUCCGAUCGACUUGAUUUUACCACCAAAGAACUGCCCUUGAUCAGAUCUUCAACUUUCUAGAAAACAACUUCUUCAAAUUCUCACUUCUGAAAUCCAUCACUUUUUCUCUCUCUAAACGAAAUAUUCAUAGAAAGCUUCUUCAGCGAGCUUCUUCAAUUUUCACCUUUUUCUAGCUUAGAAAUACGUCAGUACUCACAAAAACAACCUCAAGUAUGAAAAUACGACCGUAUAUACGGUUGACACCAUACCACCCUGAUACUCGCGCCGCCCUCGGCACGCUGACUACCAUUAACCACUGACUUCUUGACUGGUUCAAACCCAACUCUGCUACACUUUCCUCUGACACCGCUCAACUCGGCUCCAUUUGACUUCUCACACGGCGACACUUCGCCUCUUUCAACUCUCUUCUCCUACACUAUUGCUGAGCUCGCCUCCACCGACGUCUACAGCCUCCAAAAAUAAAUCCUCCUGGCGCUCCACACCUGAACUCAUAAAAUCUCCCCCUUCAGCUGCUCCUCUCAAAGAUGUGCAGCCAACUCUACCUGCGUCUUCUACGCUUGUUCUUAAAUGAAAACACCAACAUACCUCCAUUCGAUUCUGAAACUUCCCAUUCAGCUACAACCACAGCUCUCAGCUGGCCUCAGCUCUGGUCAUCCUCGACUCUGAUUCGGAUGGCUCCGACACAUUGGACUCUCGCUCAGCUCCGGCUGUUUCAUCAUUUGAACGUGUAUGGUACUUUUUCAAUCAGAAACCAUUGAUCCGCGUUGGCAGCAGGUUCCCACUCAAAUCUGCCACCUGCACUGAGCCAUUGUCGUUGACAUUCACCACCACGUAAGGGCCCAGCCACCGUAUCUUGAGUUUUCCUGGCCGUUUCCAAAACUUGCUGUCAUACAGCAACACCAAAUCCCCUAUUGCAAACUUCCGCUCUCGAAUAUGAUCAUCAUGCCAUUUCUUUCUCCGCUUCUGCAAUGCCUCUCUAGCUUGAAAUGCCAACAGCCUCGUCUCAUCCAAUCGUUCUAGCUCGUUCAACCUCUGCUGUAUGGCACCGUCCCAGUCCAUAGCAUGCUCUACAGCCGUCCUCAAGGCUGGAACUUCAAGCUCCACCGGCAAUAGUGCUUCCUGCCCAUAAACCAACUGAAAAGGUGAGAACCGAGUGGUCACCUUAAAAGCAACUCGAUAUGCCCAGACUGCAUCCAAAAGGCGCUUAUCCCAAUCUGUCCGAGAAGCUGAGCAGGUCUUAGUAACAAUCCGGCAAAGAGUUCCAUUUGUACGCUCCACUUGACCAUUGCAACGCGGGUAGUAAGGAGUAGACUUCGAGUGAUAAACUCCAUAAGUUUCUGUCAGUGCUGCCACUGCCUCGUUCAAGAAGUGUGUUCCCCGAUCACUCACCAGUUCGAGGGGAACUCCAAACCGUGUAAUUAUCUGCUCAUAAAGAAACUCCGCAACCUUCUUACCAGUAUCCUCCCGUAGAGCCUUCACCUCAGACCAUUUUGUAACGUAAUCAAUGCAGACCAGUACAUACUUAUAACCUGUCCGUCGAGCUGGAGGAAACAGUCCGCAAAAAUCAAUCCCCCAUUUUUCAAACGGCAUCACUGGCAACAGUGGAUGAAGAGGCUGGUAGUCACGCUUAUCUGGCUUCCCUGCUCGCUGACAAGGGUCACAGGUUUUGACAUAGUACGUAACCUCCUUCCUCAAUGUCGGCCACCAAUAUCCAGCUCUGCAAAUAAUCUCCACCGUCGCUUCUGUUCCAAAGUGGCCUCCAUAUGACGAGUCAUGGCAUGCCGCUAUCACCUUAGUCGUCUCAUGUGGUAGCAAACACCGCCUCAGUACGCUAUCUCGUCCAAUCCGGUAUAAUACACCGCCAACCAUCGUAUAGAGUCGGCUCUGCAACAAAAGCCGUCGCUUCUGCCGGUUAUUCAACCCUGCCGGAUACUCGCCAUUGCCAAGGAACUUAACCAUCUCCACAUACCAGUCCGGCACUGUUUCAAAUUGGAAGAUAGGUGCAUCUGGCAAAUCAUCCUCUACGCCUACUUCCUCAUCACUGUCCUGUGGUGGCAGCCUCGAUAAGUGAUCUGGCAUCUGAUGGCUGCUUCCAGGUUUCAACACAAUGCGGAACUGAAAUUCCUGGAGCAGCAACAGCCAACGUGUGAUUCUUCCUGUCUUGCAUGGCUUCCCUAUUAAAUACUUCAGUGCCUGAUGAUCAAGGAAAAACACGAACUCCUUGCCAAGUAGAUAAUGCCGAUAUUGCUGGAUCGCAUAGAUCAUGCCGAGUCCUUCCCUCUCAGUUGCUGAAUAGCUCUUCUCAGCCGUUGAAAGUUGACGGCUGCUGUAACAUAUUGGAUGAUCUGCUCGUCCAUCUGAGCAUUGACACAGCACCACACCAAUGGCCACUGCUGAUGCAUCCACGUGAACGUGAAACUCCAAGUUCCAAUCUGGCAUCUUCAAAAUCGGCGCGUUUACCAGUGCCAGUUUCAAGCGUUGGAAGGCCGCCUCACAUACAGUUGUCCACUCAUAUUUAGCCCCCUUCUUCAGUAGGCUAGUCAAGGGUAGAGCUUUCUCGGCAAAGUUCCUCACGAAACGGCGGUGAUAUCCCACAUGCCCAAGAAAUGCCUGCAAUUGCUUCACAGUCUCUGGUGACACCAGCUGCAUGAUCACCUGCGUCUUGGCCGGAUCGACAGCUAAACCUUCUCUUGACACUAUCCGACCCAGCAGCACUCCAUGCGUUACCCAGAACUGACACUUGAACGGGUUGAGAGAAAUCCCAUAGUGCCGACAGCAUUCAAAACACUUCUCGAGCAAGCCUUCAUGCGCCAACUCGCUCCCAUAGACACUGAAGUCGUCAAGGAAUACUUCCAUAAACUCUCGCAUGUACGGCUGGAAAGCUGCUGUGACGACCCGCUGAAAGGUGGCAGGUGCAUUACACAGGCCGAAGGGCAUAACUUUGUAGGCAUAGCAACCCCACUCAGUCACAAACGUGGUUUUGAGCUGAUCCUCUUCUGCUAUCUGCACCAGUCGUGGUAUCACUGCUGUCAUCGAUCCCAUCCACUAUCGGCUCACACGCUACUGGAGUCCAGGCCGGCCUCUUCCUUGUCCGAACUUGGAUAGUGCGCGACUUGUUUCCAUCUCCAAUCGUAAUAGUCCCCUUCGGCCAACUCUGAUCUGCCCAGGCCUGUAACAGCCACGGUCUUCCCAAAAGAAUUGGAUAAUCCAGCUCGUGUCCAACCAUCCUCAGCACCACGUAAUCAACAUAAAAGAUAAAACCGGCAAUCUCCGUCUUCACCCCAGUAAGUACACCAACCGGUCUCGAGCGAGAAUGGUUCGCCAUGCGGACACGAAAAUAAACUGGAGAUGGCUGCUCCAACCCAAGUUUUGACACCAUUUGCUCAGGCAUUACGUUGAUGGCAGCACCUCCGUCAAUCACGCACCCCUUCAAGUGCUGACCUGAAAUCUCUGCAUCUAUAAUUGGAUUCUCUGCUUCGAUCAUUGGCCAUGCUGCAUUCACUACCACCUCUCGAUGGGCCUUGACUGCUGUGGCCACCACUUUCCUCAGACUUGGUGCCAGCUGUAGUAAUUGCGCAAAUGUGAUACUCGGCUUUUGAUUCUCUAAGUCCUUGAGCACGUCGUAGGGCUGAGUUUCUAGAUUUAGCACCUGCUUAUACCGGCGAGAUCUCCGCUGGCCCAUCUUCAACGGCUCACCCCCAAAAUGUUCCUUGAAUACCUCUGCCAGCCGCUGCGGCGUCGAGAUGCCCACCUUCCUCAUAACCUCUUGCGGAUCCAUUCCACCACUCACUUGGUUCGCGUCCGUUUCCUUGCCGUCAUUAGGGCACUGAAUAGUCCCCGUGAUAUUCUUGGCGAGAUCUCCGCCAUCGGCUAUCGGCGCAUCCUGAAUGCCGCCUCCUUCCAGACCUAAGUCGAUCCCCAUUUUUUCCUUGUGGCGCUGCUCCUUCCUGUUUUGGCGAGCUAUCAUCUCCGGAUCCUCCUGAGUAUGCGUCCGCUCAAUUCCCUGUUCAGCCCUUGUUCUCGGCUCAUCUCGGAUGUACAACCUGCGGUCCCUCCGCUGCAACUGUGCUCGUGUGUUGACAUUCCACACAGGUGUGUCCGCUCGUAACUCUUCAGAAUUCACGAAAAUGGCUUUAGUAUCCACCACCUCUUUUCCCUUGUCCUGAUUUUGACGCUGAUUUGGCACUUGCAAGCGGUAGGGGCAAUCCUCCUGUCGAUGAAGUCCCUGUGUCUGGCAUAUCCCACAGAUUGGCUGAUACUCUUCAGACUUCUGUGCAUUCGGACAGUUUGGCGCGAUAUGUCCAAGUUCCCCACACCGGUAGCACACUAUCGGGCCUCGGCCUCGGCCUCCGCCUCUGCCUCCGAACAUUCCCAUCCGGCCGCCACCUCGGCCUCCACCAGCAGUCUGCUGCAGCAUUGGCCCCGAGUUCUGCACAGCCCCUGGAGCUCCUACGUUAAAAACCGGGUACGUCUCAUACUGCUGGUGCUGAACCUGUUGCUGUGGAAAUUGUUGUUGAUGGUGAAAUUGUGGUUGAACGUAAUAGCUUGCGACUACAGGUUGCUGCUGGAACUUGGGUGUCACACGAGCUGGAUGAAUAAAGCACUUCUCAGGCUUGUGGCCGAACUUCCCACAAUACAGACAAGGAGCUUUUGCCGGAACCAGAUUCGGACACUCACUAGGAUAGUGGCCAUAUCCUUGACACUUAAUGCACCAGAUCUCAGCUCUCUCAUGCACUGGCCGAGUUGGAACUCCCAAACCUUGAACCAGACUCACUUGGAGUUCUGCCAUCUUCUUGGUAAGUGUCUCCACCACAUCUUCUUUCACUUUCGUGAGUUGGCUCUCAAAUCCGGUCGUGUUUACUGCAGGUAACUGGAGAACUGACGGCUGGACCGGAAUCAAAGGUGGAGCUGCUACGGCUCCAAGCACACCAGUCUGGUACUGUGCAAUAUUCGGUGAGAACAAGUUACCAUAUGUUGCUGGUGGAGCUGCAGCUGCAAUAUUCCGCGAUGACAUCCGGGCCUGUUCCCAUGUUGCUGCGUGCUCAACUGCUGCGUUCAAAUCUGCCGGUCUUUGCACCUUCACGUGGAACCCGAUUUCAAAUGGCAACCCAUUCAAGAACCAGCGGACUUGGUCGUCAGCGGCAGGCUGUGGAUCUUUCCUCGCGAGCAGCCUCUUGUAGCGAAGAACAUAAUUUUGCAAUGUCUCUCCAGGUAACAAUUGAAUUGAAUUUAGCUCGUCACUGAUACGCUGCUUGAAUCCCAUAGGACGGAAAGCAUUGAGAAAUGCUGUUUUGAGGUCUGCCCAGGCUGCAAAGGCUGCUGCUGCAUUUGCCUGACCAUACCAUUCUGCUGCUGCUCCCAGCAAUGUCGCCGGAAACAGAUGGACUCUCACAGCAUCUGCCUGCUCCUGAUAGAAAAAUCUAGAAAAUUAUCCCAGUCCGGGGAUCUACCCGCCAGACCGAGAACCAACUGCGGCAAAGGGUGCUUACUGCAGAUGCCCACAGAUGACCGGCCUUUUCCUCAGGCCCGGUUUACUGCGCAGUUACUGCGACUAAGCCCUCCCGGCUAACGCACCAAAAAAUGUGGGGAAAAAUACACGACAACAAGAAAGACGGGAAAGACUCCUCUAGGGCUUGUAUUCAGCAGUAACUACAAAUCACUCAUACUGAGUGCGCUGGGCCUGCAGUAACUCCUCUAUGAUCACAUGUAGGUAACGGUACCACACUUGACCACAGGUUGGACAAGUAGUUGGAAUUUGCUGCUCCUCUUGAAUUCUCAACUCCUCGAUCGCACGCCUUAUCCGCAUGUUGUUGGUGACGCGAUCGGCGACGGGAUCUCGACGGCCUAUAGGAGGUCUCACCAUCUUCGAGCAAAGAGAACUCCAGAACCCGAGAGAAAACAAGAACUGUAAAAUAACUGAAUGGCCGUACCUAAAUUCAAACUCCCAAAAGCUUAAACACCAACCAAUGGCUGAAACUUUCCCAGCUAAUAACUCUUCAUCCACAACUCCGAUCAACUUGAUUUUACCACCAAAGAACUGCCCUUGAUCAGAUCUUCAACUUUCUAGAAAACAACUUCUUCAAAUUCUCACUUCUGAAAUCCAUCACUUUUUCUCUCUCUAAACGAAAUAUUCAUAGAAAGCUUCUUCAGCGAGCUUCUUCAAUUUUCACCUUUUUCUAGCUUAGAAAUACGUCAGUACUCACAAAAACAACCUCAAGUAUGAAAAUACGACCGUAUAUACGGUUGACAAUCAAUGAUCAUAAAAUUCUAGCAUGGCAAUAAGUUUUGGUAGUUGUAGAUUUUAGGAUCCAAAUUCAUCUUUUGGAUCAAUCAAGAUAAUGUAUCAUUUAAAUUUUUAUCCUUUAUUCUAAAGGUUCCUUUUCACAAAAAAUAAUCUUUAUCACUAUAGGGUGAUUUUACAUUGGGAUGACUAUUAAAGUUCAAAGAUUGUCCAUCACCCUUAUGCCAUCAUAAAAUUUGAAAUUCUAAAUGAUGAAUGAAGUUGCUUCAAACCAUUAUAAUUAAUUUUUAUACCCUUUUUGAGGAGCUUAACUACAUUAAACAUAUGUCAAAUAACUUUCAACAAUGAUUUGGAAUCUCUUUUUCUCACAAGAGUAAAAAAAGAUUUCAACUAUCCAAAUACAAGUGAAUUAUUUUGAGAGCUUUGCUUUUUUGUUUUUAUAAGAGAUUAUCCUAGUUUGUGUAAGGCCAAAGGCUAAGUUGUAUAAUGAUUUACCAUGGAACUUAACCAGACCUCAAGGACUUGAAGCCAUGAUGCGUGUGCAAUGUAGUCAGGUAGAAAAAAUGAACUGGUUAGAACCUGUCUGAAUCUCUCUUGUAGGGAAUUAAAGUCCAGGACUACUUUGGCAGCUGUAAACGGGUUACCACUGAUGUCUGAUCUUCCUGCGGUAAUUUAUCUAUAUGGAACUAAGCUCCUGUAAUGCAGUGCGUUUUUCUAAAUUGAUUGUGAUAAAUCCAUUCUGGUCACGUUCAAGCACGAAGACAAAUUUCAAGAAGGAGCAGACUGUUGUUUUCAGGUGCGUUGCUAUUACAUAAUGCUAUUGCCUGUUCUGACUAUUGUCAAACUUGUCAAUGCUUUUGUAGUCGGCGUUACUCUACACCACGGUCGAUGGGCAUAGACGUAUCAGAGUUAGUACAUUAUCACUUACCUUCACAAACGUUCUGAGCAACCUUUUCAAAGGCGCGGAUCUAGGCACAGUUCACUUAUCUUUUGAAAACUGGUAAGUAUUAUGUGUGAUUUUCGUUCAAGGUUCUGAAAUUGCCUUUGAUACAGCUGCCCAAGGCAUGCCUGUCUCCCCUCUUUCGCAAGUUAGGGAGCAAACCAUUAGACAGUGCGUUCAGAGCUUGUUUUCGUAUAGAAAGUUUUGCGCAACUGCAUCUUCUUCGGGCCAGCUUAUCUUGCCCGAAUGCCUUAAGCUGCUACCGCUAUAUACACUCGGUAAGUUUCGUGUCGUUUUUCUUAUAAACUUUUCACUAUCUCGUUUCCUUCUUUACAGCUCUUACAAAGAGCGUGGGUCUCCGGCAAGAUGCUCGUGUUGAUGAAAGAGCUUACUGGCUUAUGCGAGCUACAAGUAUCUCGGCAUCCCUCGCGAUACCGUUGGUGUAUCCCAGACUAUUUUCCGUCCACAACAUACCAAAGGUACUAGUUAUCUCUUUGGUACUCUGAUUAAAGCGCGUUUUGCAUAGCUGGACGAGUCGAGUCUACCACCGACGCUUCCUCUAUCAAGCGAGAACCUGGACCCAGAAGGAAUCUUUCUUUUGGAGACCGGUGAGGACGCUUUUCUAUACGCAGGGAAGGCUGUCUCCUCUGAACUGCUUCAUCAACUCUUUGAAGUGCGGUCUGUGAACGAAGUGAUUCCCGGACAGGUACUUAAUUCCCUCGCUCGUAUGACUCGUAAUUUUCUUACUCUUGUUCCCUUUUGCAGUUUUUGUUGCAAGAGUACGAUAACGAGCCAUCAAUUUUGCUGAACAAGAUGGUGAACGAGAUCCGUCGCCAACGCUGCUCUUACCUGCGGUAUGUUUCGAUAAAAGAAAACUCGGAUGCUUGCUAUUCUAGGUUGCAUUUGCUGAAGCAGGGAGAUCCUUUAGGUGAUCAAACACUCUCAUUUUUUUCCUUGUCGAAGCACUCUUGCUCAUUCGGUUUUGUUACAGAGAUGAUGUUCCACUCCUUCAUGAUCGAGGACAAGAGCGGGCUGGGCUCGUCUUAUGUGGAGUUCCUUGUCUACGUGCACAGGCAAAUCCAGGUAAAAAUGCAGUAUGGGAGCUGAGGUCACUAAAAGCGGAAGAAAUUCAUUCAAUAACAUUCCUCAUUAGACAUGAAUCUAAAUGAUUCUCAAGCAUAGCAUUUGCAAGAAUUAUGUUUUGGCAAACCCAUUUUACUCCAGACGUUGUAAAACAUUAAUGUUUUUUACUACAAUGAAACCACAAAUACCCAAAACGUCUGACUUCCCGCUUGACAUGGUCGAAGAUCUACAUCCGUAUCCGCAUGGCUUCACAUUUUACUUUUCAAUGUCGAAAAAGUCAGCCGAGUUAUCCGGAACUGAACUAUAACACGCUCUCCUGCACUAUAAAUCCUCCCACUCCAUACUCAAGCACAUCAAAGCUCAUACUCAAGCUUCUCCAAGUUUCUCUAGCUUUCUCCGAUCUCGUUCACAGGUCUGGGAUCACAUCAAAGCAAGAGGCGUUCUUAAAAAAGAUGGCGAGCAACAAGAUGCUGCUGGCGAUGCUUGUGGUGGUGCUCCUGGUGGGAGUUGACAUUGGAGGAAUUGCAAGUGCGAGCGCCCAGGGGCAAUGCAAGCCGGGGUGGCACUGGGAUGGAAAUUACUGUGUCCGUUGCCAGCCAAGCUGGUACUGGUACAACAAUUCUUGCCAACGCUGCCCGAUCAACUGGUACUGGUAUGACAACUCUUGCCACCGCUGCCAGAUGGGCUGGCGCUGGACUGGAAGUUUCUGCAACGAGAACUGAAGUUGCCCAUCAAGAUCCAAGCUCAUGUACCAUGUCAAUGACAAUAAUCAUUGUAGUUGUGCUGUUUCUUGUGAUAACCUUUUGGUGAAUAAAAUGUGUGUGCUUUUCUUUCCAUGACAUCCCAUUCUAAGGCUCGGUUUCCUCACCCAGAAUCCGCUUGACGAGAGACUUGCUGCCAGUUUCACUUUUAGUUUCUAGCAACUCGAGCAGCAAGAUUAUCGAAAUACCGAAGUCUUGCGCUGCUGAGUUUCAUACUCAAGACAAGAGAUGAGAGAGAAAUGUGAAUCAUGCUUCUUAGUUUGGCCACAAGUAUGAGUGGACUUUAAGAAAUUACGGUUAGUAAAUUUCUUGCAGUUUCUAGCUAUUUACUUUUAAAAAUAUUAUCAUACUUUUUAAUGCAUUGUCUUCUGAUGAUUUCACGGGACUUAAAUAGAGACUUUUUCAUCUGGAUUGACCCCGUCAAUCAAGCACAAACACGACAUGUCAUGCAGGAGACUCAGUAAAAACCGUGUGCAUAGCUGUCUUAUUCAUCCUCAAAUCCUCCAUAUAAAUUGGUCCCACAUUGGCAACACCAUAACCCAGCAAAGCAUUUAAUCAAGAGAAAGAAGAGAUACAAGAAAAGCAAUCAGUUUGCAUUUCUAUUGACGAUACAAUGGCGAGCGAGUCCCAGCUGAUGCUUCUGGCCAUGUUUGUGACAAUCCUCCUGGUUGGAGUGGACGUUGGUGGAAUCGAAAGUGCAGCAGCCCAGCAGAAAUGCAAAUCUGGCUGGAACUGGGACGGCCACAAGUGCAUCCAGUGCCCCAAAGGCUGGUACUGGUAUAGCAACGAUUGCACCUGAAAGAAAAGCGGAGCAAGAACAACAGAUUUCUCUUCAACACAUACAUUGAUUCAUGUAUGGCUGUAUAUAUAUACAACUUCAAUCAAAUCGGAAAUCACUAGAGAUUUGAUUGCGAUUCGGACUGUUUCUGUUCAUCAUUAUUCCUACACUCCCCCUUCAAGCUGAGGGCACUUGACACUCCAAGUUGAUUCCUCAGCUUGAUGAAUGUGAGCUCCGAAAGUGGCUUGGUUAGAAGGUCUACCAACUGAUACUGUGAAGGAACGUAUUCCAGGUGAAGAUCUCUGGCUGCUACAUGUUCACGAAUGAAGUGAUGCUGCACAUCUAUAUGUUUCGUACGAGCAUGAAACACAGGAUUCUUUGACAUGGUGAUUGCACUUCUGCUGUCACAAUGCAGAAUGGUCGCAUCUGAUUGCUGUUGAUUGAGUUCUCCAAGUAAUCGACAAAGCCAGAUGAUCUCCCUUGCUGCUGUACUGACAGCUAUGUAUUCUUCUUUUGCACUAGAAAGAGCAAUUGUCAUUUGUUUCUUGCUUCCCCAUGAAACCAGAGCAUCAUCAAUUAUGCAGCAAAUUCCGGAGGUUGAAUGUCGUGUAUCCAAGUUGCCAGCCCAAUCUACAUUGCAGUAAGCUUGAAGAACAAGUUUGGACUGACCUGAGCAUUUGUAAAGCAAUCCAUGAGCAACUAUUCCUUUCAAAUACCUCAAAGCUCUCUUUGCCAUUUACCAAUGAUAACAACUUGAAGACUGCAUGUAUCGGUGUAAUUUGCAAGUUUACUUUUCCUUUCCAAUUUGCAAGCUUACUUUAUUUAUCUAUCCAACACUGCCUUGGCUUUUGUUAAGUUCCCUCGCCAAGGUUCCCGCUUAUGGUAUUAGCUCCUACUUGGUCCUACUUGGUUUCAGCUACUCAUUGCACGAGCAAUGGAGUGUUAGCUAUCCAUCCACGGAUUCCCAAAUCCCUCCCAAUCCCCCUCCCCGGGUUAGACUAGACUUAAGGUUCGGCUACACUCCCUGCAGGCACAAGCAGCCAAGCACACCAAGCCAUCAAGUUCUUAACAUCCCUUAGUACCACAAGACUUGAUCAUGGGACCUUUAAAUCCCAAAUCUUGGGUGCAACACUUGCUUCAGGACGCUGGGGCGAAACACCGUGGCCUAACGGCCUGGUAUGGGUACCUCUACCCCCCCACUUCCAUCCCGAAGGGAAGGCCUAAGCCCCUUGGAAAGGCGAGGACCAAUGAGCCACAAGGUACUCAAGUGGGGCACCACUCCACAUGAGCCGGAAGCACUGCAAUCGGUUUCCCUUUCGAGAGUGGGAGCUACUCUUGAGCAUUUCCUGGGGUGGCCCCUCCGACACCACCCAAGUCCAUGCUCACUCCCACCCAAUCUCAACCUUAAGUCAGUUUGGAAGCACCAUUGGAGAGUUCCUUCAAGAUUGGUUUCUAAACCUCACUAUCCCUACUAUACUUUUGGAACCCCUUGCAGCCCCCCCCCCCUCUGGGAGGCUCACACUUUGGGCUUUCACCCCUUGACCUGUAUUAGUACUUGGACUCGGUCUCGAACUUGAUCUUGGAUUUGAUCUCGGACCCAACUUCGGAUUCGGUCUCGGACUCGAUCUCGGACUCGAUCUCGGACCCGAUCUCGGACUUGACUUCGGACUCGACUUCGGACUCGAUCUUGGACCCGAUCUUGGAUCUCGGACUCCGUCUCGAACUCGGCAUCAAACUCAGUCUCGAACUCGGUCUUUGAGUCGGCCUCGGACUCGAUUCCGGACUCUAUCUCGAACUCAGUAUCAGAUUCGGUAUUGGACUCGAUCUCAGACUCGGUCCCAUCCGAUGAACUCUUUGUCAUUUCGGUCAUGCUUUUGGGGAUCCUUUAGCCUACGACACCUCAAGGAAUUGGUUCCUUACAACUCUACCACCCAUAGAAGAAGUUCAAUGCCCAUAUCGAACGUCUCUUUUUAUUCUACGACUUGUUGACCAUGUCUCCGAGGGCAUCCCCCCAUAUAGCGGUGUGCCUAAGUUAGCCUCCCUGGCCAAGAGCUCAUAAUAACGGGAUAUAGGUAUCCCUAUACCCCUCACCUCACCACACCCUAGUAUGGGGUCGGGACUUGAACCCAGCCUUGCUUUACUAGGGGGUUGGGACUCGAACCCAACCUCCGUAGAAUACGUCUACGGAUUCGACAUCCCCAUAGAGAGUUGGGCGUAGUUCCCUACGCCUGGUCGACCUAGCUAACCCAUGCUAAUUAGCUUACCUUUAGCGCGCCUUCAGGUCCCAAUAUAUACCAUUGCUCAACUUCACAAAUUGAUACCUUUUAAUUGAACUUUGCAUAAGUAUAUAGAGUAAUUUCUGCUAGAGAAUUUCUGCUAUGCAAAAAUUCCUCCACUAAAUCUCGCGCGUUCGCUAGGUUCUCCUUUGGUUCCCAUGUUGCUUCGCAGUGUGGAAAUCCUUUCCACUUCACAUGGAACUCUCUCACCUCGCGUCCUUAUCGUUUGCUCUUGCGCGCAUUGAGGAUGGCCUCGACUUCGUAUUCCUCUUCCCCUUGGAUAACCUUAAGUAAGGGUCUUACUUGGUCCUUGCGAAGCGGAUCCUCAAAGUACGGCUUGAGUAAGUUCACGUGGAACACUGGGUGCAUCUUCCCCAUCUCUCGAGGAAGUUGGAGACGGUAAGCCACUUUACCGAUUCGUGCCUCAAUCUUGUAAGGCCCCGCGAACCUGCUUAAGGAACUCAAGAUCAAUUCAUUUAUAGGAAUACAUGCAUUUUACCUUUAGGUCAACUUCCGACUGAUCCCACUUGGUAGCCUGAGGUUCUUGGUGUUCAGCCACACCUUCUCCCCAGCUUGGAACUUCAUAUCCCGGCGCUUUUGGUUUGCGUACUUGGUUUGCCUUUGUUGAGCUCGUUCUAAGGAAUCCCUCACUAGAUUCCAAAUGUUGAGUCUUUCCGCUGUGAAUGCCUCCACUACGGGUAACUCUCCAUGAUACUCGGCCACGCCGAGUUCCAUAGGACUUUCGAUAGCUUGCCCACUGAUGACUUCCCAUGGACUCACCUCAAUACUUGAGUGUGGUGAGUUGUUAUAGCACAUUUCUGCAAGCCCCAAAUGACUUACCCAAUCGGUCUGGUUUUCCGAGACAUAGCAUCGCAAAUAAUCCUCCAGCUGCCUAUUCACCUUUUCCGUUUGUCCAUUUGUUUGUGGGUGAUAGGCUGUGCUGAAUUUUAACUUGGUGCAAUACUGUUCUAGGAGAGUUCUCUAGAACCUACUGGUGAAGAUUUUAUCUCGAUAUGAGAUAAUCUCUUUUGGCUUUCCCCACACUCGAACCACUUGUUCAAAGAACAACUUCGCCACACCUUCCAUAUCCACUUUCGUUGUGGUGGGUAUGAAAUGUGCUAUCUUCAAAAAUCGGUCCACCACCACGAAUAUCGCAUUGAACCCCUUGCUUGGGGGAGUCCUGUGAUGAAGUCCAUCGUAAGACAUUUCCACAGACAAUCUGGAAUUGGGAUGUUUUGCAACAAGCCCCCACUAGCCUUAGUCACGGCUUUGACCUACUAACAUGUUGGACAUAUCUUUACAUAGUCUUGGAUGUCCUUAGCCAUAUCUGGCUAAUGAUACUUCCUCUUGAGUAAGCCCAUCGUUUUGGGCAUUCCGCCGUGUCUUGCAAGAGGUCCGUCAUGACACUCUUCUAAGGCUACCUUCCUUAGUUCCCCUUUUGGGACAUACACCCUUGUUUGCUUGUAAUAGAUGAGUCCAUUGCAUUCUACAUAGCCCAUUUUCUCUUCCGUUGGCAACUCACCUCUUUAGUGAGCUUCCUGUGCCUCCAGAUUCCAUAGCAACACUUCUUGUGCUAGACCAUCGUUCUCAUAUACUGUCCGCACAUCAUCCCAAAAGGUUGCUGUUGCACUAGAUAUCGCCAACUUCAAGCUCGCUUUUCAACUUAGCGCAUCUGCCACGAUGUUGCUCUUCCCAGACUUGUACAGAAUCUCACAAUCAAACUUGGCCAAAGCAUUAGCCCACCGACCUUGUUUCCCCCUUAGGUCGGGCUGUGACAAGAAGUGUUUCAUUGCCACAUUGUCCGUGUAAACCUUGAAGUGUCUCUCAAGGUAGUGUUGCCACUCUUUGAGCGCCUUGACCACCGCAAACAAUUCCUUCUCGUGGGCAGGCCACUUUCGUUGAGCCUUAUCCAACUUCUUCAAGAAGAACGCUACUAGAUGGUUAUCUUGCUUCAAAAUUGUGCCCAACACAAAGUCUGAAGCAUCUGUUUCUACCUCAAAGUCCUUACCAAAAUCCGGUAACACCAAUACGGGAGCCUUACUCAACUUCCCUUUGAGGUGGACAAAUGCCGCUUUGCAUUCCACUGUCCAUACCAUCUUCCCUUUUCCCGUUUGGUCCGUUAAGGGCAGGGCUACUCUCGAAUAGUGUCUAAUAAACUUUUGGUAAUAGUUGCAUAGCCCCAAGAAUGCCCUUAACUCAUGUACAUUCGAUGGUCGCUCCCAAUUUUGGAUCGUUUGGACCUUCUUAGGGUCCAUUUUGAGCCCAUCCUUGCCCACCACAUGCCUGAGAAACUUUACCUCUUGCUGAGCAAAGUCACAUUUGCUCUCUUUAGCAUACAGUUGGUGUUCCCUUAGUUUCUCAAACACCUUUGUCAAGUGUUCGGCAUGAUCCUCUAGCGUUUCGCUAUAGAUCAAGAUGUUGUCAAUAUAGACGACCACAAAGUGAUCUAGAUAGGGUACAAAGACGUGGUUCAUCAAUGCUGAAAACGUUGCCGGCGCAUUGCAUAGCCCAAAGGGCAUCACCAAAAACUCAAAGCUCCCAUACCUUGUUCGACAAGUUGUCUUCUCGACAUCUUCCUCUGCUACCCUGAUUUGGUAGUAUCCUAACCUUAGAUCAAUCCUCGAGAAGUAUUUUUCCUUUCCCAACCUAUCGAACAGGUCCUCAAUCCUUAGCAAAAGGUACUUGUUCUUCUUUGUAUACUUGUUGAGCAAUCAAUAGUCUAUACACAUGCACAUAGAUCCAUCUUUCUUUUUCACAAAUAACACUGGCGCCCCAUAUGGCGACUUGCUCAACCUAACAUACCCUUUGUCCACCAACUCCUCUAGUUGGCACUUGAGCUCUUCGAGUUUUUUUUCGUUCAAACGAUAGGGGGGACGAACCACCGUCUCAGCACCCUCAACCAGCUCAAUCUUAUGUUCUAUCGGUCGUGCGGGGGGCAACCCUACCGGGAGCUCCUCCGGCAUGGUAUCCUGGAAUUAGUCCAACACCCGCUAGAUCACUAAAGGUACUUCUUCCAUUCCCAUCUUUUUGUCACUCUUCACCGAGAGUAAGCACAAAAAUGCUACCUUGGUUCCUUUAGUGAGUUGUCCUCUCGUGGACACCAGGUUUAGGCAGGAAUCUUUGGCCUUGUAUUGCCCUACCUUUAGAUCCUAGGCCUCCACCUUAGAUCUUCUUCCUUGGGCAUUCAUUAGCACCACAAGGUUCCUACCUUGUCCAUGUAGGGCUACCAUGAACCGAUUGAACCAAUCCAUCCCAAAGAUUAUGUCAAAUCCCACUAUGUCCAACACGUGAAAUCCAUAUCUACUUUCCAUGUCCCUACUUCGACCUUCACUUGUCGAAGUACCUCAUCGGUGCUUUGGCUGCCUUAAACAAAUUCUAUAGUCCUUGGUUCACCCAGCCGCUGCACCGUUAGUCUGGCUUGGUGGACUAUGUCUGCAGCCACAAAAUUAUCCGAAGCACCCGUGUCAAUAGAGAUCUUAACAAAGCUCUUGGAGGGCUAGUAGAUGUCGCGAACGACUCUCUACCAAAGUUGCUCAUGUAAUGAGUAAUUUUGAGUUAGGGACUAAAUCAUGUACCUCAGUUUGGAUUUCACCUGACUUAAUGGCUAUAUUGGCUCUGGCCUUUUUCGGGUAGGGACAUUCCCUUGAGAAGUGUUCCGCUUCACUACAGUUGUAGCAUACGUUGUUUCCCACGUUGCUAACCGACUUACCCUUCUUAUCCAUGGGUUUGUCUCUUUUUACUUGAUUCCCCCACGUAUUCGCUCGCUGGCCACCGGAUCUGCCUUUCCAGAACCCCAAGGACUCAUUCUUAGAGAAACUCUUCUUGAAUUUCCCUAUGUUAUAUGUUCCCCUUGGUUUGGCCCCUUUGCUAAACGUGGACCUCGACCCUGUCAUGUUCCCCUUUCGCAGGUUAUCAUUGAAAUGCACUUUGAUAGCCGCAUCCAACGCUUCUUUGUAAUUGGUCGGGUUCCAACGCAUCACCUCGCUGUGAGCCCAGGUUUGCAAGCCUGAUAUGAAGGCAUGGAAUGCAACCAUAUCACCCAUAUCUGUGACCAGUAUCCUCUUUGCCAUAAAUCCAUUCACAUACUCUUGAAUGGUUCCGGUUUGUUUCAGCCUACUCAGCUUAUCCCUUAGGUGCAAAGUAACAUUCGGAGGAAUGUAUGUCGUGCGGAUCCUCGCCUUCAUCAUUUCCCAAGUGGCCACUGGUCCUUCGUUGACCUCCGUCGUUCUCCACCAAGACUUGGCAUUAUCUGCCAAGUAUGGUUUUGCACAUGGGACCUUCUCUGAGCUUGGUAACCGCAACGCUCGGAAGUAGUCCUUCAUAUCGUAAAACCAAUCCUCCACCACCUUAUAGUCGUUCACUCCCUUGAAGACUGGUGGGGGCUUUGGUUUGUACUUGGGAACUGCUUGAGGGACUGAUUCCACUUCGGUUUGUUCAACCUUGUUUGGUUCUGCCUCAGUCCCUACCGAAGGGUCCAUACCUUCUGUGCUGCCAGCAUCCGUGGUCUUUUGCUUUUUCUUUUGCUUCUCGUCACGCUUUAGCUUGCGUACGAGAGUCUCCAGCAGGGCAUUGGUUUGUGCCAAUUGUCCUUCUAAAACGUCCAAUUGAGCCUUGGACGACCGAACCUCACCACAGGACUCCUGUUUGGAAGUUUCUUCACUAGAGUCCUCCUCAUGCAAAGAUUCCUCAUCCAUAGCCUCUUGUUCAAUCGGAGGCUCCAGCUCUGGUGGAGGUUCUAUCUCCGCCUUGGUUCGUUUACACUCUGCCUUUGCCAUCUCCCAGCAAUCUGCCUCUAUCCUUCGGUAGAACUGAGGAAAAAGCUCCAAUACCAAAUUGUAAGCUACAAAUUUUUCCUUUCCAAUUUGCCAGCUUACCUCAUCUAUCCGUCCAACACUGCCUUGGCUUUUACUAAGUUCCCUCGCCAAGGUUCCCGUCUAUGGUACUAGCUCCUACUUGGUUCUACUUGGUUUCAACUACUCACUACAUGAGCAACAGAGUGUUAGCUAGCCAUCCAUGGAUUCCCAAAUCCCUCCCAAUCCCCCUUCCCGGGUUAGACUAGACUUAAGGUUCGGCUACACUCCCCACAAGCACAAGCAGCCAAGCACACCAAACCACCAGAUUCCUAACAUCCCUUGGUAUCACAAGACUUUAUCAUGGGACCUUCUAAAUCCCAAGUCUUGGGUGCAACACUUACUUCGGGAUGCCAGGGCGAAACACCAUGGCCUAACGGCCCGGUAUGGGUACCUCUACCCCCCCACUUCCAUCCCGAAGGGAAGGCCCAAGCCCUUGGAAGGGCAAGGACCAAUGAGCCACAAGGUACUCAAGUGGGGCACCACUCCACAUGAGCCGGGAGCACCGCAAUCAGUUUCCCUUUCAGGAGUGGGAGCUGCUCUUGAGCACUUUCUGGGGUGGCCCCUCCGACACCACCCAAGUCCAUGCUCACUCCCACCCAAGGCCCCUCGGCCCUCGUCUCAACCUCAAGUCAGUUGGGAACCCCCUUGGGAAAGUUUUUUAAAGGGGGGUUCGGGGCCCCCCCAAUCCCUAUAAUAUUUUUGGAACCCAAAAAACCCCCCCCCCCCCCCCCCCCCCCGGCCCUAGGAGACGCACGCUUUGGGCUUUCACCCCUUGACCUAUAUUAGUAUUUGGACUCGGUCUCGGACUUGAUUUUGGACCCGACUUGGGAGUCGGUCUCGGACUCGAUCUCGAACUCGAUCUCAGACCCGAUCUCAGACCCGAUCUCAUACUCGACUUUGGACUCGACCUCGGACUCGAUCUCGGAUCUCGGACUCUAUCUCAAACUCUGUCUCGAACUUGGUCUCGAACUCAGUCUCGAACUUAGUCUCGAACUCAGUCUCCGAGUCGGCCUCGGACUCGAUUCCGGACUCUAUCUCGAACUCGGUCUUAGAGUCGGUCUUGGACUUGAUCUCAGACUCGGUCCCAUCCGAUGAACUCUUUGUCAUUUCAGUCAUGCUUUCGGGGAUCCUUUAGCCUACGACAUCUUGGGGAGUUGGUUCCUUACAAUCGGCUGAAGAGACCAAUGGCAAAGGAGAUGUCAGGGUGAGUCAUAUUGGCAAGGUAGAGUAGUCCUCCAACAAGCGAUCGGUAGACCGAGGGCUGAUCAAAUAAAUCAUCCAUCUUACUUGUGAACUUGAUGCUGGUGAUGACUGGUGUAGCCACAGAUUUGCAACUUGUCAUGUUGAACUGGUUGAGAAGCUUCUUCACAUAUUGGUGCUAUGUGAGGGUGAUUGCCCUGUCUACUUCAUCCCUGUCAACUUCCAUCCCUAACAGCUGACACACAGCUCUUAAGUCCUUCAUCACAAACCUGUCCAUGAGCUUGAUCUUCCCAUCCUUCAAAAUAGUGUCAUUGUUGCUAACAAUCAAAUAGUUGUCCAUAUAAACUUCCAUCACAACAAAGUGAUCACCCUGCUGAAGAAGAUAUAGAUUUCCAUCGCUAUUCAACCUUUGCAUAUCGAGACCCGUAAGAAAAGAAUUUAAACAUUCAUACCACUAAUGGGAAGCCUGCUUAAGGCUAUAAAGAGCCUUGCGAAGCUGUAGACAAGUUCGGAGCGCCAUGAUCUAAUAAAUUGGUGCGCGUUGCAUUGCAGCAACGCUUGGUUUGCUUUUGUUUUUAAAUAUUUUUUAUUAUGAUAUAUAAUUUGUUAUGAUCUGUCCAAUAUGCAGGUGCUAUUCUUGCUUUUGUAUAUAUUAUAUCUUUUAUCCAUAUAUGAUCUAUUAACUUAUUAUUACGUGUAUUGUGUUUUAUUAUUUGUAUAUAUCCUUUUUUCUCCAUUGUUGUUUGAAGUGGUUUUACUUCUUCUAUUUGGUAGUAUCUCCUAUAAUUAUUACUGGUUUUUAUUAUCUAUUUUCUGUAUAUAUUUUUGUAGUUGUUUUAUGAAUAUAUAUAUAUAUGUUCCAGGUUUUCUAUGUAAAUUUAUUAUCUGUAAUUGUUUUUUAUUUUUUUCUAGUGAUACAUAUGACAUUGCCAUUGUUUCUGUUUUUAAAUGUUCUACUAUUUCUGAUUUGUAGUCAAUUGUAUGCAAUAUUGCUAUAUGUGGGGGUUGUUCAUGUAUAUAUGAUUUAUAUUUAUUAAAAUAUAAAUCCUCAUAUUUUUGUAUUCUUACUUCUUGCAUACAUAUUAUAUCUGAUGUUAAUAAUUGUGAAUCACUCUUUAUAUCUUCUUGAUGUGCAGUAAUAGUCUUGUAUUUAGAACUUGUAUAAUUGUUUGGUUAGCUUUUUUUUCUUCUUGUAAAUCUAUUAAAUCAAUUUGCCAUGGUGCUUCUAUUGUCAUUCUUAUUAUUUCUUUAGCUGCAUCUUUAUUGAUUUUAAUAUGUUUAUGUUCAAUUGGUCUAUAUAAAUGUAUCCCUUUUAGUGUUUGUGCUCUUGAUAAUGCAGUAUAUGUUUAUCCUGGAUAUUUUGUUUUAUAUAGGUCAUAUCCUACUUGCAUAACUGUUGAUCCUAUGUAUUGUUCUUCCUGUGCAUGGUUGUACUGGAAAUUGGGUUCUACUUAUAACAUAGUUUUUAUUUUUAGUAAUAUUUAUUGUUCUUGUUUUUUUUUAUUGGUGUCCAGUUUUUUUUUUAUUAUUUUGCUUUAUUGUUAUGUUUUCUUUAGCUCUUGUUUUUUCACCUGUUUUUAUAUUUGGGAAUUCUAUCCACAUUAUUUGUUCUUCUUCAAUCUGGGUUACAUCUUGUAAUACUCCAUCUGCUCCAUUUACUAAUCCAUCUUUUGUUGCUAUAUUUUGUGUUAUUUCAAUUGCCAUUUUCUUUUUCAAAUGUAAUAUUUUAUGUAGAGUCUUUGUGUUUUUCUUGUGUCAUAUGGCAGUGUGAAAUAUUUAGAAUAGGAAUUUCCAUGUUUGUCUUGUGCUUCUAUAAUUAUAUCUUUACCUUGUAUGUGUUGUAUUAUUUUUUCAUUAUGUUCUCUUACUUGUUUAUUAGUUGCAAAUAUAGAAUAGUAUUCUGUGUUAUAUGUAUCUGUGGUGACUUGUUUAUUUAUAUAUUCUAGCUCUUUAUCUGUUUGUUCUCCUAUUUUUUAUUUUAUUUAAAGCUUUUAUAAAGAUUAUAUCAUCUUUUUGCCUCAUUAUUUCAGUAAGUUCAUAGAUUUUAAAAUUAUUUUUCCAUGGGUGGUGUAUGGAGACAUCAUUUUCAGAUCUAUAUGUUUUUUUUGAAUAAAUUGGUGUUUCAAAUGUAGGAUUUAAUUGAUAGAAAUCACCUGUAAAUAUACAAUCCAUCCCACCAAAGUCUAUUCCAUUUGUUGUUUUGAAGCUUUCACAUCUUCUAUUUAUAUCUUGUAGCAUUUCUAUACUUACCAUUGAUAUUUCAUCUAUUACUAAACAUUUUAUUGUUGAAAACUUUCUUUUAUACUUAUCUAAUGUGUCAUUUGUUAAUAUUAUUUGACGUUGUUUUGAUGCUUCUAGUCGAAAUGCAAAAACUGAAUGUAUUGUUGAACCAUUUAUAUUACAAGCUGCUUUUUCUGUAGGUGCUGUUAUUAAUAUUGUUUGUCCUGGUUCAUUAUUUAUAUCUUGGUUUGUUUUAUAAUAUCAUUUGAGUGUUUCUAUAAGUGUAUUUAAAAGCAUUGAUUUUCCAGUUCCUGUUCCUCCUGUUAAAAAUAAACACAAUUGUUUGUUAGGUUGUUUUAUUUUUUUUCAAUAUGAAGUCAUCAUGUAUUAUUCUUUGCUUUUUAUUAAGAGUUCUUAAUAAUUGGUGAUAUUUACUAGUUUCCAUAAGGUAUUCAUCUUGUAUUAUAAUUGUUGUAUUUGUUAAUAUUUUAUCUUUUAUUUUUCAUUUUGAAUAAAUCUUUCUCUAUAUCAAAUUCAUCUUUUUGGUUUGUGUUUAUUUCUUGUAUAUACUGUGCUUGUUAUUUUAAUAUUUUAUUUUCUUCUUGUUCUGGAUUCUCCCAAUCAAAUUCACUCUCAUUUGUUACUUUUUUAUAUAUGUAUUGAUGUUGUUUUUCAUUUAUUUGUUCCAUAUUUGCUUCAUAUGCAUUCAUAUAUGUUGUGUACAUUUUUUUAAGAUCUUCUUCUUUUCUAAAUUUUUUAUGUAAGAUUAAUCUUUCAAAAGCCCACUUUUCUGGAUCUUUUUCUUUACUAAAGUUUAUAUAUCUAAUUAUAUAUAUAUUUUAAUUUUUUCGUGUUGUUAUUUCUUUUUCAAUUAUAUAUUCAGUUGUUAUCUCUGCUAAUGUUAAAUCUUCUAAUUCUUCUGGUCUUUGCAUGUAUUUUUCAAUUAGUCCAGGUACUGCUAUGUUUGUUUCAUCUUUUUGCAUUUUUGCAAGGUCUUGUUUCAUUUUUAAACGUUUUGUUCGUUAUUCUUAUGGUUUAGUAUCAAUGAACUUUACAGUUCUAGACAUAUGAUGAAAUGGGAUUAACAAUAUUAAAAAAGGUGUUUGUUGAAUUUGUAUUUCCUUACCAUGUAUGAAGCUAUUUCCUAAUAACAGAACUCUAUUAAAUGCAUCAGCUCCUUCUUCUUGGCAUUUUUUAAAAUAGUUGAUAAUAUCUUUGUUAUUUCUGUUUCAAUACAUGCAAUGUAUGAUAAAUAAUAUGAUGCUGCUGCAUAUGGAUCAAGAAUAAUUUUUAUAUCUACAUUUGAUUGCCAAAAAUUUGAUAAUUUGUUAUUAAAAGUAUUUGUGUUUAUGUCUUUUGGUUUUUUGUUUAUAAAUUUUUUUUGUAUUUGUUAUUUUAGAUCUUAUUGUAGCUUUAUAUUGCUCAUAUGUUAUUUUUAUUAUUUUUAAAUAUUCAUCAAACUCUAAAUUUUUUAGAUCUAUAGUUUUAUCUUCUAGUAUUGUUUUUAAUUUUUUUGUAAUUAUUGUAUAUGAAUCCUUUUCAUGUUUUGUAAUGUCUUUUAUAGGCUCUAAGAUUUCUGUUUAUGGCAUUGGAGUAAUUGGGUAAUUAAAUCUACAAUUUAUAUUUUAUAUUUCUUACAUGUUUUUCUCUAUUUAUGAGUUUGAACAUCUUUUAUAUUCUAUAGUACUUUCUCUGAAUCAGUACAUAUAUUUUCAUUAGCAUAUUCUUAUUUGUUCUAAUAUUUGUGGUGGAUUUUCUAACCAUAUUCGUGCAUGUUCAUGUGGUGUACCACAUUGUUGACAUUGUGUUACAAAUACAUAGUCUUUUACUUUCCUUCCAAAUAUGUGAUAAUUGGACAUUAAUAAUUUUCUAAAUACUGAUGUUUUAUGUGCAUAAUAUCGUAUUGUGGUGAUUGGAUCAGCUCUUAGUAUUUUAUAUAUUUUCUCUUUUUCAUUUAAAUUUUUUAUCUCUUCUUUUUGUAAUAUAUCUGUAUUUAAAUGUUUUAAAGCAUUUAUUAAUGGUUCCCAAUGUCUUUCUAAACAACAAAGAGUUAAGAAUAGUGUUGGUGGUCCUAAUUGUCUUAUCAUGGCAAAUGCAUCUUUUUUUAGUGCUUCUAAAUUAUCUGGUGAUGUUCUUAGACUUUUAAAAUAUCUAAAACCUAUGUUUGACUUUAAUAUUUUAUCCAUAUUUUCAUUUACAAAUACAUCUUUUGAUGUGAUUUUUCUUCCUUCAUAAGUAACUUUUCUUAAUCUAAAACCUGCAUUUUGAUUGAAAAAUUUGAUUUUAGAUGUUACUGCUGUUGUAAAUAUAUGUUCAAUAUGUCAUGCAAAUUUUCUAUCCUCAUUCAUUAAUUCCCAUUGGAUUAUUUCUUGAUAUGUAAAUUUAAUUUUUAUGUCUAAUGGUCUUGGUUUUUCACCAAAUAGUUUUGGAUAUGCCAUUUCUUUAGCAUUUUCAUCUACAAAUAAUCCUAAUGUGUUGUCCUUGACUAGGUGCUAUAACUAAAACUUUAUUUGUAAAAUUAUCUAUUUGAUUUGCAUCUAAGAAGCUAAUUACCAUAGUAUUUAUUGGUAAUAUCUUAUUAUCAGGGUUGUCUAUAAGAUUUACACUUUCAUCAUCUUCAUUUAAUUCUUGUUGUAAUUGGUUUUCUAAUAUUAUUUGUGUGUUAUUAUCUAUAUUGUCUAAAUUUUGUGCUUGUUGAAACCAGUUUUCAUCUAUAUUAAUUUUAUUUUUCUUAUAUAGUUCUGUUUCUUGUAAUUGUUUUAUACUAUUAUAAAUAUAAUGUGGUCUGGUUAUUCCAUAUUUAUAAUAAUAUUUAUCAGUUAAUCUUCGUUUCAGCUGAAUUGUUAUUGUUUAUGUUUCUUCAAAUGUUCUUGGUAGUUUAUUAAUUAUUGGUUUAAUAUUAGUUGGGACAUUUAUUAUUCCUCCUUUUAUGCACUGCUGAUAUUGAGGUUGAUUUGGUAUUGUUAUAUNNNNNNNNNNNNNNNNNNNNNNNNNNNNNNNNNNNNNNNNNNNNNNNNNNNNNNNNNNNNNNNNNNNNNNNNNNNNNNNNNNNNNNNNNNNNNNNNNNNNUAUCGAUCAAUUAGAUUCAUUCUAAUUUUUUCUGGACUUUUAUAUUUUUCUUUAUUUGUCAUGCAUUGAUUGCAUGUAUAUUCUUGUUUUUUUAUUAUAUUUAAACCAAAUUCUUUUACAUAUUUUACAUGGAUGUAUUGGUAUAUCCUGUAUAGCUUCAUUAUACAUUUGUAGUGCUUUCAUACUUUUUAGAUUGUUCAUGUCAUAUUCAUUUUCUUGUUGUUCUUUCUCUUUUAUUGUUUUUUUUUCUUUGCUUCUAAUAUAAUAUACUCUUCUUUUAAGUUUUUCAUUUGAUAUAAUACUCCUUGUUCUUUGUCGAAAAAUAUUUAUUUUUUCAUUUGUUUGUUUUUGUGAGUUCCAAGUUUCCAUAAGUAUUUUGUCUUCUUCUGUUGUAUAUAUAUUUUUUUGAUUUUGUAGAGUAUGUUCUUCAUGUUUUUCUUUGGAUAUAUUAAUAGUUUUUAUUUGCUCAUUUUUAUUAUUUCUUGAUAAAUAAUAGUAUCUAGAAACAAUUUGUUGCUCAGUUAAAUCAAUAUUAUGGCUGAAUUUUAGUUUUUUUGCUUUUUAUUUGUAGAUCCUUAAAUUGAUAACAAUUUUGCAUCUAGAAGUUCUGUCUAUUUAAAUUUUCUUUUUGUUAUAAUUUUUCCCUUUAUACUUAAAUGUCCUUAUUGCCCUUGAUGUCCUUACACCCACCGGAUAGGUGGGUGCAUCCAGAUUAGUUUUAUCUAUGAUUGUUUAGCUGAUCAAGAUUGUUUAAAGAGAUUCAACAAUCGAACUGAAUGGAUUAUUUUAAGCCUACUUUCAACAAGUUUUAAUUCUCUAUCUUUCAAUCAACAGCUUUGUGAGGCUGAUAUUUGAUAAUCUAGACCAGUAGAAACAAUCAAAGACAUUUUACUUACUUCUCAAUGUUAUUUCGUUGAAAGCCAUUUAUGCCCUAAAGUUNNNNNNNNNNNNNNNNNNNNNNNNNNNNNNNNNNNNNNNNNNNNNNNNNNNNNNNNNNNNNNNNNNNNNNNNNNNNNNNNNNNNNNNNNNNNNNNNNNNNNNNNNNNNNNNNNNNNNNNNNNNNNNNNNNNNNNNNNNNNNNNNNNNNNNNNNNNNNNNNNNNNNNNNNNNNNNNNNNNNNNNNNNNNNNNNNNNNNNNNNNNNNNNNNNNNNNNNNNNNNNNNNNNNNNNNNNNNNNNNNNNNNNNNNNNNNNNNNNNNNNNNNNNNNNNNNNNNNNNNNNNNNNNNNNNNNNNNNNNNNNUCUUUACACUACACCAGAUGAAAGGACUGGAUAGGGCACUGGAUGUGGUUAGAAGAUGGAAGAGAGAUCCAGCACAAGGUGUGUGAUCAUUCCUCCUUUUUUUUUCUUUCUUCCUUUUGUUUUUCCUUUUCAUUCACAUAAGCUCCCACAGAAUAAGAAGCUCUAGAGUAACAUCAUGGCUUUGUUAGUUUUUGGAGCUGGUUUCUCAAGUUUGGAUUUAGUAUUUUGCCAUUGGAAAGGUAGAGUCUUUGCAGGUUCAAAAAUUAUACUAGAGGAUAUACAAAUGUAGGGAUGGUGUUGUCCCGAAUCCUGUGAAACAGCAGCUGUUUCAAUGCCUUAAACUUCUACUUCUGCCUAGAGAGAAGAUUUUCAUCAUUACAAAUCCAUAGUGAGAGAAUCUUUAGGCUCUACUGACAGUGGCAGCCCUGGACAAGGUAGCCAAGUCCAAAGAAAGUUGUUCAAAAUGUCAAGUGAGAUAUCUUCGACUAGGCAGGAUGAUUCCACAAACAAGUAACAUUGUUCUCACUAUGGAGACUGGUAUCUAGCAUGAUGUUUUCAAUUUACAGGGUUGGCUGUGGAAAACCCUCACACAUCCAAUGACAAGUCCUUGAAAAGUCAAUGGACUCAAAGAUGGUUUGAAGUAGUUUGUAACUUUCUUUCUUGUUAGGACAUUUUUUUUAUAUACCUUGAUGUAGGUUCUACUUGAAAUGAUUUCUUUUGAGCUACUACAGGGUGAAGGAGAGCUCAACAUUGUCAGAGAUGGAUAUCCAGGGCCAAGAACCAAAGCAAACCUUUGAUGUAUGUGUGCCUUCCCAUUUAACUUUCUUCUAAGCUAUUUUGUUUUUCUUUUGUAAGUUAUCCAGUAGGAUCCAAUAAGAGCAUGGUCAUUCAGAAGCAAGAGCUUUAGUUUAGUAAUCUGUAAGCUUUGUGACAAAGAGAUGUCAAAGAUACAAGGACUUUUAGUGACCAUGUCAAUGUCUCUAAAGGUCACCUUUGAAAGACUUGACUUUAGCGUAAGUAUAAAGUACUUGCAAUGUGAAGUGCCAUUGCUAUUAGCAUUUUGUUGAUGCUACAGGAUAAUAUGAUUUGAGUAAAAAGGUGCAUACAAUGAAGUUCUGCCGCUAAUGGUAUGCUUUCUAGAUCGUGUCUGCUAGACAACUUCACACUUUCAAAUUCCAGUCCUGGCUCAAAUUUUUGAUUGCCAUAAUGAUUUUGACCGUGGCUUUUCCAACCCUUUUUUAAAGAGCACUACAAGAGCGUACAUGGCUUCAAGCAUCUAGGUCAAACAAAUCAACAACAAAGCUGAAAUUUAGAAUUGCUUGUGGCUCAAGCUCUUUCACGUUCAUUUUCUUGCACAUUUACUGGCAGAUGGGGUUUAGCAUCUAAUAUAAAAAGCAAUACACCACAUUCUUCACCCAACUUCUCUAAAACCCUUAAGGAACUCUCUAGCCAGAUGCACAAUGAUCAUUUUCCUAGAUUUUGGUGUUAGGUGUACAAUGUUAACAUGGUAGAUUACCUAAGAGGGGCUUUUAGAGGCAGCUUGUGUUUUUCGCAUAUUAGUUCUCUAAUUGAUUGUGCAAUGCAAUCAGCAGCAAUCUUGUGAGUCGUUGCUAUGGGAUUUCUAGUUUGUGUGCUUUGAAAUUUAGAAAUUAUUAAGAAAAGCACUGCAAGAUUUCACGAAUAGAUAUUUGUAUUAUAGAGAAAGUAAUUGAAAAAUAGACAAGAGACAAAUGUAUCUAUUUCUGGUUAUUGGCAAUUUCCAUAGCUGAAUUGUUUAGUGUCUCAAAAUGGACAAUAAUAUUUGCCUCAUUCAAUAGAAAGAAUCCUGUUGGUUUUGAAGACAGAUAAAUGGCAAUCUUUUCUAGGGACUCCAUAGCAAACUUGACCAUAGCCCCUUCAUCCAAAUUAUAAAUUUUAUCCACCAUUUUAUCAUGCACUGUAACUCUAUAUUCCAUCAUGUCAUUUGAUAUAAUAGAACCAGUUAUUGUAGCUGAUUUAUGAGGGAUGGAAUGCCCUUUACACUUUGCGCAAACAACAAAACCAUCUUCUCUCUGCUCUAACAUUGUGAAAGAGUAAAAUGAGCAAAGACUUUCAGCUUGAGUGAGGCUUUAUUGGUUGUCAGGGAUGAAAUAUCCAUUAAUCUGUAUAAUUGGAAGUUAGAGUUGAAAGUAGAUGUAAACAAUUUACAUUACCUUGUCUUUAGAAGUGAGACCACGGUGUGUUUUAUAAACUUCAUUGAGCCUUUGAAUUUCGUUUGAAUCAACUAGUGGCAAAAAUAAAGUACUUCCAAGUGUUGCUAAAUCACUUGAUACACUCAUGCUUUUCAUAAUAUUAAAAUUUAAAAACUUUGGCAUAUAUCCAGCAUAUAAAUCUGCUACAAUAUGAUGAUACUGCUCUUCAUGCUCCAGAUGCAUAUAGAGCUGUGAAAAUAUCUUAGAAAUAGAAAAUUAAAUAGGAAAAAAUAUUACCAUAGUUACAUCCAAAGGAUUAUUAGAAGAAGCAAUCUUUAUUUUAGGAAAAACACAAGUGUUGAUUACAACAGCAUGUAUAGCUUGUGGAUAAACUCUAGUAGCCAUUAAAGAUGAUAUAGAAGCUCCUCUAGUUGGCUGUAAUCUUAAUUUAACAUCAAAAUCAUCUAUAAUUUGAAUGAUAGAAGAAUCUGUAAUAUAAAGAACUUUUUCUAAAGUUCCAUGGUGUUAAAUUGGGUUUUUCUGUCGUUCAACCCAUCUGCAGUGAGAGAAUUAUAAUCUUGUUAAUUUUUUUUAAAAAAAAAUUACAAACCUUGUAAGUGAGAAACAUUUACCAACCAUAAAUUUAUUAUAUAAUCGUGCACACAUGGAUGAAUUGCCAUAUACAGUGAAAGUUUGCAAGCCAUGCAUAUCUGUACAAUCCAUUAUAUAAGUUAAGUAUUUUGCACUUCGCAGAGUGUUCUUUGCAAGAUGAACUUUAUAAGUUCCAUACCUAGGCAAAAAGCAAAUCAAAACUACAGAAAAAAAGCGAUUUCAAAACCAUACGUAGAUAAAACCUUCAGCUCAAGAAUUUUGGUUGAAUUUGCUUUUUCAAAGACAAGUGAUGCAAUAGUAGCUUUUAGGAUGGUCAACUUUGUCCUCUUUGCUUGUGAAACUACCAAAGAGAAAUAAAUCAAGAAAUACUAUGGAAUAAAGAGAAAAACCAAACCUUCAUAAGAAUUUGUUUCUGUAGACAAAUCCUCAGCAGGUGACGACUAAACAAUAUCCAUAGCACAAUCCAAAUCUGACAUAUCUAUAUGAUUGAUUAAACAGAAUUACCUCUAGUUAAUUUAUACUAGUAAAAAGAUCCAAAAAUAAACUAGACUUCACUUUGAAGAAUCAAAAACAAAAAAGAAUAAAACUUUGAGCUAAAAAUUAAAAUCCGUCAACUUGCCAAACUUAGGGUUACGGUAGACAAUAAACCAAUUUGGCAGGUGACAAACCUUCUGAACCUUUUCAACCUUUUCGUGCACUGACUCUCCUCAUUUGUAAACAUCAUUGCCAGAUACUUCUCAUCAUCGACCAAGCUGAAGCUAGAAGCAGCCUGACUUUACUCCUCAACUGCUACAAUCUCCCUCCAUUGGUUGCUUUAGAGGAAUGAAUAGGAAUAGAAAGAUUGUCCUCCACUGAUCUUUGUUUUCUACCCACUGCCCACUCACAUAAUAAGGAGCCAUAUAGAGGAAGACCUAAGCUCCAUCCAUAGAUGCAUUCCAGGUUAAUUGAUUGAUUCUGGGCAAUCAAUCAGUACCGCCAUAGUGGGUUUCUGAUCCUGGAUCAUGGCUCUCAGCUCAAACCUCCAGGGAGAGCCAAUUCUCAAUCAAUUCACUAGUCCAAAUAUGAUUUUCUUGACGCUUCCCAGGGACAAGAGCAAUCCAUUGGAGCCAGUGGACAAUGCAGUGGCCGGGAAUGACAAUAGCAUCAUGAUUGAUCUCAAGGGGGCACUACUCAAAUCCCUGAGCUGGUUUCUGUAGCGCACGUGGUUUUGACCCUUUAUCCUAUGGUGAUUUACCAUAGGAUAACACCACGAAGCGGAACCUAAACCCUCUUUGUGCCACGUGAUGGAUGCCACGUGUCACAUGCCACGUGUCCAUGCCACGUGUCCAUAAGAACCCGAGGUUUAGGGCCUUGGGCCACUGAACAAAGGAAUGGUGCCAAACUCCCAAGCAUGGAGCCAAGGAGUGACGGAACCGAACCACGGAGCAACUCCUGAGCAUGAAGCCCAAAGAGCGAAGGGACAGGAGCCCAAAGCGACUUGGAACAGUCCUAGAGUAACCAGCAUCCUAAUGCCAGGACCAGCACGCAAAAUGGAGCCAAACGGAGUCUAGCGCUAUUUUGGCAUACCGGUGGCCUAACGCGAGGAUAUGGGUACUCCACCAACUAGCAUGGAAUGGAACUUGGGCUUAGACCCAAGCCGGACGCAGAACAAGGACAGGCACGCAAGCGGGAGCUAGACUAUGCCUCAGGUUGGUCGCCAUGCCCGACCUACCCACUAUCCCUACUAUACAUUUGGAACCCCCCACAGCCCCCCCCCCUUGAGGAACACACGCUUUAGGCUUUCACCCCAAGCCUCCCUUAGUAUCAGGAGUUAGUCUCUGGGACAAGCUCGAAACUUACUAAAUAUGGAAUGUCCUUAGAUUGCGAAUUUGGACACGGGACGAACACCAUUGUGUUCAGACCGAUCUCUACAUUCCGUAGAUAUGCCAAAUGAGCAAAUCUGGACACUUUCCAUAAAUAGCAUUUGGGACCGAAAUGAGACUAACACAAAGGGCAUGAUAGCGAGGGUGUUUGGCAGACACGGUAAGCUAUCAUCCAGCGAUAUUGAGGGACCAAUCUCAAUACGCGAGGGUUCUUGUCAAGCCAGUGCAAGACAGAGCAAAAGAGAACUAACAAGCCGGGCCAAGUAUGCUCAGCUAAAUAGACACUUAGGAAUUCCUUCCUUAUGCUCAUCCGGCCAAGUACAGAUGCAAAGUCCAGUUUACUAACACUUGAACAAGAGGGGCCAAUAAAGNNNNNNNNNNNNNNNNNNNNNNNNNNNNNNNNNNNNNNNNNNNNNNNNNNNNNNNNNNNNNNNNNNNNNNNNNNNNNNNNNNNNNNNNNNNNNNNNNNNNAGAACAAAAGCUCGCAAGAAGCGAUAGCUAAGUCUUUCCUAACAAUGAUCACAAGUUUCACACGGAACUAACUUCAAUGCUAAAGAAAAAAUCAUGGUGCAACCCACAAUAUCCUCCUCAAUAUAUCCAUAAGCCAAACUUCAUAAUGCCAAAGCUAAUGAAGAGCAUGCCUGCAUCAAUCCAAAAGCUAAGCAUAAUGAAGCUAUGCUCAAUAAGUGAUCACCAAACGAUCCUCCAUGAAUCCAUCUAUAGCAAGACGUAACUCACUUCAUAACAAGCACAAGAAGAAUCAUCAAUGAUCGAUAUAUUCCAACUCAAAUCCAAUAAGGAUUCAAACAUUCCAAUAUCAAUCACUAACUCUUCCGCUUGUAGAGUUAGCAUAGUCCACAAUUGAAUCACUUUUCAAGGAAAAGCUCAAAGCUCAACCCUUACUAAACAAUCUCGUCUGGACACAAUUAACUCAAACUUGCCAUUCCGUUUGUUUGAACGUCAACACAGUUGCUAACUAGCAAAUGCACGAAUGCCAAUAACACAAAGCCAUAGCCAAAUUAUCAACACUAUUUUCAUCGAGACUAAUGAAACUCAAUAUCAAUCCUAAGGAUAGACACCUCAUCUCACUUGAAUCCCAACAUCAAUAAUAUCAAUGACAAGGCAUCACUUCAAUGCCAUUAACACCAUAACAAAGCUAGAAGAAAGCAAAAGUGAAUCACCACUCAAAACUCUCUAGCAACCAAGCUAACCAAGGUCAAAGAUACUUUACUCAGUAUCCGAGACCAAUCCUUCAACAAUACUCAGUUACAGAUAACACUUCAUCAAGGAGUGAAUCACCACAUCCAAGACUCAAUGAAAUCCAACACCACGAACUAAAUGCAACCAAAUGAUAUCAACAGAAGAUAAAGUCGAUAUGCCAACAUGGAAAACCCAUGUAAGUCAAAUGACACGAUCCUCCGCAAUACCAUCCGGUAAAGUAAACCCAUCACUACUAAAUCUUCAUCAAGCGAAGCAAGUGUCCAAAGCCCUUGACAAAGUCUACAAGCAAUCACUAGUUGCAAAGCAACCAACAAUCACUUGUCUUGCCUUUCACAAGACCCAAACACUAACUCAUGCCAUUGAGUUACACACUUGUCCAACAUGAACGUAAUACCCCAAAUAUGAGAUAAAGGUUCAUGGACAAGCACAAACUAAAUGACCACUCGAAUCCAACUCAACCGCGAUAAGCUCACCAAUGCAUUUAGCCACUAGCUUUGAGCAUGCCUUGAAGAGGCUAGCUAUGCAUGACCAACACUUAGUCGAAACUAAAGUGAAGACCAUAAGAUGAAUUCAUAUUGGUACACAACCUCUUUAUAGACAAAGCUAUAGUAUGGGUAUCAACAUCUUAACUGCAAACAACUAAGUUGGACAUCACCAUCCUCAGCCAAGGCGCAGGGCCACCAAGACCAAGUCAAGAUCAGUGAGAGCUCACUACUCUCAUAGAGUCUAACGAAAUACAAAGUGCAACCUGCCACCAAGCAUAACGCUACAAAAGAAAGGCACAAGGGUCACCUUUCUAGAAAAGUGCAACGGCCACUUUUCUACAUUAACUCCAGACUCUAUCCAACUCAAUUGCCUUAGCCCCAAAAGUUAGCAUCCCUUUUGGGCCGCAUUAUACAAACUAUCUACUAAGGUCUAAGCUAACCGAAGUCAACUCCAACCCCUUCACUAGUUUGUAUUGGCUUAUGAAAACGGAAUGGUUUUCGGACAAAGUGAUAACAGAUCAGCCAUUGAAAAAGUCUAAGAAAAUUUGUGGAAAAUUUCCAUCCUAGAGAAAGAAUGACUCUCAGUCUAGGAAUACAAACUUUCAAGACUCAACCAACUUCUUCCUACUAACAACUUCACAUAGGUUCACCUCAACACAAAUUCUCAUGACCCAUAGUAUGCUUAAGCCACAAACAUCUUUUUGCCCAUUCUUUCGACAUCUAACACCGAUGUCCGUAAAAUGCAAAUGGAACAUCCAAGGCUUGAUCACGAAGACCACAUCUUCGAAUAUCCAUAUUGCACUAACACUCUUCUUCAACCAUCUUUAAGAUCCAAUGUGAAGCCCAAACACUAACAAGAAAAAUGACAUAGAAAAUCAAGUUCUAAGGAAACUUCCUCAUCACUCGAAAAUAACAAUGCCACUUCCACUAACACAAGUGCUAGCAAUGUCAAUGCCUCAACUUCACACCUUCUCUAUCCAACAAUCUACUCCAAGUGCUAGCGGAUCAACCGACAAGCUAUAACAAGUGAAUGCUAUAACCCUUUUUCAAACACCUUAGUGGGCAAACUCAAGGAAACAAGGUACCAACUCAAGCUUAGCAUAAUGGUCCACCAUUGAGAAUCUAGUCAAAGCUACUACAAUGCUACUACGUGCAAGUAGAUUAGCUUCUCCAUCAACCACUUUGGGGUUGAUCAUCGUUAACCAAGCAACUUCGUAAACACAUUGCUCAUUAUCACAUGGAUAUGAUAUAAGUAUCACAAUGACUUGAUCAUCAAUCAAGCAACAAUAUAAGCAAUGCCAAUGUCAUUACUUCAAAGGUUUAUGUGAGCAUCAAGUGCCAACUCAAUUCAACAAAAUGCAACAUAAAUGCCACACUCCACCGAUAGAGUUUUAUAACACCCAACACCACUAACUUUUUGUUCACAACAUGGACAAACUCAUGCCACUCUCUUUCUGACCAAACUCAACACUAAUCCAAUACCAAGCUACUCAAGGAGCAAUAGCAAGGUUCCCCGGAAAAGAAUUGAGCAUUGCAACCCAAGUCUUCCGAUAGCAAGUCUAAACAAAAUGGUUUAGCGUUUCACCGCUAUCCAUCCCAUGACUCACCAUUUGUAAGACCAUCAUUUCCAACAUGCAUCAAGAUAGGGACUCUUGAUUGCAUAAUGUGAACACGAGCAAUGAGUCACACCUCAUUGCAAAUCAUUUCUCCAAGAGAAGAUGAUUUACGUGUUUGAUCCUUCGUCCCCGAUGACUCUCUUUUCGGUCUCAUCUUUGACUACGCUUCAAGCUUGCGUUCGCACUGCCUUCAGUCCAAUCCAAGAAAAGUUUAUAAGAGAGCACGGCAAUGAUUACUUGAACCAAUAGACUAAUCCCUAUAAUCUUGAUUGAUCCACUUGUAAUCAUGCCUAGGAAGGAUCUACUAGUGCCGUGCUAAACAGCUACGGACCAGCCUAUUUGCCACUCAUAGCAAACCCAGGGAAGGUUUGCUUUCACCCACGGUACAUGGAACAACUCAUGGAACCACUGAUAAGCUAACAUUAAUCCUGCCAACUCAAAGUGUAACCUUGAGUUGCUAAUGUGCCUCACACACGAGCCCAAGCUCAAACUCGUACUAACGGAGCAUCUCAAAUCCAUCAUAUGAGCCCAAGAGCAAGCUCACAUUAUUAGGUACAAAAGGUAACUAAAACCAUACCCAAGGAACAAAUGUGAACCCUUUGCACCAAAACGUGUACCCACUCGGAUCAUCGUUUUCAUCUCUGCGUAUGCAACGAGACUAGUUGCCCAAUCUCAUUGAAUAGUACUCGCUGAGACUCUUGCUCUGAUACCAAAUGUAGCGCACGUGGUUUUGACCCUUUAUCCUAUGGUGAUUUACCAUAGGAUAACACCACGAAGCGGAACCUAAACCCUCUUUGUGCCACGUGAUGGAUGCCACGUGUCACAUGCCACGUGUCCAUGCCACGUGUCCAUAAGAACCCGAGGUUCAGGGCCUUGGGCCACUGAACAAAGGAAUGGUGCCAAACUCCCAAGCAUGGAGCCAAGGAGUGACGGAACCGAACCACGGAGCAACUCCUGAGCAUGAAGCCCAAAGAGCGAAGGGACAGGAGCCCAAAGCGACUUGGAACAGUCCUAGAGUAACCAGCAUCCUAAUGCCAGGACCAGCACGCAAAAUGGAGCCAAACGGAGUCUAGCGCUAUUUUGGCAUACCGGUGGCCUAACGCGAGGAUAUGGGUACUCCACCAACUAGCAUGGAAUGGAACUUGGGCUUAGACCCAAGCCGGACGCAGAACAAGGACAGGCACGCAAGCGGGAGCUAGACUAUGCCUCAGGUUGGUCGCCAUGCCCGACCUACCCACUAUCCCUACUAUACAUUUGGAACCCCCCACAGCCCCCCCCCCUUGAGGAACACACGCUUUGGGCUUUCACCCCAAGCCUCCCUUAGUAUCAGGAGUUAGUCUCUGGGACAAGCUCGAAACUUACUAAAUAUGGAAUGUCCUUAGAUUGCGAAUUUGGACACGGGACGAACACCAUUGUGUUCAGACCGAUCUCUACAUUCCGUAGAUAUGCCAAAUGAGCAAAUCUGGACACUUUCCAUAAAUAGCAUUUGGGACCGAAAUGAGACUAACACAAAGGGCAUGAUAGCGAGGGUGUUUGGCAGACACGGUAAGCUAUCAUCCAGCGAUAUUGAGGGACCAAUCUCAAUACGCGAGGGUUCUUGUCAAGCCAGUGCAAGACAGAGCAAAAGAGAACUAACAAGCCGGGCCAAGUAUGCUCAGCUAAAUAGACACUUAGGAAUUCCUUCCUUAUGCUCAUCCGGCCAAGUACAGAUGCAAAGUCCAGUUUACUAACACUUGAACAAGAGGGGCCAAUAAAGGGAACCAGCAGUACCGACCUCCUGCCAUCGUGGCAGUAAGGUAAGAGUGUCCGUAAGGACUAGUCGAUAGGUAACUUUCGAUACCCGAAGUCACAUGCGCGACAGUUUCACUGACCGAACCAAGAUCGACGUCCUCGUCGAUGCAUACUUGAGUCUAGAAUACCGCCAAGGAAACAACUCCAGAAAAAGUUCACGGUACUCACACUAUGUGAGAAAUGCACCAACUUAAAUGAGUUAGGGGGCAACCUCUUUGUCUAACGCGGAUGCGCUACCAGCUCAGACACCUUCCGGCCGUCGCCGACAAGGAAAUGACCAACGGAGUUAGCCACCCUUGCUGCUCUGGGAGUCACCCAGCUUACAAAAGUGUGAUAUGCCCCUGCCCCCAGGAACAUAGAGAGAGAAGCCAGAGGCCCCAACCCUCCUAAGCAAAGAAACCAAACCCGUCGGUAAGGUUUAGAUAGACUACUGUAAACAGGCAGUUAGAGUUGUUUACACGGUCACGCCCUUUCAACAGAAUAAGGAACAUCGACAGAGAGGCAGGUUAUGUGACCAGUCGACAGUAGCUACCCCAUGACUAGAGAUUUCAACAUGCACACGAAGUGCCGAAGCCAGUCUGCCUUUACUGGCCCAAACUCAAAGAUCAAUAGAUGGACAAUAUCAAAGUCAGAGACAAUGAUAUCUUAGAAGCUGAAUUAUCAGUGAUUAUAUCUUAGAUUAGAACACAAAAGUAUUCCAAGUAAGUUAUCAUCUGAUAAACUAGUAGUAUAGUGCAGGAACCACCAAGAUCAUCAUAAUUGGAAAACAUAGGAUUCACUAUCUAAUAAAAUUCAAUAGCUAGUGUAUCAUCAAGAACACUUAAUGAUAAAACAUAACUAUCAAAGAUAGCAGACNNNNNNNNNNNNNNNNNNNNNNNNNNNNNNNNNNNNNNNNNNNNNNNNNNNNNNNNNNNNNNNNNNNNNNNNNNNNNNNNNNNNNNNNNNNNNNNNNNNNNNNNNNNNNNNNNNNNNNNNNNNNNNNNNNNNNNNNNNNNNNNNNNNNNNNNNNNNNNNNNNNNNNNNNNNNNNNNNNNNNNNNNNNNNNNNNNNNNNNNNNNNNNNNNNNNNNNNNNNNNNNNNNNNNNNNNNNNNNNNNNNNNNNNNNNNNNNNNNNNNNNNNNNNNNNNNNNNNNNNNNNNNNNNNNNNNNNNNNNNNNNNNNNNNNNNNNNNNNNNNNNNNNNNNNNNNNNNNNNNNNNNNNNNNNNNNNNNNNNNNNNNNNNNNNNNNNNNNNNNNNNNNNNNNNNNNNNNNNNNNNNNNNNNNNNNNNNNNNNNNNNNNNNNNNNNNNNNNNNNNNNNNNNNNNNNNNNNNNNNNNNNNNNNNNNNNNNNNNNNNNNNNNNNNNNNNNNNNNNNNNNNNNNNNNNNNNNNNNNNNNNNNNNNNNNNNNNNNNNNNNNNNNNNNNNNNNNNNNNNNNNNNNNNNNNNNNNNNNNNNNNNNNNNNNNNNNNNNNNNNNNNNNNNNNNNNNNNNNNNNNNNNNNNNNNNNNNNNNNNNNNNNNNNNNNNNNNNNNNNNNNNNNNNNNNNNNNNNNNNNNNNNNNNNNNNNNNNNNNNNNNNNNNNNNNNNNNNNNNNNNNNNNNNNNNNNNNNNNNNNNNNNNNNNNNNNNNNNNNNNNNNNNNNNNNNNNNNNNNNNNNNNNNNNNNNNNNNNNNNNNNNNNNNNNNNNNNNNNNNNNNNNNNNNNNNNNNNNNNNNNNNNNNNNNNNNNNNNNNNNNNNNNNNNNNNNNNNNNNNNNNNNNNNNNNNNNNNNNNNNNNNNNNNNNNNNNNNNNNNNNNNNNNNNNNNNNNNNNNNNNNNNNNNNNNNNNNNNNNNNNNNNNNNNNNNNNNNNNNNNNNNNNNNNNNNNNNNNNNNNNNNNNNNNNNNNNNNNNNNNNNNNNNNNNNNNNNNNNNNNNNNNNNNNNNNNNNNNNNNNNNNNNNNNNNNNNNNNNNNNNNNNNNNNNNNNNNNNNNNNNNNNNNNNNNNNNNNNNNNNNNNNNNNNNNNNNNNNNNNNNNNNNNNNNNNNNNNNNNNNNNNNNNNNNNNNNNNNNNNNNNNNNNNNNNNNNNNNNNNNNNNNNNNNNNNNNNNNNNNNNNNNNNNNNNNNNNNNNNNNNNNNNNNNNNNNNNNNNNNNNNNNNNNNNNNNNNNNNNNNNNNNNNNNNNNNNNNNNNNNNNNNNNNNNNNNNNNNNNNNNNNNNNNNNNNNNNNNNNNNNNNNNNNNNNNNNNNNNNNNNNNNNNNNNNNNNNNNNNNNNNNNNNNNNNNNNNNNNNNNNNNNNNNNNNNNNNNNNNNNNNNNNNNNNNNNNNNNNNNNNNNNNNNNNNNNNNNNNNNNNNNNNNNNNNNNNNNNNNNNNNNNNNNNNNNNNNNNNNNNNNNNNNNNNNNNNNNNNNNNNNNNNNNNNNNNNNNNNNNNNNNNNNNNNNNNNNNNNNNNNNNNNNNNNNNNNNNNNNNNNNNNNNNNNNNNNNNNNNNNNNNNNNNNNNNNNNNNNNNNNNNNNNNNNNNNNNNNNNNNNNNNNNNNNNNNNNNNNNNNNNNNNNNNNNNNNNNNNNNNNNNNNNNNNNNNNNNNNNNNNNNNNNNNNNNNNNNNNNNNNNNNNNNNNNNNNNNNNNNNNNNNNNNNNNNNNNNNNNNNNNNNNNNNNNNNNNNNNNNNNNNNNNNNNNNNNNNNNNNNNNNNNNNNNNNNNNNNNNNNNNNNNNNNNNNNNNNNNNNNNNNNNNNNNNNNNNNNNNNNNNNNNNNNNNNNNNNNNNNNNNNNNNNNNNNNNNNNNNNNNNNNNNNNNNNNNNNNNNNNNNNNGUGAAGACCAUAAGAUGAAUUCAUAUUGGGUACACAACCUUCUUUAUAGACAAAGCUAUAGUAUGGGUAUCAACAUCUUAACUGCAAACAACUAAGUUGGACAUCACCAUCCUCAGCCAAGGCGCAGGGCCACCAAGACCAAGUCAAGAUCAGUGAGAGCUCACUACUCUCAUAGAGUCUAACGAAAUACAAAGUGCAACCUGCCACCAAGCAUAACGCUACAAAAGAAAGGCACAAGGGUCACCUUUCUAGAAAAGUGCAACGGCCACUUUUCUACAUUAACUCCAGACUCUAUCCAACUCAAUUGCCUUAGCCCCAAAAGUUAGCAUCCCUUUUGGGCCGCAUUAUACAAACUAUCUACUAAGGUCUAAGCUAACCGAAGUCAACUCCAACCCCUUCACUAGUUUGUAUUGGCUUAUGAAAACGGAAUGGUUUUCGGACAAAGUGAUAACAGAUCAGCCAUUGAAAAAGUCUAAGAAAAUUUGUGGAAAAUUUCCAUCCUAGAGAAAGAAUGACUCUCAGUCUAGGAAUACAAACUUUCAAGACUCAACCAACUUCUUCCUACUAACAACUUCACAUAGGUUCACCUCAACACAAAUUCUCAUGACCCAUAGUAUGCUUAAGCCACAAACAUCUUUUUGCCCAUUCUUUCGACAUCUAACACCGAUGUCCGUAAAAUGCAAAUGGAACAUCCAAGGCUUGAUCACGAAGACCACAUCUUCGAAUAUCCAUAUUGCACUAACACUCUUCUUCAACCAUCUUUAAGAUCCAAUGUGAAGCCCAAACACUAACAAGAAAAAUGACAUAGAACAUCAAGUUCUAAGGAAACUUCCUCAUCACUCGAAAAUAACAAUGCCACUUCCACUAACACAAGUGCUAGCAAUGUCAAUGCCCNNNNNNNNNNNNNNNNNNNNNNNNNNNNNNNNNNNNNNNNNNNNNNNNNNNNNNNNNNNNNNNNNNNNNNNNNNNNNNNNNNNNNNNNNNNNNNNNNNNNUACCGCCAUAGUGGGUUUCUGAUCCUGGAUCAUGGCUCUCAGCUCAAACCUCCAGGGAGAGCCAAUUCUCAAUCAAUUCACUAGUCCAAAUAUGAUUUUCUUGACGCUUCCCAGGGACAAGAGCAAUCCAUUGGAGCCAGUGGACAAUGCAGUGGCCGGGAAUGACAAUAGCAUCAUGAUUGAUCUCAAGGGGGCACUACUCAAAUCCCUGAGCUGGUUUCUGUAGCGCACGUGGUUUUGACCCUUUAUCCUAUGGUGAUUUACCAUAGGAUAACACCACGAAGCGGAACCUAAACCCUCUUUGUGCCACGUGAUGGAUGCCACGUGUCACAUGCCACGUGUCCAUGCCACGUGUCCAUAAGAACCCGAGGUUUAGGGCCUUGGGCCACUGAACAAAGGAAUGGUGCCAAACUCCCAAGCAUGGAGCCAAGGAGUGACGGAACCGAACCACGGAGCAACUCCUGAGCAUGAAGCCCAAAGAGCGAAGGGACAGGAGCCCAAAGCGACUUGGAACAGUCCUAGAGUAACCAGCAUCCUAAUGCCAGGACCAGCACGCAAAAUGGAGCCAAACGGAGUCUAGCGCUAUUUUGGCAUACCGGUGGCCUAACGCGAGGAUAUGGGUACUCCACCAACUAGCAUGGAAUGGAACUUGGGCUUAGACCCAAGCCGGACGCAGAACAAGGACAGGCACGCAAGCGGGAGCUAGACUAUGCCUCAGGUUGGUCGCCAUGCCCGACCUACCCACUAUCCCUACUAUACAUUUGGAACCCCCCACAGCCCCCCCCCCUUGAGGAACACACGCUUUGGGCUUUCACCCCAAGCCUCCCUUAGUAUCAGGAGUUAGUCUCUGGGACAAGCUCGAAACUUACUAAAUAUGGAAUGUCCUUAGAUUGCGAAUUUGGACACGGGACGAACACCAUUGUGUUCAGACCGAUCUCUACAUUCCGUAGAUAUGCCAAAUGAGCAAAUCUGGACACUUUCCAUAAAUAGCAUUUGGGACCGAAAUGAGACUAACACAAAGGGCAUGAUAGCGAGGGUGUUUGGCAGACACGGUAAGCUAUCAUCCAGCGAUAUUGAGGGACCAAUCUCAAUACGCGAGGGUUCUUGUCAAGCCAGUGCAAGACAGAGCAAAAGAGAACUAACAAGCCGGGCCAAGUAUGCUCAGCUAAAUAGACACUUAGGAAUUCCUUCCUUAUGCUCAUCCGGCCAAGUACAGAUGCAAAGUCCAGUUUACUAACACUUGAACAAGAGGGGCCAAUAAAGGGAACCAGCAGUACCGACCUCCUGCCAUCGUGGCAGUAAGGUAAGAGUGUCCGUAAGGACUAGUCGAUAGGUAACUUUCGAUACCCGAAGUCACAUGCGCGACAGUUUCAAUGCUUCAUGCUUGUCACAAUUGAGGCUGGGAGGCCUCUAUGAGCACUCCUCUUUUUCAUUCUUCCCUUCAUGUGGAUCACUGGCUGCUUCGUCCAUCCAGUCUUGGCUCCAGAUUCUUUGCUUCAUGGCAGAUCCUGGAUUGAGGGCCUUGGCAGUGGAACUUUGAGAGCUCCCUUGCAAUUGCCAUUAUGGACAUAGAGCCCAACCAAUGCACUAUACAUUACACAGUUUCUUUGGCCCAUGCUCCAAAAACCACGUAUGCUCAUGAUGAUACAAAGUGAGUUUAUAAAUUAUAAACAUGUUUAUAAAUUAUAAAUAUGAAAUUAAUCUAAAUGAAUAACCACCAUUGGAUGAUAGAAUAUCCAAGAAUAUCCAAGCAUAUUCUAAGUAGAUUCAUUACCAUUCUAGUCCCCCUACAGGUUUGCUUAAGCAAGCCAAAAAUCUUAAAGCCUGGGGGUUGCCACAUAAAUAUCUCCUUCUUCAAGUUCCCAUUAAGGAAGGCUGUUUUUACAUCCAUGUGAUGUGUGUGCAAACCAAACUCCGCUGAAAAGGCUAGAAGCAUUCUGAUACUUGUCUGCUUCACAAUUGAUGAGAACGUCUCAUCAAAAUCCACUUUAGGAACUUGUGAAUAUCCUUGAGCAACAAGUCUUGCCUUGUAACGCUGAACCGAUCCAUCAGGAUUUCUAUGAAGCUUGAACACCUAGCAUGAUCCGACAACUUCACAUCCUUCAGGAGCUUCCACCAAGUCAUAAGUCUGGUUCUCAUCAAGAGAAUUCAACUCAUCUUGCAUUGCUGAAAUCCACUUAUCUGCAUCAGGAGCUUGAAUCGCCUGCUCAAAGUUGACUGGUUCAGAAGCUAUUUCUAUUGCUACAAAAGACCAUUGCUUGGGAUGAGGUGCUCUACUUGAUCAUCCAAAUGAUGUCCACCCAUAGUUCUCCACGUUGAAUGGUAGAUCACAUGUGAGCCUGUCGACUUCUCCAAUUCAUGCACGAUGAGCAACAUCACCCUGUUCUUCAAGAAGAAAAAAUCCAGAGACUGGUGUUGGAUGGUUGUCUACUAAAGGAGAUAAGGGAUAGAUGAUUGUCAGAUCAUUGCCAUCAUCAUCAAUGUCUUCAACACCAUCCCAAAUCCAUUUUUCUGGAGUCCAAUUCAUGUUUUGAUCUAAGCUUCCUUCUUCUUGAAUGCAAUCUUUGUAGAGUGUUCCUUCAUCAAAACGAACAUCAAUGCUUACAAAAAUUUAAUGAUUACCAGGCUGGUACAUGUGAUAUUUUUUUGAAUUGGAGUCGUAUCCAACAAGAAAGGCCAGCUUGCUUCUACUCUCCAACUUGCCAAGAUGCUCAUUAACCCUUUUGCAAAGAUUAAACAACCAAAACACCUAAAUGCACCACUGAUUGUCUUUGACCAGUCCAAAGCUCUUCUGGGAUCUUGUUGGGAUUGCGAGAAUGAGGGAGGAGGUUUUGAACGUGCACAGCUGAUCUGAUUGCUUUAGCCUAGAGGAAUUUUGGUAGUCCUGAUUCUUGAAGGAAGCAUUGAACUGCAUUCAUGAUUGUCCUGUUCUUGCACUCAGAGACUCCAUUCUGUUGAGGGGUUUGAGAGCAAGAGCGCUGAUGAAGAAUUCCUUGUUCAGCAUAGAACUGCUGAAAGGACUUGUUGACGUAUUCCCCUCUUGAAUCAGUAUGUAAACAACCAACCCUCUAACCAGUUUUCACUUCGGCUUCUGCUACAAAUUGCUUGAAUUUGCUGAAGACUUCAUCUUUGUGAUGAAGAAAGAAGACGUCCGCGUGCCUGGAGAAAUCAUCUGUAAAUGUCACAAAAUACUUCACACCAUUUUGAGCAAACAGUCGCAUGGGUCCACAAACAUCUGAGUGAACACAACAAGUUUGAAAGUACGGUGGGUUUGCUUGCCAAGAAUGCAAGUGUGACAUUUCGCUGAACUUUGAAAAACAUGGUCAUUGAAGCCAUCCACAAGCUCCUUCUUCUACAUAUGCUUGAUGAGAGGGGGAUUGGCAUGUGCAAGUUGAGCAUGCCAAAGAGAACUAUCUGCAAUCAUGCAUAUCUCAGGAGUGUUUGAUUUUUCUCCAGAAGCUAUCUCCUUCUCAAACAGGUUACCACAUUUGGGAAAAUGCAAUAAUGGAUGACCAUUUGCAAGAACUUGACAUUGAUGUUUGGAGAAAUUCACAUCCAAACCUUCAUUCAUAAGCCUGGCUAUAGAAACCAGAUUCUUCACUAAUGCUCUAUUUCGUUAAAGUGGGAUUUAUUCAGUAAAAUGGGACUAGGUACAAAUUUUCAAGUAUUUGAAAAUGACGUGAAAUUAUAUGUUUUUUGUCCAGGGGCUAGACAUAUCUGGGGCAUGGUGAUUAGCGCGGUGACUUUGUGUCCAGAUUGAGUCCAUCUGGUUGUAUAAUAAAUCUCAUUGUCAAGGUGAACAAGCCGAAUCUGAAGCUAAAGAAGAGCGAUGGCAUGCGCGCACACACUAUUUGUUUAUUCAUUGAGCGUGUGGUGAGCUUUCCAAGAUGAAUGUCAUUCCUAUUAGCCAGACAUAUAACUUAAUGGUGAGAACAUUUAGAUAUUAUUCAAUGUUAUCUUUUUCUAACGAAUCUAAUUGUGAAGGUGUAGCAAGAGGCAUUGCUAGUCUGGAGAAGUCAUUUAACUCAUUUGACCCUUAGUGUAUUUUCAUGAAACUAAAUAACAUUCAUAUUAUUAAGGAAUUUCUCUAGUACCUUUUUUUUAUGACAUAGAGGCUUGCAUUUCUUUCAAAGGUGAUUUAGUAAAAGGCCUGAGGGCACAUGCCAUUCUAUUUCUCAGACCGGUAUUAAGAUAUACUAGUGCAAAGGGAAAAAGGUAUUUGGUGAUCAAGUAAAUGGCAUGAGGGCACACGCCAUUAUAAGCCUAAGCGCUAGUGGACACUUCCUUUUUGGUACUCUCAGCGGUACUAUCAUCCUUCUCCGGGUCAAUUGUUUUGCUUUGGAUUGAUGUAAGUUGGUCUCUUAGUAUUCUUUCCCAUAUGUCACAUCAUCUCAGGCCACAUGCCAUCACGCCUCCUCUGAUUCAGAUUCGGAUUGUUCACCUUGAAAUAAAAUACAUUAGAAACUUAGUAAAGGAAUAUUAAUGAAUCUCACCUUGAACCCGGGUUAUGAAUGCUCUUGCUGCAUCUCUUGCAUGGUCUGGCAAGGUGAUGGUGGCACUCUGCUUCCGCAUCCAACCAUGCACAACAUUAUCCAUCGAUAUGCUCAUGCUGGGAUCCCUUGGAUUCAGCACCCAUCUCUUUUCUAGGCAAUCCUUCGUAUAUCCGGAACUUGGCUUGAACCACUCCACAGUUACAUUGAAGGAGUUAGUUUCUGCGUCCUCCUUUGCAUCAGUGAUGCAGCGCCCCACCCAUAUCAUUUGUUUUUUAUUACUGGGUCUGACAAGCACGACCAUUCCUUUGCAAACCUGUACUGGAUUGAAUGCUGAAUCCGGCUUCUUGUUCCUCGGCCCACAAUAGUGAUCCUCAACAUUGUUAUCUGUCACUGCAUUUCCAGAGGACAUUGUUCCGCUACUAUCUGGUGCUCUGGGUUCUGGCCAAAAGGACUCUUCCAAUUCUUCAUAUACAACCGGCCCAUUUUGGAUAGCAGAUAUAAUCUUCUCCCAGUAUUCGAUCAAAGGCUUGCACCUCUGAAAAUAGGAUUCUCCACCAAACACCAACCCCCUCUUCCAGAAGGCAAUAUGCUGUCUAAUCCCAGCCACUAUACUUUCCUGGUCUUUGAGUCCAUCCGGGUGCAUCGGCCGUGGGGAACCCUGAGGAAUCAUAGGUUCCCCAGUUAUGGGAUCUCUCUUGAAGAAUUCAAUGCCGUCCACUGGCAGCCACACUGUGUCCCAUUCUCUCAUCUUGUACCUCAUCACUGGAGCACCGUCACGCAUGCUGAAAUGAAACUGAAGAGGCUUGGAGUGGCCAAUCAGCGUUUCAGAUCUGUCCCUGAUGUAACCUCUUACAAACCCCUUAAAGUCUGGAACCUCUGUCACAAGUGCAGCUUCAACAAUGCCUUUGAUGCAAUUUUGGAAUUCAUCGUAGAGUUGUGGGAGGGUGAGGACAUUGGAUCGCCGGAGGGACUCUGCCAGGUGAUUGAACAUGGCAUCGAUGUCUUCAUGAGUGUGCCCAACCAUGAGAAAGCCAAGUGUAACCGUUUCAAAUAUGCCUUUGGCAACAAGCAUCGCCAAGUACGCGAAGACGUACAUGUUUUUGUUCUCACUACCAGCAUUGUCUGUUUGGAGCAGAAGAUGGGGUGGAAGGCCACAUCGGCCGCAAGAACUUCCUUGAGAUUUUGCUUCGUUUGGAUGAGGCUGUGCAUUCACCAGGCGACCAGCCUCGUCGGAAUGGCAUGAGGCCUCACGUGAUAACCCUACAAUCUGACGGCCAACAUAUUCACUGGGAUGGCAUAGGGCCCCACGCGAUACUGCAAGCCUUUGCUCCUCCUCCAGCUGAACCCUUUAUGGGGUUCGAUCGACAAGGGCCUUAUGCAAGGGUUGGCCGUUCAGCUCAAUCUGCGCACUUUGCAGAGACCUUAAGUGUUUUGCUAGGGACGCAAUCAUCAUGUUUGCACCCCCGCCACCCCAUAGAGGUACAAAGAAGUUCCCAUAGUUCUGGGCACCAUGCCCAUGAGCGAUUAUGCCAAACAGAGACACAGGCAGCUGCAUGGAUGAAGAGAUUGCCUUGGGGGCAGGAUUGAGUUGAGGUAAGCACAUCUUUUUCUGGUCCAUUUUGUUGUGGAUGAUGCAGAGGUAAGAGUCAGGUUUCUCCAUGGAGAGAAUCCUGUUAUGAUAAUAUGCAGUCCUGCAGCUUCUCUGCUCGAUGUUGUGGUCGAGCCGCCUUCUAACCAACGUCUCUCGCUCUUGAGCGAUGCAAGAAUUCUUCGACAAAGCCAUUUUGAUAGCAGUGCACUCGUCACACUUUGAAAAGCUGGAGUACUUUUCUAUACUCACAUCCCUGAACCUGUUGCUCCACAAUCUACUAAAUCUAGAUUGGCUCAGCUUCCUGUAGCCAUUACUCUGGAGUUCCCGAUUCACAUCUUCCAAUAUGGCCCCCUUGGUAUACAUGGAAGGGAGAACUCGUUGGGUGUCUCGUGUUCCAUCUUCCAAGAGGCGGGUUUUAUGUGGUUGCUGCUCGCUACAUGUCUCGACAAACCUCUUGAAGAUUGCCUCUCCAUAUACAACAUGACCCCUGGUUUUGUGUGUACCGUCGUUCCCAUGGACUGCCUGUUGAACCCUUUGUUCCUCGAACUCAGUUUUGAUUCUGUAGAAUGUGGUUCGAGGGACUCCAUAAAUGAUUCUCCAUGCCUUCAUGCAGACCAAACCCCUCUGGAAGACCAUGCCCCCCACCUGAUGUUCUGAAGCAUCAACAGAUGACCGUAAUGCCUCAUACACAAAAUUGCGAGCUGGCUUCCAGGACAAUGUCUUGUAUCUUGCUCUCUCCUCUUCAAUAGCAUCCCAAUCAGCAUGUUGACAGCACCUCCUCUUGCAACAAGCAACUGUCGAGACCAUUCGAACCUCCAUCGCCAUUUUCUGUCUUUUCGGUUCAUUGCUCAGAUCCCUUUGGCUGCGCUUUAGGAAGGUGUACUUUCUUUUCCCAUGAAGAGAUGUUCUAUCAUCAGUUGUAGUGGUGUUUGAUUGUGAAUCCUUCACAUUCUCAAACAUUAAGUGCCUCAAUUUCCACCGCACAAUGCUUCCAAUAGUCAGACUGUUUUCUUUUGUAUCAACAACCUCUAAAAUCGCAACUCCAAUAUCAUCCCAGCCCAAUUCUUGAUUAGCAACCGCAUCUCUUGGAUCGACAACUGUGGCUAAGCCCUCAGCUACCACCUCCCCCUCGGGGUUGUUUAGAAACACCUUUGCCUGAAUCCAUGUAGCACAGUUCUUAAGAUCCACGGAGGGAACAUGCGUCGCACUUGCGCUGUCCCCAACAUCUGCUUUCUUCUGAAGAUUUUUCAAGGCAACAACAACAUUUACCUCGACGACCAUCUCUCCUCGUUCAAUAGCGACCACAUUCCCAUCGAAGACAGUCUCUACUGAUACAGCAGCAUUGCCCUCCCCAAGCCUUUGACAGUGUAUAACAAAGUUCCGAUCCAUAGACACAAGGGUCCCUUUUGCAACUCUCUUCCCACCAUUCAAAAUGUAAACCUUUUCCCCAACCCUGAAGGCCAUUCUGAAAGUGCAGAAAAGAAGUUAAGACCAUACAAAAAAUGAUUGGAGNNNNNNNNNNNNNNNNNNNNNNNNNNNNNNNNNNNNNNNNNNNNNNNNNNNNNNNNNNNNNNNNNNNNNNNNNNNNNNNNNNNNNNNNNNNNNNNNNNNNCAACCUCAAUAGCAUGAGGCCACAUGCCAUUAUUCAAACAUGCUAUAGACAAGCACGUGAAAUGUCGCAUUCACAAAAGUGGCAUGAGUCCGCAUGCCAUGAGUGGUCCCACUAAUGGCAUGAGGCCUCACGCUAUCUUUGGCCCCUACUAGCCUAUGGCUAUAUUCUUUUUGCCUGGCGGCAACUAUAUAUAUUUUCGUGUGCGUGACUAAUCACCCAUACAAAAAUAUAUACAGUUGCAACAAGGCAAAAGGAAUAUGGCAAUAGGCUAGCAGGGGCCAAAGAUGGCAUGAGGCCUCAUACCAUCUUGAUAUACACACAGUUGCAGGCAAGUAAAAACAUACAUGACAAUACGCUAGCCAUGAAAUUGCAAGGGCCCAAGAUGGCAUGUGGCCUCAUGCCAUUUCUAAAUGUGGUCCUAAGCCAUUCCAUGGUGAACAUACCAGGAAGCACAAGUGCCGAAUAUCAAGAGGAAGCGGUAGCCACACCAAAGACAGUGCCGCUCGCAACAUCGCAACUACUCGUAGCGCCGCUCGCAACACCGCAACUGCUCGUAGCGCCGCUCGCACAAACUGCCACUCGCAUAAACUGCCGCUCGCAAUGGCACUCACAAUGCCGCAACCGCUCGUAGACGCAUAAACCACAGCUCACAAUGCCGCUUACACAAGCAGCGCUCACUGCGCUUAGCGGAACCAAGAACACGGCACACAAAAAUGAUAGACCUAGGAAUGAGUUCAAGAAUUCAAAAAUAACACACGCUUGAACGUCACAUCAAAUCCUCUGACAAACCAGAUCUUAUGAUUCCUCUGACAAAUUUCAAACUGAGUAGCUUCUAGACUUUGCUGUCGGAGGUUGAACUUUGUCACAUCAUGUCCUUGCCUCGAUCCAGCUGUGCCAUGUCAGUGAUUCGAACUUUGCCAUGCCAUGUCAGCGAUCCGCGCCAAGAUUAUUCUCCAUGUAAAGGAAUAAUUAUGCUGUGUGUGUACGUCCAUUUAUGGCAAUAUAAGGCCACACGCCAUUCAAAGAAUAAUGCUAGUCGAGCAUUUUUUGGUGCAUUUUUGGGUUCAAAAUUGCAUGAGCCCACACGCUAUAAAGUUUACCUGUACCAAAAAUAGAAAUAGCUUUAUUUACUUGGGAAUUUAAGUGGUUGAGGCAUUUUUAAACUUACAAACACAUGCCCUACUUACAUUCCUUUGGUUGCUUAAAAUUCAAAAAUAUUAUAAACCUUUCUUUUUGCAUUUUCAAUGUUUUCAAUUAUGGUUUUUGAUUUUCGCAGGACCAGCCUAGUAAUCUAUUUGCAUCCCGUCAUGUUUAUAGCUAGCUUUCGUUUGUCCCCUUCGCUAGCCUGAGAUACAUCUGCUCGGCAUCUGCCUCUUACAGCAUUUACCCAGAAAGGGCAUCUUUCUUCACGCAGCAUUUGCCAUAUGUUUAAGGUUUAGGGUUUAGGGUUUAGCAAUUCAGUAGCUUGAUAAAUAUGCAAAUACAGAACUUGAUGCAAAAUCCUUUGAUAUGUCACAAUGCCCCUAGGACCAUAAACACAUUUCAAUAAAGAGGGUCCUUUCAUUUCAUAACUCCUUACGUAGAUCUUGGUGAAACCAGAGUUAGUGAAGUUAGUUUCUUGUGAUCCCGCAUCUGAUUGUGAUGUCCCUUUGCAGUGUCGAUGGAAAGGUCAAUGCACACCAAACUGUAGAAUCUUGGAGCAAAAUAACGGUCGGAUCUAUGGCAAAUGCCCCUGAAACAUUGUAAGGCUCGUAUGGUCUCAUGUGGUAUCUGAUCGAGAUGCUUCUUUGCAGGGUCAUCAAGAAGGACAUUGUAUACCAUUCUUUAUUUAACUGAACAUCUGGCAUUUUUGGAAAUACAAGAUGCUUUGGAAUAUCCAAUCAUGCAUGGUAUAAAUAUAGCGAGGGUAUUAAAUGAUAUCCCAAUCAUGAUCUUUCUUUUGGAUUUCGCGUGCAUGCAGUCCGAGGAAUGAUGAUGUUGCGGAUUUCUUUUGGAUUUCACGUGCAUGCAUGCGCGCGGCGAUCCAGAAAUUAAUGGUGGUGCCCAAGUCCGAGGAAUGAUGACGUGGCAGGAUUACCAACCGUCAUGACAUUUCGCGCGUGUGAGGUUAGGUUUUGCAUUUUGCAUCGUACUCGCGCUCGCACACUCACGCUCGCAUCGCGCUCCCACUCGCGAUCACGCUCACAUUCGCGCUCAUCUACCUUCUCUACAGGUUUCUCGUGUGCAUCGGCGUCCACUCGCGCUUGCAUCACACUCGCGCUCGCAUCGCGCUCGUGUGCAUCGGCGUCCACUUCAAGACACACCCAGUUUGUAACUUCGCCGCCAACUCCGCUGCCCACUCCGCCACCCACACGCAGCCCACUUGGCGUCCCGGGAGAUUUCAGCGCCACUCUCCAACUGUAAGUGGCAGAGUAGCCUUGCUGCUACGAUCCGCUGCACACACAGUGCACAUUCGCCAGCGAGUCCGGCCUCAAUUGUCACGGCCUCCAUUCGGCUUCAAAUGGUAAGUCUUUUAGGCCAAGUAGAAAAUGGCAUGAGGCCACAUGCCAUUCAGUAGCAACAUUGGCAUGCACUGAUUGGGCUCUCGAGUGCAAUCCGGUUACAGAUGGCGUGUAGCCUCACGCCAUCUUAGGAUGCAGCCUCAAGACAUUUGAUGCAGUGGUGAAUGGCGUGUGGCCUCACGUUAUUUCCAGCUGCUAGCUUUUCAUCUGUCAGCUCUAAUUGUUGUGCAUUUCUGAACAGGCGAGGAAUUGCGUUCUUCUUCCAGCCACUGUCAAUGUGGAUGCAGAGAAGGGGGAGGAGCUCACCAGUUGGACUUUCGGGAUGAAAGGCGAGGAUCUGAGGCUGUACAACACAGAUGGUGGGAGAAAAGAAUGCAUGGGGAUCCUCAUCCAAGUGACAGACACUCCAUGCAGUUCCAUGCAAGAAUAUGGACUGGCACUUGUGGUAGAGACAGCGUCCGCCUUCAAGAUUCACCUUGCACAUCCUAGUGGCUUCCCGGAGGGGGGCAGCGGCUAUGAGGAAUUCCUAGAGGGAGCUAGGGAGAGGUUGUCUAGGAGGCCCACAAUUUCAAAGACGCUGCAGGUCUAUGAAGAUCACAUGGAAUCCACGGACCUCACCUACGGCGAUGUUCAAAAACUAUAUUCCAACAUUGAGCCGUUGAGAGUGCCUCUAGUUCGCGAAGCGAAGGGGAAGGGGGUCGAUCUGGAAACUACCCCGAAGCAGAAAAAGGUGGUCAAGCUCAAGCCGACGUCCGACUCUCUUGCUCCAAAAAAGAAGCUACUCGGUGAUGCCAUUGCCUCGGGUUCGAACACUACACCCACCUAAAAGAAGAGCUGCAAAGAGCAGAAAGAGCAAGAAGAGGCAGCAAAAAUUGUCGCAGAUAAUAGUACUUGUUACUAUUCCAACAAAGUAUAUACAAUCGACGUGAGCCGUAUUGACAUCCAAAGCAAAUACAACCACAGGCUAGUAUCUGAUGAGUGGGUGGAUAAACUGAAGCAAAAGAUGCUGGCAAGUCCAGUAACACCCGACAUCGCAGACGUGAUCCCCUAUUACCGAACAAUGAAGGGCGAGACUUGAUCAAUAGGAAGGUGUUGGACGAUCAGAACAUCCGGUUCUAUGCCGUCUCCGGGCAGCAUUCUAGCUUGGCGAUGCAAGAGAUAGUUGUGGAUAUUAUGGUGGGUGAGGAGGUGAAGAAAGUCUUCAAGACAAGAGUUGUCCGUCUGAUAAAAGGCAACUCGCCCCUCCGAUCUAUCAUAUCCAUCUCCCACGCGCAGAAUGUCAAGCAAAAAACGUGCUACAAAUCGGGUCUGCACGAGACAUUGGCAUGAACACGGAAGCUUUGGGUUCAACUGAAAAAGCCACAAAAACCAGGACAAGGACGUGCACUAGCAACUAGCGCCUGGCAGGUAAGCCUCGUUGCAUGUGGCCUCACGCCAUUUCUAUUGCAGGAAUUCUCGAGUCUUCUCUCGAAAACACUGGGGGUCAAUGACACACUCAGCAUCCAUAACAUUCUACUCGCGACAAAAGUUGUUUUUGACAAAUGGGUAGAUGUGCUGAGGAGGUACCAUGACGGGGAGUUGCUAAACUCAAUGGGUGUGGAGGACGGCCAGAAGCCCAAUGAUUUGAAGCUCAACGCCUUGCAUUUCUCGCGGUCUCUAGAUGACGACGACCUUCUGACAAUGGCUAAUGCUCUUCUACGUGGUGAGGUAGUCUUCAACAAGACCAAAAUGACUCCCGGCCAUAUUGUGACAUACAAGGACUUGUGCACGACUCUGAGAGCUCGUGCGCUAUUGAAGGAUUGGAUCUUCGAGCAAGUGGCCGUGGAGAGGGUGAGCAUCGACACCACGCAAGAGAUGAUGGAAGAGCUGGAGUUGUCAAAUGAAGACAUCGACGAGUACGUGAAGGGGGCCCCCAAGUUCAUCGAUCUGCUGCGGGAUGCCACGAAAAGUAAAGCUGAGAAGUUGGAUCAGUAUCCAAAUUUCAUUAAGAGGGAUGUUGACCGCCGGCUUCAGAAACAGCUCGACCCCGCAGCAGAGGCCUAUCGAGAACCUUACCGGGUAUACGUGAAUUCGGAUGAGGAUCAAAGGUGGAGGAGCAUCGUUUCCCGCGGAGAUGAGCAGGUCAAGAACAUCUUUUGUGUGAUGGACUUCACAAACGAGGAGAUCACUCAUGCAGACAAAGUCAGCUCCAUCAUUGACUUAAUGGUGGGACUUGUGGAGGUGGAAUCUUCAGUCCACUAUAUGAUCUACGACUCCGAAUCCUAUCACAAGUUCUGGAAGGCCUUGAACGAGGUGAAGGCUCGGUUGAAAGGCAAGGAGAUGCAGGAGAUCCAUGGGAUAAUGGCUAAGAAGAAGAUACCGACGAAUGUCCGCAUCUUCACACUCGCCCUUGUUAUUGGUCCUGCAGCAGAGUGGGACUGGAGUGACUUCCCAGCUUCGUUCGACAAGGCCGAUCGAAUUGAUCUGAGGGAGGUCAAUUUACCCGUGCCUGAGGAACUGAAGAUGGCUAUGGAGCUUUCGAAUCCAGAGAAAGCUCCAGGUGCAGCAUGGGAAAUGCUCAGCUGGGUCUUCAACGCAAUAGCGGGUGGGUCACCUGCUUCCGACUCCAAGGGCAAAUGCGUUGUCGAGUACAACUGCGGCAGACUAUUCUUUCGAGCCGCACUACUCAAGGGUGUCCCGUGUGUUGCGGUGACAAACUCCAUUGAAGAGGUGACUUCAAUGGAGCAUAUAAUUACAGUUGCCAAAGAAAAACAGUAUCUUCUCUGCGAACCUGGUGAGUACGCACUUUAAGUUUAAAUGUUAUCUCACAAGCUCUGUAUGCAGGAGCGUGGCCACCCCCAGAUGCUGAAACGGCGUUAACAGCUACUGUUGAAGAUACCCAUGUUGGGUCGAGCUCACAACCUGCACAAGGUAAGGUCACGUGAGGCCUCACGCCAUUUUGAUUAUAGAUCAUUGUGAAUAUUCAGACACGAGGACUGAAAAGCGCACUGGUGGCGUGUCGAAGAAGGACAAACAGACAAGCAAUAGGAAAAAAGGAGGUACAAAUUAUAUUUGCAAUGGCGUGUGGUCUCAUGCCAUUCCUUGCAGGAGACACUUCUUCAAAAGCAAAACAGGCAAGCACCAGCCAAGCUCAAACUAACAGUGGUCAUAAAAAGCGAAAGCACGUUGGACAGUCGUCGGGAUCAGAGGCGUUUGAUUCGAAAAGGAAGAAGGGCAACGAAAAGAUGAUAGGUAAUGCCUCGCGGUUAUGGCAUGUGUGCGAAAGCAGCCAGUCACCACCUCCUGACUCAGAUUCCUAUGGCGGACUCCCCUUCCCCAAUCUCAAUGGAGAGGUACAAUGGAUAAGGGAUGCUUUUCAAGUCAGGGCCACGUUUUUCUCAUCUCAUCGUCUUUGAAGGGUGCAAGAACGUGCAGAAACCAUGUUAAGACAGUCGGGUGAGGAUACGGUCCUAGAUCACGCACUAAAACAGGCUAUGGAUGUCUUGUAUUUUGAGAUGGAGACUCGGCCAGAUGAUUUUCCCAAGAUGGUCCUGGAAGAACAAGCCAUCCAGCCUGAGCAGCCUAUGGAAGAAAUGCAAGAGGGGGAUGAGGAGCCAGAGAAAGAUAAUGAGCAGGAAGAGCAGAAGGAUGAAGAGGAGGACAAAGAAGAGGAGGACGAAGAGGACUUGGAUGGUCCUCACAAUGGUGACGAUCACAAUAACGACGACGACGAUGAUGACGACGAUGGCCAGCCUGAGGUGGCCAAAGAGCAGCGGAGGAAAGUCAUACAAAACAAACCAUCAGGUAAAUAAUAGUACAUCCAUUCCUAACCUUUUACCAUUUCUAACAUUGUCCAUGUAGGUUGCAAAGCAAAUGGUAAGUAGAGAUUAUUCAGUUGAAUUAAGAUACAAACUCUAGCCUUUAGUGUCGAGGAAGGAUAGUGCCAAGCAAGGGUCGAAACGUAUGUCCAAUCCUUCAGAAUCAGUAGUGCGCCCAAGUGAUAUCGGUCCUAGUUCCUCAAUAGCAGUUGAUGGUAAAUACAGUAUAGUCGAUUCAAUGUGCUAAUGAGUUUGUUUUUAAUAGCCAGUAGGGAGGAUACCAUCUCAAUCGAAGGGAGAUAUUUGGACAUGCAUAUGGAUCCGCCAGUGGACUCUACUUGCCUGCAAGAGUCAUCAGAGCUAGUGGAGGCUACUAUCCAUAUCAACGCCAAGCAAGCUGACCACGCUCCACUUGAUGCUGCCCAUACCACUGAGUCAAUCUUGUCCACGUAUCCAACUGACGGUGACCAGGCGCCAUUGGACCCGCAUGAGGCCGCCCCAGCCGCCGAGCCAGUCGUAUCCUCAUUUCCAACGGACUCAACGUGUGCCCAAUCGUCUGACUACGCGCCGUUGGAACCUCCCUACACCGCCCCUGCUGCCUGUUCGGUCAUGUCCACUUUGCCAACGGAGGCACCAGCUGAAAUUGCGUGUGAUCACACGCCAUCGGAACCACCCCAUGCCACUGUUGAGCCAGUUGUACCAGAGUCUACAGCUGAAAUGGCAUGUGCCCACACGCCAUCAGAUGCGAUUGACCCCACAUUGCAGAGGAGAGUAUUUCCGCCCUUCACGUUUCCUCGACCAAAACCCUCUCAACGACCAUCGGGAGCACCAUUCGCUAAUAUUGUAGAUGGUAAAAUUGACUUGUACCAUUUUUUAUGCUGACGCAUUUCAUUUCAGAGUCACGGCGAAGGUACUGUAUCGUUUUUGAUCUGAACGGUGUCCUUUUCUCCCAUGAGCAUGGCUCGUCCUCGAAUGUCACUGCACCCUCCAAAGCCUGCGGUCGCAAGUUGGUCAAAAGAGACAGAUUCACAUUAAUCACACGGGACAAACUGCGGGAUCUAAUAAUGACCAUGCGACACUUAAAACAGAGGGCCGGGUUCAAUUUGCAAUUGGGAGUUUGGACAUCCAUGAUGCGCCACAAUGCAUUAACGUUGCUACAGAUGAUGCACGAUCAGACGCGAGUAAUAUUACCAUUUGACUUUCUCCUAACGCAGGAGGAUUGCUUGACUAUGGUCCAUGUGAGGGGUAGCAAGCCCAUCUUCGUCAAGCCAGAGGCUGUAGUGAUGAACCGGACUGCUAGGUCAAGUGAAAUCCUCAUCAUCGAUGACUCGCCGAUUAAAACUGCAGCGAACAUGCACACAUAUGCAGUGCACCCCAUCUCUUGCAGUAUGGAAACUAGGGAGAAGAAACCGUAUGUUCUGGGGGACCUUGCAAAACGACUUGGAGCGAUGGUGAUAGAGAACCGGCCAGUCCAGGAGGUGGCUGCAGAAAUCAACCAAAUGGCAGAUGGAAUGGUAUAUUAGAAGCCAUUUGAUCGGACAGACACCAGUCAUCAUUUAUGGCAUGUAUAUUGUCUAGCCAAGCACUAUCCGCAUCUCCAUAAUCUGCUCAACCGGAUGGGUUCUUCGACCACUGAACAUGAGCGUGGACGUAUUAGAGAAGAGAUGGCAUUACUAUUGGGUUUAAAUCCUGAUAGUGUGGAGAGUGAUGAAAUUCCAAAAUUAUUGUAUAGGCGUUGGAGGCAAAAAAUAACAGUCUGAGAUGGCAUGUAUUUAUUUAAAAAUGUAACUUAUUAUGGCAUGGGGUUCCAUGCCAUUGUAUUAAUAUUAAAAGACAAUUCUUUGAGAGGAUUUGCAUUAUACUAGAAGUGUUACAGCAUGUUAUUGGAAGUCUACGAAGUUGUUUUAUUAAUAAGGGGAAAGUAAAGAUUGAAUGGGGACUUGGGCUCCACCUAGACUCGGAGCAACUGAGCCAAUAUUAAAAGGAUGGAAAGAAAUUGGAUGACGAUGACAAGGAGAAGAGAGAGGUGAAGCAGUGGCAGGGGGAGGAGAAGUGAUUGAGUAGACAUUUCCUUGUUUAAAAUAAAAUGGCAUGUGCCUCAAUGCAGUUGAAUUUUGUUAUAUUUAUAUACUAUAUAAAGGUUUGGAAACCUUAUUUUACAAGUGGGAUAAUGACAAUUCCCACUUUAACGAAAUAGAGCUUACUAUCUUUGGAACAUACCACGCAUUCUUCAAGAGCAGAGACUUUCUUCCCAAUGGAACUCGCACAUCCCUAGUUGCACGAACAGGUAAAAUGCUUCCAUCUCCCACACAAAUGCACUUCUCUUUUGCAGCACGCAACUGCACAAAGUUCAACCGGCUUUGCAUCAGGUAUCUCUCUAAACCUGAAUUGAUGGUCAGUUUUUCAGAAAUGUUUGGAACUGCUACCUCAAAUGAUGCCACAAGUUCCUAUGUUUCCCCUUCCUAAGCAUUUGCUGCGAGCCCUAUGUUCAUGUGCUACAGCCAAGCUACAAUUGGGCAACCCUUGGAGUAGUGUCCUGGCAUCCUAUAGGUGUUCUUGCCCACAAAACAAUCUCGAACUGCUACUUCUUUACCAGAAUUCCUUGAAUUCUACUGCUGCUGCGGAUUUCCCCUAAACCCACAACCUCUGCCUUGUCCUCCUCUUCUGCGACCUCCUCUGCCUCAAUGAUUUCCAGCCCAUAGAGUUGAAUCAGUCCCUGAUUAAUUGCUUGAUGCAAAAACAUUUGAUGUAGAUUGUGAGAUCAAAACAUGGGAAGGCCUCUGAUCAAAGUCCACAAUCAAACCUCUCGCAGCCAGCUCCGAGCAUAAAGUUUGCUCAGCUUGUUCAAAGUUGAGCGACAUCAUGCAAACGAUAGGGACAAAAGAACUAAAAGAAGAAUCUUGCAUGGCCUCGCAAAGUGCCAGAACUUUCUUGCUUUCAUUGAACGCCACUGGACUGCCUUCAAGCUCCAUCCACAGAUCUUGCAUCUUGGCGAGGAACUCUUCAAAGUUCUCGGUUGGAUGAAAACGGGUCUCAUGAAUGCAAGUCUCAACCAUUCUGAUCUUGGAGAGGGAAAGAAUAGCAUACUUGUUUUGAAGAUGAUCCCAGAUCUCACAAGCACUCUUAUGACACAAACGCAUCAUAAGGGCAUCUGCAAGCGUAGAAAGAAUCAAAGAUUCCUUCUUUUCCAGCACAGCUUGUUCCCCAGGAUCAAGCUGUUGUCAAGCUACUGAAACAGAGGCAUGAAUUGCUUCUUCAUCCACGACUUCUCCUUCCACCGAAGUUGAAGCUCCUAACACAGCAAGGGCUCACUGCGUAUGAGCAUCUGCAGCAAUUGUCGGUGGUGAAAUGAUUUCCCAGAGUUCUUCUAUCUGCAGCACGUGCAUCAUUUUCUCGGACCAGGUGUUGAACCCUCUCCUCCCAUUAAAGGCAGUGACUCCCUGAAGCAAGAUCAAUCCAACUUUGCUGCAGUUCAUGAUGUGAGGCACAAAGAAAGGAGAAGAAAGAAUUCAGAAAUUGACCUCCAAUACCAUGAAAGAAAAGUAGAGCAAGAACAACGGAUUUCACUUCAACACACAUUGAUUCAUGUAUAGCUGUAUAUAUAUACAACUUCAAUCAAAUCAGAAAUCACCAAAGAUCAGAUCACAAUUUGGACUGCUUCUGAUAUGAAUCGUCUUGCUUGUUGUGUUCAUCAUUAUUCCUACAGCACCAAUGUCUCGUCGGUUGGAAGUGGAGUGGAAGCAAAUGCGUGAGUUGCCCGAGCAACUGGUACUGGUACAACAAGUGCCACCAAUGCCAAUUUGGCUGGAAAUGGAGCAAGGACCAUUGCAUCAGGAACUGACCAAGUUGGAAUCCAAUAUUUGAUGGAUCAUCACAAAAUAGUUGUCCCAUGUCCAUUUAGUUAUGAUGAAAGAUGUGAGAGAGGCUCGAACUCCCGACCUCAGACUGCCUUGCUUUCUUUCUUUCUAACCUUUAUUUAUCCUGCGUGAAUAAUUAGCUGCAUUCUACAACUAAUUUUUACUUCCAGCCAAGAAACUUCACGAACACAAAAGAAGGCUUUAGUACAAGAGAAGUUACCAAAGAAGUAUCUAUGUCAUCUUUUCAACAUUGUUUGAGGUAAACUUCAAGAAAAGUUUACAUGAAUUUUCUAGUUCACUUGGUUUCCAUCCUUCCCCACAGGAUUGUGUUGUCUCAAACACGAGGACCAAAUCUGGAUCAAUCAGUACCCAGUCCAAGCCAAGGCCGCAUUGUAUCACAGCUUCACAUUUGACUUUUUAACGUAGAUAUUGUCAAUGAGUAGCCCUGAACUAACUUGGAGAAACUUGAAGUGUUGGAUGGGAGGAUUUACAGUUCUAGGUGGUGACCACGUCUUACAGGAUUAGCACUCAAAGUUUCUUAUCGUUUGCAAGUCGAGACAGAGGCAAGAGGAGAGUUUUAAGAAAAUGGCGAGCAACAAGAAGAGCGUGAGGCAGUGCUCCUGGUGGGAGGCAUUGCAAAUGCAAGCGCCCUGACGUGGGAAUGCAAGUCAGGGUGGCACUGGGAUACGAUUAGGAAGAAGUGCGUCUUUGGUACAACAAUUCCUGCCACUGAUGCCCGGAGUACUGGUUCUGGUAUACCAGUUCUUGCCACCACUGCUCUGUUGGCACUGGUAUGACAUCGGUUGCCACCUAUGCGAAAAUUGGCUGGCGCUGGACUGGAAGGUUCUGUAAGAACUGAAUUGCCCAUCAUUUCCAUGCUGAAACUUGUAUAAUAACCUUUUGGUAAAUAAACUGUGUCAUCCAUUCUACGGUAGUGGAAGUCCCAUUUCCUCGGCAGGAUCGGAAGAGAUUUCAUCCUGCCUUGCUGCUUGAGUUUCAUUUUCUAAUAUUUCAUAAAGUUUUUUCAGAAUGUUUAGAAGCUUGGAGGCCUUUUCUCCACCAUAUCAAUAAGUGCGUUCACUUUUGAAAACAUUAUCAUAGUUUUUAAUGCAUAUGAGGCAAUUCAUAUAAAAUAGUGAUUGAUUGCAACGAGAUAGAUAGAUAGAUAAACAUUUUUAUAGUCACCGGGAUAUUUUUGAUGAUUUCACAAGGAAACUCAAGGUUGUUUCAUCUGGAUAAAGUCGUACACUUGUUUAUUGACCCCGUCAAUCAAGCACAAACACGACAUAUCGUGCCCGAGAAGCAGUAAAAACCGUGUACAUAGCAGUGUUACUUGGACUCAGCCUCAAAUCCUCCAUAUAAAUUGGCACCAUAAUACAGCAAAGCAAAGAAGGGAUACAAGAAAAGAAAUUAGUUUACAUUUCUAGAUUGACAAUACAAUGGCAAGCAAGUCCCAGCUGAUGCUUCUGCCCAUGUUUGUGACAAUCCUCCUGGUUGGAGUGGACGUCAGUGGGAUCACCAACGCAGUGGCCCAGCGGCAAUGCAAAAUCUGGAUGGAACUGGGACGGCCAUAAGUGCAUCCAGUGUCCCAAAGGCUGGUAUUGGUAUAGCAGCGAUUGCCACCGAUGCCUCUCCAGAUGGAAGUGGAGUGGAAGCAAAUGGGUGAGUUGCCCGAGAAACUGGUACUGGUACAACAACAAGUGACACCAAUGCCAGUUUGGCUGGAAAUGGAGCAAAGGACCACUGCAUCAAGAACUAACCAAAUUGGAGGCACAAAAUGAAUUGUGAUUUUAAAUCUGAUUUAAAUAAAAUCGCAAAUUUAUUGGGGUGAGAGAGGCUCGAACUCUCUACCUCAGGUAGAAUCAAAGGGCUAAUGGAGCAUCGGUUAAAAAAAGAGGAAUUUAUAUGGUGUGCAAUAUAUAAAUUGUGUGCAGACGAUCAUACGCAAAAACUGACAUGGUGUCUUCCAAUUUGUCUAUAAUUUUAUGGCCAUAAUAUGCCCUUCAGAUGGCCAUGGCAUGUUUCCAUUAUCACUCAUACAUUCAUUGGCAUAAUUUUGACUUGUUAACUUAGGGUUGGUAGCUUGUCCUGGUCCCUGCCCAAGACGGGAUUCAACUGGUAUGGUAGAUGAGUUUUUCUGCUAGGAGGUGAAGUCUAUUUCCUGUUUGUAGAUCAUUUGUUUUUUUCAGUUGCAGUGUCGAAACUGUUUGGCCUAAAGUAUUUCCCAAUGGCGUGUGUGGAACCACCUGAUGUAUGUAAGCUUUUCCUUAUCUAAUUGGAGAAGCAAGUCUAGUGGAGGAUAAAGAACAUAGUGUUGCAUAUCAUGGCACUGAUGUUUCUGAUGAAUCAAGUGUUGAGAGUGAGACCAUUGACGAUAGAGAUGUUUUUGAGGUAAGUUAAAUUAUCCAUUGUCAUACUAAUUUUGUACUAAAUUUGUAUAGUCACGAGGCUUUGGAAGUCUAAUUAAUUUUGUUACUUGGAUGCAACUUAAAAUUCUCUAAACCAAAACUACUAGUUACCUUGCAACUUACCUUGGAAUUUCAAGAUCAACACUGUACAAGUACAUGAGGCUUAUUGAUCCCAAUUGGAGGCAUGUAUAUAACAUGAUGCUAUCAAGAGAGGUAUUGAAUCUUGUCCAAGCUAAUAUUUCUAUGAAUCGUGCUAGCACAAACUGGGGGGUUAUCAACUCCGGCUUGGGCUGUAAAACUGCAAGAUAUCGAUUUAGUCAACGCCAAGACACAUGACUAAAAUUGACUAAUGAGUAUAUUCAAAUGACAUGCCUUAUGCACUAUGCUAUAUGGAUUGUGAGUUCAAUUUUAUAUUCUACAAACUAUUCUUAGGAACUAAUUUUAGUUUUCAUUAUUGUAGUCUAUUGCAAGCAUGUGAUAUACAGUUUUUAUGUUAUGCAGUGAUCUAUGGUGCAACUCAUUACAUUGUUGCUUAUGAGCUCUCAACCACAAAGCAAGCACAUGCCAUUUUAAACACUUACACAUGGGUUGUGAGGCACUUCAGUAGGCCAAAACAAUUGAGAAGUGACAAUGCUUUUAAACAUAAUGAGGUUGAAGUUGAUAUAGUGAAUUGCUAGGGAAAAUUUUUAUACAUAGGACAUCAACACAAAAUUAAGUAUAUUACUUUUGUGUCUUUUGGCUACUCAACUACUCACUACUUUGUUGUAGCACAUUGAGCACUUCUAGCACGAACAUUUUGAGUGUUGUCGAGGGCUAGAGCCAGCUCAAGAAUAAGACUUGGUCCAAGUCGGGGUUUUUUCCUUCUUUUUGGUUAUAGUGGGGGGAAUAAGGGAAUAUUCUGCUGAAAACAGGGUGUGUCCCUUGGUGCCAGAGGUUGACGAUAGGGAGGACGGCCAAUUGGCAGGCAUAGCAUGUGUGUAGAAGGGAAGGGAGUAAAAUAAAGAGAAGGUCUUGGAAGGAUGCCUCGUCCAACAGCCUUGGAGUGCGUGGAGUGGAGGUUGGCAGUGCAGCGGCGACUACAGUUGUUCGAGGAGCGUAUCACAGUGAGAAUCGCUCAAGAUCAACCAAUUUGUGUGAGUUGUCCAACUUGUGGGCAGCCCUGGGUUAGGAUGUUGGCAGAGGUUCUAGCAGAGGUUGUUGACAAGGCUAGAGGCGAGGCGAGGCAGCAGUGAUUCUCCACAUCGCUAGUGUGUUGUCGUGAGGAGCGACAUCUUUUGGUGCACUGCCCGGGAAGCAAAGCGAGCGUGGAGAUUGUGGUAGAAGGGUGAGUGCCAGGAGAAGCCGGGCUGCCCUUACCAAAUCGAGGCCGUUCCUUCUUGGUGUAUGAGCCAAAGAAGACAAGAGUAUUUGGCAAGACUUGUAGAAGCACAAGAGCGAGAGGAAAGACGAACGAAGCAGAGACGUGAGAGAGAGGCGAGAAUUCUUGCAAGAAAUCUGCCACUGGUUCAAGAGCCUGAGAGUCCAAGAGUGAGGAGUGCAAAUCCUCGGCCAAGCAGUCCUGUUAGCAAGCAGGAGAACAAUCAGGAACAAGAAGAUGAGUGGCAAGAGUUCUAGUCGUCACUGCCACGACAACAGCCAAUAGAGCAGCAACAGCAACCACCAAUCCAACAAGUACAACAACCUCGGCAGCAACAAGCAAGGAAUAUGGCAACGACAAAAAUGAAAUAUACCAUCUUUAAUGGUAUGGGAGAUCCAGAUGCCCACGUGACAGCGUUUGAGAAUACAUCUACAGCAAAUGAUGAGGUAGAUGCAGCAGAUCGCAGGAAACUUUUUCCAGCCACGUUACAGGGCGUAGCUGCAGAAUGGAUGGCUCAAGUUCCAGCAGCGACAGAUUGGGCAGCAUUGAGAGCAUCCUUUUUGGCUACCUUUCGGCCAGUAGGCUUUUCACAGCAACUCAUGAGUGAUCUGAGUCAUUUUCAACUCUUGCCUGGCGAGAGUUUACAAAGCUAUACAUUAAGGUUCAAGGGAUUGAUCCUCAAGAAGCAGCCACAACCGACAGAAGAAGAGCAAGCACAGUAUUACACAAAUGGCUUGCCUCAUGCGGUUAGCUUUCAUGUCUCGUGCCAUAAUCCACAAACUUUGGCCGAUGCAAUUUGUCUGGCGGGAACCUGGGAGCAAGCGCAGCUCAAGAUGAGACACCACUUCAGUAAUCUUGGACUGGGAGCUUUCGGCGAUGGAAUGAUGAAUUCCAUGAUGGGAGGACUCGGAAGCACACCGCAACAACCAAUACCUACUGGACAGCAGCCUUUUGGAGUCUUUGGAACAAGUCUUGGGAUGAUGGACUAUAGCCGCCAACAACAGCAACAAUGGCAAGCUUCAACAAGUGCAGUUCCAAAUCCAGCGGCAACUACAGUGGACAUCCAAGCAGAGAUGAAGAAAAUAAAGGAAGACAUGGUGGAAGCCAUGACAAAAAAGAUGAGUGACUUGCAAUUGAACUGGGUCAGAGGGGUACAAAGCAGGCCACAGCCCGUGCAGCAGCGAGAAAACAUCUGGUGUGUGCGAUGCAACAAUUAUGGACACUACCCAAAUGAGUGUCCACAACUAGUGGUGAAUCGAGAGAAGUGUCAGUAUUGCUGGCGAACUAAUCAUCACUCAGAGGAUUGUUUUUACAAGCCAGGAAAUCCAGCAAUCCCUGCAAGUUACAUCCAAACUGCGCCAUCAUCACCACCAUCUUCGGCUCAAGCAUUGACCUUCUUUCAACGCCCGUUUUCUCCUCUAGUCCAGACCAUGAGCUAUAAGCCAGUGAUUUAGGGGUAUACGCCAGAUAUGAUUCCAGUAUAUGCAGCAGCACCAAUUCCAGGUGUCCGUGGACGAGGAGCUCCCCGUAGAGGACCUGUUCAAUGCUGGAAUUGUGAUGAGAUGGGCCACAUUUCACCAAACUGUCCACAUCCCAGGAAGCAGAUUGGGUACCAGCCCAUAUGUGGAAUCUGUCAGACACAGGGCUUGCACGAGCAGGACAAUUGCCCGCAUAAGCUCAAGCCAAGCAAGGGGAAGGGGGUUGUAGAAAGCAAUGCAAUUUUUGUCCAGCAAGCUGCACCAGAAUCUGGAGUCGGAGGCGUCAACAGAUGGAGAACUCUGUAAUUGAGGAUGCUGAGGAGAAGGAUGACCCAGAGAAAAUUGCAAGAAAGAACCGCAAGGAGAAAAGAGAGAGCAAGCAGCCCAAAUCAGAUCCACCGGCUACAAAUGACCAAGAUAAACCAGUCCCUGAUUCUGAAAUAACUACCCCAGCUAGGGCUCUUGACAAGGGCCAGGGAAUUGCCAAGGCGCUACGUAAAAAGUGGAAACGAGUGCUGAAUCUGGAAAUGCAGCCGUACAAUAUUCUUCAAGACUUGGAUAGUCAACGCCUAAACAUCACAUUCGCCCAGCUUUUGCAAUUGGCUCCAGGCAUGAGGAAAGUGUUGGCCGUGGCCAUGAAGGGACAUCGAGAAGUACUGGUUAAUUCAGCUUGGCCCCUUAUCACAGAUCUCAGUUCCCCCUGUAUAGAUGUGGAGACGCAAGGCGAGCUGAUCCGUCGUGCUGUGAUCAAUGGUGGAAGUGCGGUGAAUAUUUUGCCUGAGGAGACCUGGCGAAAGUUCAAUCUUCCAGAACCAGUUCCAGUGCCAUUUAUGGUUAAAAUGGCCGACCAGAGAUGUCUCCAGCCAAGAGGAAUCGUGACCGGUGUUCGCACUCAGAUUGCUGGUCUAGUUUUCCACAUCGAUUUCGUGGUUUUGAGGAUGAAGGAGGGCAUGUUGGGCUAUCCACUGCUGCUCGGACGUCCUUGGCUUCUCCAAGCGGCAGCUGUGCAUAAUUGGCGUACAGGAAUUCUUGCCAUUGGCAAUGGCAAUAAUCGUGUUAAAGUCCAAGUUCAUUUUCGCCCUAGGGCACGGCGAGUACUUGGGGCAGAACAGGAGGAUGAAGACAGCUCUGAUACAUCCAAUUCUAGCAGCCAGACAAGCAGUGAGGACGAUGAGGAGGAUAGCAGCAGCACAGCCAGUUGUGAGGAGCUAGAAAUGGUGGAUGUGGCUGCUAUCACCAAGAAUUCCUGGGGUAAGCCUCUUUCAGCAUGCAACACUGAGGAGCUUGAGAGCUGGCUGUGGGGAAAGGAUGGAGAGUUGCCUUUCGGCAGUGUUCAGGUGGUGGAAGAAGAGACUGGUGCCAGACAGUGGCGAGGACGGAGCCCUUUUCCUCGCUACAUCACUACGGUGCUACACGAGAAGUGGAUGCACGGAACAAUUUUUUGAGCGAGGAACUAGUUGCCACUUGCCAGCUCGAAGCUAUUCUAGUGGAGCAGCCAUGUUGGGCUAUGCGAGCAGGGGAGUUGAAGCGGAUAGUAUAUAGAGUUCCAGGUUUGAUGAUCAAGAUACCAGAAUUUCCAGUCGACUUGGAUUUUCUAGUGGCACCUUGGAAAAUGGACAACUAUAUCCUGCUGGGACGAGAUUUCUUAAAGGCAGCAAGAGUAUCUCAUCAGUGGAAUGAUCCGCUUCACUUGUGGAUUCCAAAUCCACAUGGCAGUGACAGAGUGCAGAUCGGCAUGGAAGAAGGGGAUGAGCCCAGAGAGCAAGUUUUUAUCACGGUGUUGGAAUCAAGAGCUGAAAAUCAAGCUGUGCCAAUGCCAGUUGCGUUCCAGACAGUGGACAGUUCUAAGGCCUGGAUGGGAGGAACCAAAGCGAUGCAUCUCACAACAUCUUUGGAGAAUGUGGAACUCACAGCAAUGGUGGAUCUAGAAGCACUUGGCAACUUUUUGACAAAAGAUGGAGCAGCUCGAGCAAGCUUGGCGAUUAUUGCUCUUCCUGAGCAUUACAUUGCCGUUUGUGCCGAUGGUGGAGUUUUUCCAGUGCUGGGUCUCGUGAGUUCCAACAUGGUGAUUGGUGAGGGAGACUUUCACGAGGUGCCUUUUUAUGUGAUCGAGGGCACUGUGACCAGCGUACCAGUUACUUUGGGAGCAGCUUGGCUUUUCCAGGUACAGGCUAGUCACGACUAUGUGACUGGUACUCUGGUGGUGGAAGAUGAUAAUCAUCAAUAUCGGACAAUCAUCUUGUCUGAUAUCAGUGCGUUUGAUUAUCACUUUUCUUACAUGCUGAAAGUCGAGAAGGCUUCAAGGUUAAAAAGCAAGGAAGUGACAGCAUGCAAGGAUCGUAGUAUGCUCAAGUCAUCACCAACUUAGCUAAUUCAGAUCAGAAAUGGACCUCAAGAUCUAGCUGGUCAUCAACUUUCCGUGGACGUGGUGCCAACAGCUGAUUUGGAAGCAGGAAAUUAUCCCAGCUAUUUUUUUAAGGAGCAGGUUGCUGAUCUUCCACUCAAGGAGACUUCCGCUCGUUCUCAAGUCGAUUCAGAUUAUUUUGGAAGGGCACCCCAGACACAGGCUGUGUUUAUGGAGCAGGUUGGUGACGAGCGACGUGAGUUACUAGUGGGACACCAACUCACCAAGGAGGAGGUGGAAGCUUAUCGUCAACUAUUUUUGGAGUUUCAAGAUGUGUUCGCAUGGAGCUAUGCUGAACUUGCUGGAGUAGAUCCGGAGUUGGUGCAACACAAGAUUCCCUUGCUUCCAGAUGCGGUGCCACAGCGGCAAAGAGCUUAUAAGAUGAAUCCAAGCUAUGCUAAGGCUGUGCGUGAAGAGCUUUAGAAGCUGUUGGAUGUAGGAUUUAUUGAAGAAGUGGAGGCUACAGAUUGGCUCUCGCCAAUUGUAGUGGUCUGGAAGAAGAAUGGAAAACUUAGAGUGUGCGUGGAUUAUCGCCGCCUUAAUGCUGCAACGAGGCGGGAUGGAUUUCCUCUUCCCUUCACAGAUGUGGUAGGGAAGGAGUUGUACAGCUUUAUGGAUGGUUAUAGUGGAUAUAACCAGAUCCAGGUGGCUCCUGAGGAUCGAGCAAAGACGGCAUUCAUUACAGAGUGGGGCUGCUAUAUUUUUCGUGUUAUGCCAUUCGGUUUGACGAACGCACCGGCUACUUUCCAACGUGUGGUGACUUCAGCAUUCAGAUCUCUUCUUCAUGAGAGUGUGGAAGUCUUCUUGGAUGACUUCUCAACUUUUGGAAGCUGUGGAAAACAUCUGGAGCAACUCCGUGCAGUGUUCCAACAAUGCCGAAAGUUUGGUAUUUCUCUUAAUCCUGGGAAGUGCCAAUUCGGAGUAACGCACGGCGUGUUGCUUGGCAGGGUCGUCUCAGCUCGAGGCUUGGAGGUGGAUCCUGCAAAAGUGAACGUAGUGGAAGAGCUUGAGGCACCACAGACCGUGAGGGAGCUACAAGCUUUUCUCGGCCAUGUUGGUUAUCACCGAUGCUUUAUCCGGCAUUAUGCCGAUGUAGCUUUUCCUUUGACAGGCCUCUUGAAAAAGAAUGUUCCUUUUGCGUGGACCCCUGAGUGCCAAGCUUCCUUUGUACAGUUGAAGCGAGCCUUGACGACCGCUCCAAUUCUUAAGCCACCAGACUGGAAUUUGAAAUUCCAUGUGCAUGUCGACACCUCAGCUUUUGCUAUUGGUGCUGUUUUAUGCCAGCCAGUUAAUGGUUGGGAUCAUCCCAUCUUUUAUUCGAGCAGGCAGUUAUCUCUGGCUGAGAAGAAUUAUACAGCCACUGAACGCGAGGGCUUCGGAAUGGUGUUUGCUAUUUCCAAAUAUCGCCACUAUCUGCUGGGAAAGCCAUUCCUCUUCUAUCUGGAUCACAAGGCACUGCGCUAUCUUAUCAAUAAGCCCUGUCGACACGGCCGAAUCACUCGCUGGUUGCUUCUGCUUCAAGAAUUCGAAUUCGAGAUCGUGUUGAAGCCGGGAAAAUCUCAUGUAAUGCCUGAUCAUCUUUCAAAAUUACCAGGAGAACCUGCCAGGGAAGGAGUUUAUGAUGAGCUGCCUGAUGCUCCUCUUUUCUUGUUGGAAGGCAGGCAGGUUUCUGCAGAAAUUCCAGCUAUGUUCUCAACUCGAGCAGAAGCAGAGGAGCUACUGUUAUACCAGGUUGUAGCUGUGCCGGAGUGGUAUCAGGGUAUUGCAGAAUUUCUGGCUGCUGGCAGAUUUCCUGAUGAUAUGCCGAAGGUGGCACAGAAAAGGCUUCUUUACUAGUCACGAGCUUUCACCCUGAUUGCUGGCCAGCUUUAUAAGGAGGGAAGAGAUGGUGUUCUGAGGCGCUGCAUUCUUCCUCAUGAGGUGCAGCAGGUGAUUUGCUCUUGCCAUGAUUCUCCCUACGGUGGGCAUUAUGCAGCAGCAGCAACUAUACGGCUUGUGCUCCAAACUGGUUAUUGGUGGCCAACGCUCCAGCAGGAUGUGGCAAAAUUUGUGAGAAGCUGUGAUCCAUGCCAGCGUGUUGGGCAUCCUACUCGAUGAGAUGCAAUGCCAUUACAUCCGAUUAUUCCAGCUCUACCUUUUGAGAAGUGGGGAAUCGACUUCAUGGGGCCGUUCAAGCCUAUGCGACAUCACCGGAAUCGUUAUAUCUUGGUCUGCACAGACUAUGUGACCAAGUGGGUGGAAGCUGAGGCUUUUACUGAGGACACGGCAGAGAAGGUAGCAGGAUUCCUCUACAAGAAUAUCAUCACGCGCUUCGGAUGCCCACUUGAGCUUAUGAGUGAUCGAGGUACGCAUUUUAUUAAUGCGGUCAUUGCAGCUCUCACAGCCAAGUAUGGCAUUUCCCAUCGACGUUCGACGCCAUAUCAUCCAAGAGCAAACGGCCAAGUUGAGAGAACCAAUAAGACACUAUGCGACACCAUGACUAAGCUUUGCAACGCAAGUGCUAGCGACUGGGAUACCAAGCUUCUUGAUGUGCUAUGGGCUUACAGGGUUGCCUACAAGGUAACUACACGGUUCUCACCAUUUCAAUUGAUUUAUGUCCAGGAGGCGAUCCUUCCUCUCGAGCUGGAAGUUCCUUCUUUGCGGACAGCGGUAGCUCACAAUUAUGACUGGGAUGGAGCUGUUCAGCAGCGGCUAGAGCAGUUGGAGAAGCUGGAUGAGACUCGCCUCCUUGCUUUCCAAGCCCGUGAAGUUCUCCAACGUCAACGCAAGAAGUGGUAUGAUCGUCAUUUACGAGCUAAGAGUUUUCAGGAAGGAGAUCUCGUGCUGCUGUAUGAGAGCAAGUACUGGAAGCGUCCGGGAAAGCUUAAGAUCUGCUGGAUUGGGCCUUAUCGCAUGAAGGCUGUGAAUAUCAAUGGCUCAGUCAAGCUGGAGGAUUUUGCUGGUAAUCCUUUGCCCACACCGGUGAACAGAGCUUGACUGCGGUGCUACCAAGUUCCAUCUGGAGAGGAGUGCUCCGGGGACGGAGCACAAUAGUCGCCGGGGUGAGAUGUCGAGGGCUAGAGCCAGCUCAAGAAUAAGACUUGGUCCAAGUUGGGGUUUUUUCCUUCUUUUUGGUUCUAGUGGGGGGAAUAAGGGAAUAUUCUGCUGAAAACAGGGUGUGUCCCUUGGUGCCAGAGGUUGACGAUAGGGAGGACGGCCAAUUGGCAGGCAUAGCAUGUGUGUAGAAGGGAAGGGAGUAAAAUAAAGAGAAGGUCUUGGAAGGAUUCCUCGUCCAACAGCCUUGGAGCACGUGGAGCGGAGGUUGGCAAUGCAGCGGCGACUACAGUUGUUCGAGGAGCGUAUCACGGCGAGAAUCGCUCAAGAUCAACCAAUCUGUGUGAGUUGUCCAACUUGUGGGCAGCCUUGGGUUAGGAUGUUGGCAGAGGUUCUAGCAGAGGUCGCUGACAAGGCUAGAGGCGAGGCUAGGCAGCAGUGAUUCUCCACAUCGCUAGUGUGUUGUCGCGAGGAGCAACAAGUGUGUAUAUAGUUUUACAAGCACUUCAUUGAGUUGAUAGAGGAUAUCAUAAUUUUGGAUGUCUUUAAUCUAUGGCACAGAUAAAGUUUGUAAUGUGUAUUUACACCUUACCUUACAAAGGAUAUUUCCCACUGGGUUGUUAUAUAGAAUCUUCAACCCUAUUAUUGUGACCAAUUCUUUAGGCCAUCCCAUGUUCUUGUUGAUCUAGUCCAACCAAUGGAGCGUGAACUUGGGUAAAAAUUCUUUAUAAUAUUUUUAUUUAUUCCUCUUUUACGGCAUCAUUCCAGCCCAGGGUAGAAAAGAGAUCUAAGACAUGUCAAGGUCUUUCUUUACUAACAUCAACAGGCUUCAUUGCUAGAGGUAUUUAAAAUUAUCAUAUAUAUAUUGAUAAGGUUAUUACUUCCUUUUUGCAACAUCUAGUAAAAGUGAAAAAUCAAGCAUUUUCGAUGCAUCAACAUGGCCUCAAUCUAAAUAAGUAAUUUUUUAUAUUUGGAUCUAUGUGCUAUGGUAAAUGUAGGAGUUCCCUAUUAUUAUUGACACUUUUUCUUAAUGAGGAGAGUCAUAGAUACAAAAAACCAUAUUAAUAUUGAAGAAAAGAAGAAGAGGACAAAAGUUAUAAUAUAUGUCAACAAUUGAUUGCAAAGUAGAUUUCUAGCAUAAAGAAGGUUUAUAAUCAUACUCCUCGACCAUAUCAAAGAGCUACACGAAGUGUUAUUAACAAAGUCUUAGUGAUUGGAUAUCUUAAGAGUAUCAGGCACAAAGUUAUGAUGAACUUAGAAGAGAAAUGAAUUUUUAUUUCUAUUUUAGAACUUUAGAGGCUUUGCAAGAUAUAUGAAUUUGAUCUAUUGUUACUUUGAAAAAUUUUACAAUGUACUUUUAUAGAAAUUGAGUGUUAUGAUAUGCAUUCCAUCAUGGAUAAAAUUUACUGCUUAAUCAUAAGAGAGAAGUUGACAAGUUUAUUUAACAAUAAAUAUCUUUUGACAUAGUGGUAAUUGUUUAGCCUCAGAAAUUUGAACAAUACCAGCUAUUCAAUAUUGAAGAAAGCAAAGCAUUCAUUCAACUCUUUUUGCUGUAUUUACUUUUUUAAUUUAUUCCCAAAGAGAUUUUAAAUUGAUAUUAUGCACUUAUUCUACACACAUACAGUUGCAGAAAGCUAAAUAAAAAGUGCUCUCUAAAUUGAAAUGACACUCUUGUAUGCUUUUGGCAUUCAUUGUAAAAAAAUUUUAUAGGCCAAAGACAUUACCACUCCAGUAUAUUACAAAUUUAUGGUUUUUAUAUUUUCCACUCUUAAUAUUCAUUUUUUUUAUUCACAAAGUGGGGAGAUGAUCAAUGAUGUGGAGUAGCAUGGGUCAUAUUACAUAAUAUGGUGGUAUAUGUUUAAGAGGAUAGUCAAAAAGUAUUCAAACAUUACGAAUAAUUGAUAUAUUUCAUCUUUAUAUAUUUUUUAUUUUCUAUUUUAAUAACUGAUAACAAGUGAUGUAAGUUCAAUCUAUCAUUUUUCAAGGCUUUUAACAAUUGAAGUUACAUAUAAUAUAUUUGACAAUAAGGACAAUAAUUUGGCUAUGAGCUCAUAUUAGAGUAGCUAUACAAAAAGUCAUGGAAAGAGUGUCAAAUAUAUAUAUAGCAAGUUGUUGAUUGUUGCAAAUUUUGAAUUGGUAUUUUGAUGCACAUAUAAGCUCAAAAGAGGAGGUUUGAAAGGUCUAGAAUGAACUUCUUACAUAUAAAAGUCAACUUAUUAAAUUUGUUGAGAGGUGAAAAGUUGAGUCCCUUUUCUAAAAUAUUUUAUUGAGAUAGUGAUAAGGUAAGAUAGUGAUGUUAUCAAAUGGAGUGUACAUAUUUUUACAUGCUUAAAGGCUAUAACUUAUAUUUUUAAGGGAGUUAUUUUCAGUUCAUCAGAAAUGAGGUAUACAAUUCCUUUCUUUAUAUUUUGUUUUAUGUGGUUUAUUAUUUUUAUCUCAAAGUUAUAGGAAACACCAUUAUACUUCUUUUGCCCAUGAAAGUAUUCUUCCUUCUAAUCAAUAUUUUACAUCAUUGUCUUUUACUUCAUGACAACACAAAUUUAACUUUUGAAUACAAUAAAUUAAAGCUCCAUGAUAAAUUACUUCAACUAGGACAUAUCAAGAAUUUCCUAAUUUAUCCACUAAAAAGUGAUAUUGUAAGUAAUGGUUUAAAGCAGCUUCAUCCACCAUCCAUUCACCAUCCAUAAUGAAAUUCAACUUUUAUAACAACACAAGAAUGAUGGAUGGUCUUUAAGCUUUGAUAAUUAUCCCAAUGUAGAAUCAAUGCACAUUGAUAAGGUAUUUAUAGCAAGAUGACAUACUCAAUCAGUUGUUUAGCUAGUGAAACAUAAAGUUACCUUCAUUGCAAUGAUAUCUUCACAUAGAUACCAUUCUAAAUGAUCUAUAUAUUGAUAAUAAUCUCUUUAGAGGCACACAUCCAGAAUUUUGUAAAAUGUUUCUUUGUGCAGCUAAUGAAAGGUUCUAUUCAUCCAUUAUUUGUUGCAACUAGAUGAAAAUCCUCUCAAAUUCAAGCUUUCUACCUAUCUCUUUUGACUCCUAGUGUGCUGCUAUGGCUCCAUCAAGCUCUGGAACAUUAUCUGAAAUUGAAACUCCUUCCUCUAACUCCUAAUGUGUUGUUAUAUGGCUUUCCCAAACUCUAGAUCAUAAUUUAAAUGUGAGGCUCCACCUAACUCAAAUUGAAGCUCUAUGCUUAGUUGGUCUCACUCCCAAUGUGCUACUACAGCUUCCUUAAGUUCUAGAUCAUAAUCUGAAUAUGAGGCUUCACCUAACUCAGAUUGAAGCUCUUUGCAUAACUCCUCUAAUUCCCUGUGUUAUUGCUGCUUCACAAUUUGAUGUUAGAUUUGCUAUUGUGGUUAGCUCUCCAUCAUGAUCUUCCACCUAGAUCUCAACCACUAUCUACUGCUAUGGCUUCUAAUUCACAAUUUACAAAACUCACUAAAUCUUGACAACAAUGCUGGCACCAAAAUCAAUUAGAUAGAAAGUGUCCUCUGCUGGAGAGCCACAUCAAGCACAUCUUCUGCAUUUUAGGGCAAAAUACUGCAUUGUAGUCAAGUUACAAAAUCAUAGUCAAUUUAUAUACUGUCUGGUAAUUUCAGUAGUUCCUAUUUUGCUUCCAGGAAAAUCACGAAGAACAAUCAAGCAAAGGUAAGAAAUAAACUAGACGCCAAUGGAUGGAGCUAGUGCUAGCGUUUUAGAGAAAGAUUGCUUACCAGGAUUGCCUUGUGCGUGCACACAUCCGGCCCAUCACAUGUCUUGAGCGUCACAUCCAACAGCGGCAAAUCAAGGGUGUCCUGGUCCCAGGCACGCAGGAAUUUGGCCUGGCACGCUUGCAGGCGGCGGUCCUUGUCCCGGAGGUGGUGCUGCGCUCCCCACCAGCGACUCCAGCAUGUGGAUCCAGCACCUGUGGCAUCGAUCACAGUACGUGAACUCCACUGCGUAGGAGCGAAACUCGUUCCCUGAGAGGAGUCUCUUCCACCCGAGACAUAUUCCCCCUCUCUCUUUUCUUUAAAUCGUGCCGCCACGUGGCUUGCUUGUAAAUUUAGGUUAGGACUAGAUAAACAAAAAGGUACCAUUAAGAAAGAAAUAUUAGUCAAAUAAAAUUGAAAAUAAAAUCAAAAAGGUGCCAAAAAGGAAUACAUAAACCCUAUGUUAAAAGGGAAAUCAUAAUAUAAAUCUAGGUAUCACAACACAACAAAGGAUCAAUGAGGAAGCUUGUGGUAGUUGCUUUCUUAGCUAUAUUCUUUGCAGGAGCUACUUUUUCGCGAUUGUUAGCAUCUACUCCACCACGAUCUCCAUCGCCAGGAUCUCUAGCAGUGGAGAAAUCGAUCUCUAUAGCUGUUUCUUACACAGGAAAGGAUACCUUCGCCGAUGGAACCCUUUUGACUUGCCCGCAAACCGCAAUUCAUCCUAACGUUAUGGUCCCAGGACAUGUUGAUCCUGCGCAGCUUUACUCCAUCAUGAUGAUAGAUAGGCGAGCUUCGCGGUUGAUGUUUACAUUGGCAGAUCAAUUCACGUACGUCCACUAUUGGAUCGCCAACAUCCCUGGAUCAAAGGUUGACGCUGGCACCAUUCUGGAGGAGUAUAUGAGGCCUGCACCCCACGAUUUCAUGCAGCACAAGUACGAGUUUAUACUGUAUAAGCAGCAAGGGCAGAUCAAUACGCCUCUUGCGGAUAGAUUCGUCAAGGACUGGGAAGCGGUCGCAAGCGCUUACAACCUGGCAGCCCAGUAGCAACGACUUCCUUUGUUGCGCAGCUCACCCUAAACUUUAGAACGAGAAUGUUCCAAUGUUAAAAAGGUGGCUUCUUUGAAUCAUUGCGUGUUGUUCAAAACUAGAGAAAAGAGAUUCAACAAUUGUUAGAACAAGAUCGUCCCAAUGUUAUAAAGGUGGCGAGAUUAUAGAUGUAAUGUUCUUUGAAUUAAGAGAACGAAAAUAGAGAAAAGAGAUACAAUUACAGUUUAGAGUGGUGUAUGGUGUUGUUGCUCAAGAACACUGUCCCAGAUAGGACGACUUCGCCUCUCUCCUUAACUUUACACUUGAAGGAGAUCCUGAAAGAAGAAGCAAGCGUUACAGGGAUGAUCUAGCAAGAGAAACGAUUGCAAAUGCUUACUGCGAGCUCUUGCCUUGUUCAAUGUUACGAGCAUUUCCCCGGAUAGACGUGGUGCAGGAACCUGGAGCUGAUCGUUGCAAUUCUCAUCAGAUCACCAUUGCAGCCGUACCGAAUUAUAGCUCUCACGGCAUAGCUAAGCAUGCAAAGCCCAUGACGAAUGGGACGCUGGAAGCUCUGUUUUUAAAUCCCGUCACAGACGUCAUUCGCAAGAACAAAAAAGCUUACCCUGCAUCUGUGGCGAGCUUUGGGUCUGAAUGCAAGGGAUUCAUGUCUCAGAGUAACGCCUACAUCACGGACGAGUAACUUAUGUUCUACAAGGAAAAACUAAAAAUGAAAGUUAAUCUUUCGUUACCUGGUUCGGCCUGAUUUGAUCUUCAAACUCGAAGUCUGGAGGAGUUGCGUCAAAUUCUUUCUCAUUGAAACUGAUGGGAAACUGUGACGAUGUUCGCAACGAGAAGGAGAACGGCUUUCCAGGACCUGCCUAGAAUCCUCCAGCACCCCUCUGUUUUUGCUAGCUAGUUAGCUCUUACAAGGAGCACAAGCCAAGAUUCAGACCUCACCUCUUUGAAGCCAUUCAGGAGAGCUAGCGUGCUUCACGUCUGCGUAAGAAUACCAAAGUCCUGCAAAAUUGUUGACUUAGGCUAGGCCUACUCUCUGUUCAAUUAUACAAAAGCUACAGCACCUUUGCAGACAUAGCAGUUCCCUGGUAUCGAUGCAAGAGUUCCAUUUCAACCACUGGAAAAGUGGCGCAUAGGCCUAUCAUUUUUGCGCAUGAAUCACGAAACAUGUCGUGAAGACCUGAAAUUCGUUAACCUGAAUUUACAACGAUAGAGACACUUGAAAUUCAAGGAAAAAGAGAAAAGAGAAACCUUACCCGUUGGAUGUGGUUUGUAAAUCUCCACAUACUGUUCACCACCAGUAGCUUGGGAUCAAAACUGCAAAUUAUAUACAUUUUUUCCAGGCUAGGAAAACAAGAGAUGGACCUUAUAACUUAGCCCAGGCAAAUCAUGUUAGGUUAGGAAUUAGUGAAAUUGCCCAAAAGUAUAUAAAUUGACUAUGAUUUUGUAACUUCGAUUAUGAAUGGGAGAUAGAUAUGAUGUCAAUCUAGAAGACACUUGCUAUCUGAUCAAUCUUGGUGUCAACCAAACCUGGUGAGUUCUGUAGAUUGUGAUCCAGAAGCUGCAGCAGCAGAUAGAGGUGGAACUGUGAUAGCCACAGCAGCACAUUGGGAGCCAGAGGAAGGAGCCUCAGAUUCAAAUUAUGAUAGCAGCACAUCGGGAGCCAGAGGAGCCAGGCAGAGAUCUCCAAUCCAAGAGGACUUUCAUUCAGAUGGAUGAAUGUAACCUCUCAUUAACUACACAAGAAAACAUUCUACACAGUGUGUCCCAAAAGAGACUAUUAAUGUCAAGCAUGACAUUCUGCCAUAAAUACCUUCACUUCUGGAGAACAUGAAACAGAUGGCUUGAAGGAACUCCAUUAGUGAUUAAGGAAUUCUGGCAUGGCAGUAAAUUUUGACAGAGUCAUGGAUUUUCUGUCGGGAUCUCAUUUCUACAUCAACAUCUCCACAUGCAUGACAAGCAAGAGGUUGGCAAAGAAAAUUUACAAGAGGAGAAAGUGUAAGUCUAGAUCACAAAAGGUGAUUGUUUGUUCAUUCUUUUUUUAUUGUGUGUUCUUAUUUUCAGGAUCCCAUGCUUAGCAUCACUCCAAAGAAGGCCAAUUGGGACUUGUGUAAAGACCUACAAAGAAGCUGGAGAAACUGGAGAGACAAACAAUGCAUGCUAUUCUAAGCUUCUAUGUUCUUGAAACUUAUCUUGCUUUGAGCAGCCAGGCUAUAACAAGACUAAAUAAGUUUCUAUUCUCUACAAUGUCACUUUUUUGUUCUCAAGCUUUGAUAUUUAGAGCUGUUUCUGCUUAAGCACUAGUUCCUUAGGGUGCAUAAUCCUGUAGUGCCACAUUUUUAAGCCUGGCUUAUCUGCUUGAUAAAGAGAGGAAGUGGCGAUUUGCUGCUAGGGUUUGGGACCACUAGGUUGUGCUCCAAAAAAGGCAGGAUUUGCUUCUUCUCAAGAUUAUGUUUGCAUUUCUAGAGUAAGGCUGUGGUGUCAUCGCAGAACCUCAAAGAAGGCAAGAUUUAGUUUGAUUGCUUCUUCUUGACAUUGCCAAGGUUUGGAGGCUAUAGCAUCAUCACAGUAUCACCAAGUUGCGAUCAGAGGCUCAAAACACACUCACCGACCAGCUCUAAAUGGAGUGAGACAUAAGUCAAUUUCUUUCAUGUUUAUGUCUUGCUUAAGCUGCAGGGAUGUGGUGACCAGCCAAGCUUACAUCAUGAAUUGCCAACUGAGACCAGCAGAGCAAGGAUGCAUCCUAAGAGUCUCCUUCACAACAGCUUGGAGGUACACCAUUUUCAUACUUGGCGACUUUAGACUUUCCAACCAUACCAGUAAUCUCAUUGCACAACCUUCUUUUGGAUUUCAGGAUCCACGAGAAUCCAUUCAGUGAAGAGAGCAACGGUGUCAGGCCUUGGAAAAUCAUCUCCUAUGAAGUCAUGGCAUAAGAAACAUUAUGUAAGUCAUUAGAGCAGGAACUGAUGUUUAUGCAUUUAAAGUGAAAAUACAUGUUAAGAAUAACUAAUUAGAAGGUAUAAUGAAAAGGUGGCUGCUUUUUAGGUCAUGUGUAAAAAAAAUUCAUUAGCAUUUCACCAUACCACAACUCCAUCUAGUGAAAUUUUUGUCAUUCUUCCUAAAAUUUUGCCAUAAAAGUUUUCCAUAAUUUUUUUUUUUUGAAAAAAAAAUUCUGUCCAGGCUGGCAGUGUUACUUGGAGGCCACAAAUAUCACCAACAAGCCUAUUAUUGAAAAGAACUGUAAAUGUGGGAAGAACCUACAUGAUGACUUCUAACUGUCAAUAGAAGAAGAAAAAAAAAUUUAGUAGUACUUACCAUGAACUUUAUGUUCUUCCACAGUUUCCAUGAAGGAGUUAUGCGUCUAUUUACCUGCAAAGUGAAAGAAAUCAUCUCAAAGUUACUGAAAAAAAGAUUAAUAUUGGGAUCUUUGAUGAAAACUAUUGCAGUUGCCAACUCUAAGCCAAGCCUACUCCAUAUGCAAAAGCAUGAAUCAAGUCAUGUAAUUAUCACUGAAAAUACCAACAAAACAUAUCUGAAAAACAUAAACUUGGAGUACUUCUUGGCUGCUUCUCUUAUGAAUGGAAGUGCAUGCUCUCCUAUGUCAGAAAAAAGAAUAGCUUUCACCUAUAAAGAAGUGAAAAAGAGAGAGAUUUUGAUUAGUAUUAUAGGAUUUUGUUUAUUAUACUGGAUUGGAUAGCAACAUAGCUUUUCAAUCUUCCUUGCAUUCAUUACUAUUCUUCUCAAAACUUGGUAGCGAUCAUUUUCACUAAAAUCUAAAACAAGCACUAGCUAAAGUCAUGUAAAUACUUGAGUUCAUUAAAAAAUUUAGACCACAUAAGGCACUAGUAUGGUAGCAAGAAUUGUAACUAAGGCCUUUGAAAUACAUACAGUGUUUGUUGGGGAAAGUAGAACAAAGCUAAAUAUGAAAGACUUCCCUGCCCUCACUAGAAACAGAAAGACAAACCAAAACACACAAGUGCUCACAUGUGAAGACACAUGUGGGAUUGAGAGCUUUUUUUUUGGCAAGGCUACUGUUGAGCAUGACUCUCACUCAAAAGCAUUAGAACAAAUCUUUCAAGGAAGGAACAAUACAAGAAAAUAAAAUAAAAAGUGGAAAGAAAAAUAAGAUGAAAGACCUCUCAUCCAAAUCCUCUUACUUAAAAGCUUUAGAAACAAGCUUUCAUGGAUGUUGCGAAUGUGACUUCGGGUAUCAAAAGAUACUUGUCAGUCAGUCUUUACGGACACUCUUUCCUUAUUGCCAUGAUGGAUGUUAUUUUAGUAUACUAAUGGCCUAAUGUGAAGAUAUAAGUACUCUACUAGUUAGCAUGGUAUGGAAUUUGGGCCUCCAGACACAGAACAAAGACAAAAUUUACUAAAUAUGGAAUAGCAUUAGAUUGUGAAUCUAAAUGUAAGUUUAAAAUUAUUAUGUUCAAAAUAAUCUCUACAUUCAGUAGAUAAGCCUCACUAGUAGAUCUAGAUACUUUCCAUAAAUAGCCAAUGGGAUUGAAUAGGACCAAUACAUAGGAAAUGAUAGUGAGAGUGUCUUAGUACAUAUGAUAAGCUAUCAUAUAAUAAAUAUUAAAGGACUAACUUCAAUAUUGCGGGGGUCCAAUAUUAGCAAUUGCAAAGCGACAUAUGAAUUUUUCAUCUCAGGCUGAGUAUGCUUAGCAAAAACACAUAAAAUUUUCUACUUUAUAAUAAGUAUGUACAUGAUGACUAAUUUCUCAACUAGCUUGGACAAAGACUAAUAAAGGGAAUUAACAAUACUGACCUUCUACCGUCAUGGCACUAAGAGAAAAAUAUUUGGAAAAACUCAUCAAUGGGUAACUUUUGAUAUUCAUAACAAAAAACUUAAGUAAAACCUUGAUUUUUAUUUUUAUUAUUUUAUUUCAUCUUCCAUUGUAGCACACCUAAAUUUGGAGCCAAACUCCAAGCCCGUUGCACUACAAAACGAGGGUCCGGUACAAUCCCACAAGCACUAGCUCCCCAUAUCCAACACCUGCACGCAAAAUGGUGUCAGACGGAGUCUGGCAAUAUUUUGGCAUACCGGUGGCCUAACGCAAGAAGGGUACCCCACUGACUAAAGUAGCGUGAAGCUUGGGUUUAGACCCAAGCCGGACGCAGAACAAGGAGUGACAUAGCCUAGCGGGAGCUAAACUAAUGUCUCAGGUGGUCGGACAUGUAUUCCAACCACUAUCCCUACUAUACAUUUGGAACCCCCUAUAGCCCCCCCCCCCCCCCUAAGGAACACAUGCUUUGGGCUUUCACCCCAAGCCUCCUUUAGUACCAAAAGUUAGUCUCUGGGAUAAGCUCGAAACUUAUUAAAUAUGGAAUGGCGCUAGAUUGUGAAUUUCGACACGGGAUGAACACCAUUGUGUUCGGGCUGAUCUCUACAUUCCGUAGAUAUGCCAAAUAAACUAAUCUAGACACUUUCCAUAAAUAGCAUUUGGGACCGAAAUAAGACUAACACAAAAGGCAUAAUAGUGAGGGUGUUUGGCAAACACGGUAAACUAUCAUCCAACAAUAUUAAGGGACUAGUCUCAAUACACGAGGGUUUUUGUCACUAACAAGUGCAAGACAAAACGAGACGGGAACUCCUUACCGGGCUAAGUAUGUUUAACUAAUAGUACGUAGAAAUUCUGUCCUUAUACUUGUUUGGUCUAAGUACACUCGAAAUGCCCAGUUAACUCCACUAGCACAAGAGGGGCUACUAAAGGGAUCUAACUAUACCGACCUUCUGUAGACUCUAUUUGGCUUUGUUUGGCUUUGUUUUAUGUAUUAAUCUUAGUGUUGGGAUGUUAGAUCUUCUAAAACUAUUCUAAAGUCAUUUUGUGCUUUUAUUCUUUUAGUCUUUAACUUGUAUGCUUGGGAGUUAUUUCAUGUUUUGGUUCUUUUGGCUAUAUGUCCAGAAGUUUAGCUUCGUUCCUUCAUUCAGUGGCUUAAGGCCUUGAAACUUAGAUUUCACUUUGCUACUCUUGACUCAUGUGUUUAAGGGUUUAAUUUCACUUUAUAGUUAUCCUAUAUUAAAUUACUAUAGGAUAAAGGGUGAAAACCAUGUGUACUACACUUUUGAGUAGAAAGGUUUUACUUCUUGGUUUUGUUUUCAAUUUUUAUUAUUGUUGUUUUUUAUUUGAUUUUACUUUGGAUUUUGUUAUUGCUAUUAGAUUAUAAAUGAAAUAUUUUUAUUAUUGUUGGAUUUUGUUGUUAUUAUUAAAUUUCACCUUUUGGAUUUUGAGAUCUCAAUUCUCCCACUCAAAGGAAACAAAAGUAAUAAAAACCAACCAUCCCAUUCUAAUCUUAAUCAUUACCAACCCAAGCAAAUCAUGCUAGCAAACUAGUGAAAUUGCUAGAUAGUAUAUAUAUUGUUAUGAAUUUGAUUAUGAAUGUGAGAUAUUGACUAAAUAAUGUGGCCACAAUGCUCUACUAAAUAUUUUACCUUAAAAUAAAGAAGAUCAAUAGAUGCGCUCGAUGUGAAUCUAGAAGAUACUUAUUGUCUGAUUGAUCUUGGCACUAAUAUCACUAGUAACAUUUAAUGAGUUAUGUAUAUCAUGAUCUAGAAGCCACAACAACAAAUAAGUGUUUAAGAUCUAGAUGGAGCUAGAGAAGAUCAUGAUGAAGAGCUAGUCAUAAUAGCAGAUCUAGCAUCAAAUUAUGAAGUAACAACAGCCUCAUUGAGACAUGGAGGAGCUAUACAAAGAGCUAAAUAAAGCCUUAGAUUUAGAUAAACUAACUAGGCAAAGAGGUUCAACCUGAGUUAGGUGGAGCCUUAGAUCUAGAUAAUGAUCCAAAGCUUGGGGAAGUUAUAGUAGCACAUUGGGAGCCAGAGGAAGAAGCCUUGAAUUCAAAUUAUGAUCAAAAGGCUAAUGGAACUAUAACAACACCUUAGGAGCUAAAGGAACUAAAUAGAGAGUUUGAAUUUGAAAGUACUUUCAUCCAAGUGCAAUAAGCAAUGGAUGAAUAGAACCUCUCCUUAACUGCACAAAAAGGCAUUCUACAAAAUUCUGGAGAUGUGGUCAUAAAGAGAUUAUUAUCGAGAUAUAAAUCAUUUGGAAUGGUAUCCAUGACAAAGUCCCAUUAUAGUGAAGGUAACUUUAUGUUUCACUAUUUUGCAUUAACCAAGUAGCUAAAGUUACUAAUAUUAAGUGUGUCAUCCUGUUAUAAAUACCUUCGUUUGUGAAGAAAAUAAAAUGAAUGGCUUGAAGAAACUUUAAGGAAUUCUAGCACAGCAAUAAGCUUUGGUAGAGUCAUAAAUUUCAUGAUUCAAAUUCAUCUUUUGAAUUAAUCAAGAUAAUGUAUCAUUCAAAUUUCUAUCCUCUUUUCUAAAGGUUCUUUUUCACAAAAAGUGAUCUUUAUCACUAAUGGUGGAUGAAGUUGUUUCAAAUCAUUACCACUAUUUUUUAUUCCCUUUCCCAGGAGUUUAAUUAAAGAAGAUAUCAAAUAAGUGUUAAGCAACUUUUAGCAAUGAUUUGGAGUACUUCUCCUCACAAGGGUAAAAAUGAAUUUCAACUAUCCAAAGAUCAGUGAUUUAUAUUGAGAGUUUUGCUUUUUGCUUUUGUAAAAGAUUAUUUUGCUCUAUAUAAGGCCAAAAUAUUUCUCUCUAGAGCUCCUUAUUAUUGUUAACACAUUUUUUUAAUGAGGAGGGUUAUACAACAUUAAUAUUGAAGAAAAGAAAAAGAAGACAAAGGUUAUAGUGUAUGUCAAUAACUGAUUGCAAAGCAAAUUUCUAAUAUAAAGAAGGCUUAUGAGUAUACUCUUUGACCAUAUCACAGAGCUACACAAAGUGUUAUUAAUAAAGUCUUAGUGACUUGGUAUAUUAGGAGUAUCAGACACAAACUUAUGAUGAAUUUGGAAGAGAAAUAAACUUUUGUUUUUAUUUUAAAACUUUAGAGGUUUUACAAGAUAUAUAAAUUUUAUUUGUUGUUGCUUUGAAAAUUUUUGCAAUAUACUUUUUAUAGAAAUUAAGUGCUAUGAUGUGCAUUCCAUCAUGGACAAGAUUUACUGCUUGAUCAUAAAAGGGAAGUUGACAAACUUGUUAUAUAUAUAUUUAACAAUAAACAUUUUUUGAUAUAGUGGGAACCAUUUGGCUUCAUGAAUUUGAACAAUGCCAGUUAUUUAAUAUUAAAGAAAGCAAGGCAUUCAUUCAAUUUUUCUUGCUGUAUUUGCUUCUCUAAUUUCCUAAUGUUCCCAAAAAAAUUUUAAAUUGAUAUUAUGCACUUAUUAUAUACAUAUAUAAUUGCAAAAGGCUAAACAAAAAGUGUUUUUUAAGUUGAAAAGACACUCUUAUGUGCUUUUGGUGUUCAUUGUAAAAACAUCUUAUAGGCUAAACACAUCACCACUAAGUUUGUGGUUUUUAUCUUUUCCAUUCUUAAUAUUCAUUUUUAUUAUUCAUAAAGUGGGGAGAUGAUCAAUGAUGUGGAGUGGUAUGGACCAUGUCACAUAAUAUGGUGCUAUAGGUUUAAGAGGUGCUAAAAAGUAGUUCUAGCAUUACACAAGCUAAACGGUAAGACAUUGAAAGUGAAGACGCCCCAAGGUGUCUGAAAGGCCGUAAGAUCUCAAUGAUUAAUAUUUAACAUUCUGAAUAAUUGACAUAUUUCAUUUAUAUCCUUUGCUUAUUUUCUAUUUUAAUAACUGGUAACAAGUUCAAUUUAUCACUUCUCAAGGCUUUUAGCAACUAAAUAUAAUAUAUUGACAAUGAAGACGGCAAACUACCUCUAAAGUGGCUAUGAGCUCCUAUUAAAGCAGUUGUACAAAAAGUCAUGGAAAGAGUGUCAAAUAUACAUGUAAUAAAUUGUUGAUUAUUGCAAGUUUUGAGUUGAUAUUUUGAUGCACAUAUGAGCUCAAAGAAGGAAGCUCAAAAGGUCUGGAAUGAACUUCUUACAUAUGGAAGUCAAUUGUUAAAUUUGUUGAGAGGUGUUUUUUAUGAAACAUGCAGGAUAGUGAUAUUAUAAGUGGACAUAAAGUAGAGAGUACAUAUUUUUACAUGCUUAAAAGCCAUAUUUUAUUUUUCAAAAGAGUUAUUUUAAAUUCAUCAGAAAGGAAAUAUACAGUUUCUUUCUUUGUAUUUUGUUUUAUAUGGCUUGUUAUUUUUAGCUCAAAGCUAUAAGAAACACUAUUAUAUGGAAGAAUUCUUCUUUCCAAUUUCAGAUAUUUUACAUCAGUAUCUUUUGUUUGAGCUUCACAACAAUAUAAAUUUAGCCUUUGAAUACAAUGAGUUAAAGUUCCAUGACAAACUACUUUAACUAGGACAUAUCGAGAAUUUAUCUAAUUUAUCCACUAAAAGGCGAUAUUGUUAAAGCAAUUUCAUCCACUAUCCAUCCACCAUCCAUCAUGAAAUUCAGCUUUUAUAAUAAUACAAGAGUGAUGGAUGGAAAAUCAAUGCACAUUGACAAGGAUCACCUUAUAUGAAAAAGAGCCUUUAAAAAUGAAGAUAGAAAGUUGAAUGAUACUCUAGCAUAGUAGAAAGUUUUAGCAGAAUCAUAGAUUUUGAAAUCCUAAGUCAUCUUUUGGAUCAAUGAAGGUAAUCAUUGAUGGAGUUCCUUCAAGCCGUUUGUUUCAUUUUCUCCACAAGCAAAGGUAUUUAUAGUAAGAUGACACACUCAAUAUUAGUAAUUUUAGCUACUUAGCUAGUGGAAGAUAGUGAAACAUAAAGUUACCUUCAUUGCAAUGGUACUUUGACGUGAAUACCAUUUUAAAUGAUUUAUAUCUCAAUAAUAAUCUCUUCAGAGGCACACUUCUGGAAUUUUGUAGAAUGCUUUCUUGUGCAGCUAAAGAUAAAUUCUAUUCAUCCAUUGCUUGUUGCAUCUAUAUGAAAGUCCUCUCAAAUUCAAGCUCUCUACCUAGUUCUUUUGACUUCUAGUAUGUUACUAUAACUCCAUCAAGCUUUGGAACAUAAUCUGAAAUUAAGGCUCCUUCCUCUAACUCCUAGUGUGCUAUUAUGGCUUCCCCAAACUCUGGAUCAUAAUCUAAAUCUAAGGCUCCACCUAACUCAAAUUGAAGCUCUAUGCCUAGUUUUUCUCGCUCCAAGUGUGCUACUAUAGCUUUCCCAAGUUCUAGAUCAUAAUUUGAAUCUGAGGCUUCACUUUAACUCAAAUUGAAGCUCUUUGCAUAGCUCUUCUAAAUCCCUAUGUGCUAUUACUGCUUCACAAUUUGAUGUUAGAUUUGCUAUUGUGGUUAACUCUCCAUCAUGAUCUUCCACCUAGAUCUCAACCACUAUCUACUGCUAUGGUUCACAAUCUACAAAACUCACUAGAUCUUGAUAACAAUGUUGGCACCAAAAUCAAUUAGACAGGAAGUGUCCUCCAGAUCUGCUGAAGAGCCACAUCAAGCACAUCUACAGAUCUUCUGCAUUUUAGGCAAAAUACUGCAUUGUGGCUAGAUUAUUUUAGUCAAUAUAAUCAAAGUUACAAAAUCAUAAUCAAUUUAUAUACUGUCUGGCAAUUUCACUAGUUUCUAUUUUGCUAGCGUGAUUCACCCGGGCUGACAUUGUUCAGAACAAAGCUUUCAGGGAAGGCAAAGGCAAACAACAACAAAAAAUUACUGUCAACUAUAAUCCCAAUUCUAACAAAGAGAAAGAGAAAUGAAAGUUCUUUGGGUGGUUUUUCCCGACUUCCAAACAAACGACCCGCAAAAAUUCAUUCCAGGAAGAUCACGAAGAACAAUCAAGCAAAGAAAAGAACUAAACUAGACGCCAAUGGAUGGAGCUAGUGCUAGCGUUUUAGAGAAAGAUCGCUUACCAGGAUUGCCUUGUGUGCGCACACGUCUGGCCCAUCACACGCCUUGAGCAUCACAUCCGACACUGGCAAAUCUAGGGUGUCCUGGUCCCAGGCACGCAGGAAUUUGGCCUGGCACGCCACUGCUUGGAGGCGGCACUCCUUGUCCCGGAGGUGUCCCCACCAGCGACUCCAGCCUGUGGAUCCGGCCCCUGUGGCAUCGAUCACAAUACGCGAACUCCAUCGCAUAGGAGCGAAACUCGUACCCUGAGAGGAGCUGGAAUUUUUUUCUUUAGACGAAUGCCGCCACGUGGCGUGUUUGAAAACGCAGCUAAGUUAGGUUAGGACUAGAUAAACAAAAAGCCCUAUGUUAAAAGGUAAAUCACUAUAUAAAUCUAGGUAUCAAAGUGAUCACAACACAACAAAGGAUCAAUGAGGAAGCUUGUGGUGGUUGCUUUCUUGGCUAUAUUCUUUGCAGGAGCUACUUCUUCGUGAUUGUUAGCGUCUACUCCACCACGAUCUCCAUCGCCAGGAUCUCUAGCAGUGGAGAAAUCGAUUUCUAUAGCUGUUUCUUACACAGGAAAGGAUACCUUCGCCGAUGGAACCCUUUUGACGUGCCCGCAAACCGCGAUUCCUCCCAACGUUAUGGUCCCAGGAGAUGUUGAUCCUGCACAGCUUUACUCCAUCGUGAUGAUAGAUGCUUCGCGGUCGAUGUUUACAUUGGCAGAUCAAUUCACGUACGUCCACUAUUGGAUCGCCAACAUCCCUGGAUCAAAGGUUGACGCUGGCACAAUUUUGGAGGAGUAUAUGAGGCCUGCACCCCACGACUUCGUGCAGCACAAGUACGAGUACUGUAUAAGCAGCAAGGGCAGAUCAAUACGCCUCUCGCGGAUAGAUUCGUCAAGGACUGGGAAGCGGUCGCAAGCGCUUACAACCUUGGCAGCCCAGUAGCAACAACUUCCUUUGUUGUGCAGCUCACCCUAAACUUUAGAACGAGAAUGUUCCAAUGUUAAAAAGGUGGCUUCUUUGAAUCAUUGCGUGAUGUUCGAAACUAGAGAAAAGAGAUUCAACUAUUGUUAGAACAAGAUCGUCCCAAUGUUAUAAAGGUGGCGAGAUUAUAGAAAUGUUCUUUGAAUUAAGAGCGAAAAUAGAGACCCGGAUAGGACGACUUCGCCUCUAUCCUUAACUCUACACUUGAAGGAGAUCCUGAAAGAAGAAGCAAGCGUUACGGGGAUGAUCUAGCAAGAGAAAUGAUUGCGACUGCUUACUGCGAGCUCUUGCCUUGUUCAACGUUACGAGCAUUUCCCCGGAUAGACGUGGUGCAGGAACCUGGAGCUGAUCGUUGCAAUUCUCAUCGGAUCACCAUCGCAGCCGCACCGAAUUAUAGCUCUCACGGCAUAGCUAAGCAUGCAAAGCCCAUGACGAAUGGGACGCUGGAAGCUGUGUUUUUAAAUCCCGUCACAGACGUCAUUCGCAAGAACAAAAAAGCUUUCUGCGGCGAGCUUUGGGUCCGAAUGCAAGGGAUUCAUGUCUCAGAGUCGCCUACAUCACGGACGAGUAACUUAUGUUCUACAAGGAAAAACUAAAAAUGAAAGUUAAUCUUUCGUUGCCUGGUUCGGCCUGAUUUGAUCUUCAAGCUCGAAGUCUGGAGGAGUUGCGUCAAAUUCUUUCUCAUUGAAACUGAUGGGAAACUGUGACGAUGUUCGCAACGAGAAGGAGAACGGCUUUCCAGGACCUGCCUAGAAUCCUCCAGCACCGCGUAAGAAUACCAAAGUCCUGCAAAAUUGUUGACUUAGGCUAGGCCUACUCUCUGUUCAAUCAUACAAAAGCUACAGCACCUUUGCAGACAUAGCAGUUCCCCGGUAUUGAUGCAAGAGUUCCAUUUCAACCACUAGAAAAGUGGCGCAUAGGCCUAUCAUUUUGCGCAUGAAAAACGAAACAGUCGUACCUUUGUCACGAAGACCUGAAAUUCGUUUGCUGCUACGAACCUGAAUUUACAAAGAUAAAGACACUUGAAAUUCAAGGAAAAGGAGAAAAGAGAAACCUUACCCGUGCACUCGUUGGAUGUGGUUUGUAAAUCUCCACAUACUGUUCACCACCAGUAGCUUCGGAUCAAAGUUGCAAAUUAUAUACAUUUUUUUCCAGGCUAAAACAAGAGAUGGCAGUUAGGUUAGGAAUUAGAUUUUGUAACUUUGAUUAUGAAUGGGAAGAUAUAAUCUAGAAAGACGCUUGCUGUCUGAUCAAUCUUGGUGCCAACAAAAUCUGGUGAGUUCUGUAGAUUGUGAUCCAAAAGCUACAGCAGCAGAUAGAGGUGGAACUGUGAUGGAGAGAUAUCCACAGCAGCACACUGGGAGCCAGAUGAAGGAGCCUCAGAUUCAAAUUAUGAUAGCGGCACAUUGGGAGCCGGAGGAGCCAGGCAGAGAUCUCCAAUCCAAGAGGAUUUUCAUCCAGAUGGAUGAAUGUAACCUCUCAUUAACUACACAAGAAGACACUCUACAGAAGUUUGGUGGUGUGUCCCUAAAGAGACUAUUAAUGUCAAGCAUGACAUUCUGCCAUAAAUACCUUCACUUCUGGAGAACAUGAAACAGAUGGCUUGAAGGAACUCUAUUAGUGAUUAAGGAAUUUUGGCAUGGCAGUAAAUUUUGAUAGAGUCAUGGAUUUUCUGUCGGGAUCUCAUUUCUGCAUCAACAUCUCCACAUGCAAUGUGAAUGGCAAAGAAAAUUUACAAGAGGAGAAAGAUCACAAAAGGUGAUUGUUUGUUCAUUCUUUUUUUCUUGCGUGUUCUUAUUUUCAGGGUCCCAUGCUUAGCAUCACUCCAAAGAAGGCCAAUUGGGACUUGUGUAAAAACCUACAAAGAAGCUGGAGAAACUAGAGAAACAAACAAUGCAUGCUAUUCUAAGCUUCUAUGUUCUUGAAACUUAUCUUAGUUUUCUUUCUCUCUGGCUGCUCAAAGAACCUCGAAGAAGGCAAGAUUUAGUUUGAUUGCUUCAUCUCAAGUGCUUGACAUUGCCAAGGUUUGGGAGGCUAUAGCAUCAUCACAGUACCACUAAGUUGCGAUCAGAGGAGAACAAUCUCAAAACACACUCACCGACCAGCUCUAAAUGGAGUGCGACAUAAGUCAAUUCCAUUCAUGUUGAUGUCUUGCUUAAGCAAUCUCUCUGGAGACCAGAUGGAUAGAUCUUUGGACCACAUGUUUACUAUGGCUAUGCAGGGAUGUGGUGAGCAGCCAAACUUACAUCAUGAAUUGCCAACCGAGACAAGGAGACCAAGGAUGCAUCUGAAGAGUUUCCUUCACAACAGCUUGGAGGUACACCAUUUUCAUACUUGGCAACUUUAGACUUUCAAACUAUACCAGUAAUCUCAUUGCACAACCUUCUUUUUGAUUUCAGGAUGGAUAGCAAGCUCCACUCCAUUCAGUGAAGAGAGCAACGGUGUCAGGCCUUGGAAAAUCAUCUCCUAUGAAGUCACAGAAUCAGAAACAUUAUGUACGUCACUAGAGCAGGAACUGCAUACUACUAAGAUGAUGUUUAUGCAUUUUAAAGUGAAAAUACAUGUUAAGAAUAACUAAUUAGAAUGAAAAGUGGUAUAGUGAAAAGGUGGCUGCUUUUUAUGUCAUGUGUAAAAAAUACAAUCAUUAGCAUUUCACUAUACCACAAUUCCAUCUAGUGAAAUUUUUGUCAUUCUUCCUAAAAUUUUGCCAUAAAAGUUUCCAUAAAAGUUUUUUUGAAAAAAUCCUCUGUCCAGGCUGGCAGUGUUACUUGAGGCUGUAAAUAUCACCAGCAAGCCUAUUAUUGAAAAGAACUGUAAAUGUGGGAAGAACCUAUGUAAUGACUUCUAAUUGUCAAUAAAGGAAGAAAAAAAAACACUUAGUAGUAUUUACCAUGAACUUUAUGUUCUUCCAUAGUUUCCAUGAAUGUAGCGCACUUGAAUUUGGAGUUGAACUCCAAACCCAUUACACUAUAAAAUGAGGGUCUGGUACAAUUCCACGAGCACCAGCUCCCCGUAUCCAGCACCUGCACGCAAAAUGGUGUCAAACGAAAUCUGGCACAAUUUUAGCAUACCAGUGGCCUAACGCGAGGAGGAGGGUACUGUGAGACACAAAAUCCCUAGGCCCCAAAGUGGAGCCAGAAGGGCGCCACAUGGUAGUGGCCGAAGCGAGAGCCAAACGAGCGUAACACGUUUGGACCAAAAGCUCCGACUUGAAAAGUCAAGAGCGGGAGUGGAACUCCCAACGAAGUGCUCGAGGAACGAGCACGAAGCGAGCAAAAGGCGAGGCUCCAAAAAGGGACCCAAAAGGACCAACACAUGACACGUGGGAGUGUCCGAGAUGGACUCGAGUUGGAGUCCGAAGUGGAGUCCGAGAUGGACCCGAGUUGGAGUCCGAAGUGGAGUCCGAGAUGGACCCGAGUUGGAGUCCGAAGUGGAGUCCGAAGUGGAGUCCGAGAUGGACCCGAGUUGGAGUCCGAAGUGGAGUCCGAGAUGGACCCGAGAUGGAGUCCGAGAUGGAGUCCGAAGUGGAGUCCGAGGUGGACCCGAGAUGGACCCGAGUUGGAGUCCGAAGUGGAGUCCGAGGUGGACCCGAGAUGGACCCGAAAUGGAGUCCGAGAUGGAGUCCGAGAUGGACCCGAGAUGGAGUCCGAGAUGGAGUCCGAGAUGGACCCGAGAUGGACCCGAGAUGGAGUCCGAGAUGGAGUCCGAGAUGGAGUCCGAGAUGGAGUCCGAAGUCGAGACCGAGACCGGGACCGAGACCGAGACCGAGACCGAGACCGAGAUCGGGACCGAGACCGAGACCGAGGCCGAGGCCGAGACCGAGGCCGAGCCCGAGUCCGAGUCCGAAUCCGAGUCCGAGUCCGAGUCCGAGUCCGAGUCCGAGUCCGAAGCCUGAGAGGGUGAAAGCCCAAAGCGUUCGUCUCCCAGACCCUGGGGGGUUUGGUGAGCUCCAAAAGUAUAGUAAGGGGGAGGACUGCAGUGGAGCCAGUUUGGCCAGGAAAGGCCAGUUUGGCCCAGGAAGGCCGGACCCAGUGUUGGGUGAUGAGCUGCCCACUGGGAAGUCCAAGACUAGAGUGAACACAGACCGACAAGCGGGGUAGCUUGGUGAAGUGUUCAAGAGCCGGCUCUAGUUCCCCCGGGAGAUCGACUGGCCGAUGCUCCCAAUCCAAGUGUGGGUGGCACUACCUACUUGGAUACCUGGUGUGGUUCAACGGAACCCGCUCUAAGCCCAUGGCUAGAGCACCCAAGGGCAGAAGGCGAGGAGAGUACCCAGGUGGCUCGCGUAAGGCCACGGUGUUCCGAAAUGUUGUCCCAAAGGCCCAGACUGUGGAAAGGAAGAGGAGCAGUCCUCUGGGGUAGUGACCAAGGACACAGUCGUGUGGUGAGGAAGUCCCAGAGGACCGUGGGACUUAGUGGUCGGGCCUGUGGGUCUCGAUCCAGUGGCAGUGUUGGCAAACAUGGCCAGAGGCAGAAAGGGACUUAGUGGGGACUAACAGAGGGAUAUUGGGGAAGGCUAUUCCCCUUGUCGGUGGGCAUCCUAAGGAUGCUAAGGAGUGGAUCUGAGAUGACCACUCACGGAUGGUUUGCCUAGUCUUGGAGAGCCAAGACGGUGAUGCAAGUGGUAUUGGACUACCAGUGUGGCAAAGGUGAUUGGGCAUGGCCUUAGCGUAACGGGCUGCUAUGUCGGUGGUACCUUUGAGUGUCGGUCAUGGGUUCGGACACGUGGAGCACUUGGACCAAGUGCAAAUGUUGAGUGGCAUGGAUGCCAUUCUCGGGGCUAGCAAGUCCCAAGUCCUGGAUUGGACUUAUGGAGGUUGUGAAUGAGACUCCUCCAAGUGGUCAGAGGUGUGGUUAAGUGACUAAAGUAGAAUGGAAAAUUUAGUCGCUCACAGGUACCCCACCGACUAGAGCAGUGUGGAGUUGGGCUUAAUCCCAAGCUGAACAUAGAAUAAGAAGCAACACAGCCCAACGGGAUCCAAACUAAUGUCUUAGGUAGUCGGACAUACAUUCUAACCACUAUCCUUACUAUAUAUUUGGAACCCCUCACAAUGCCCCCCCCCCCUUGAGGAACACAUGCUUUGAUAAUGCUGAUCCUUAUCACGUCAAUACCUAUCUUGAGCUUUGCCUGUCGCCUCGGUAGCUCUAGACCAACUUUGGCGUAGCUGCUCUGCAUAAGUCUCAACGGCCAAGACCAACACUUCGGACAUUGGUUUCGAUACAACAAUCUAUUGAGGCACCCCAUGAGUAUUCCCUUGCAACAUCUCUUAUAGAGAAUAGCUGAUAGCACUGUGAAAUGUGUUGUUAUAACAGAUUUCUGCUGUGUCCAAAUGCUCAACCUAGUCGCGUUGGUUCGUCGUGACAUAGUACCGCAGAUAAUCCUCAACUUAAGCAUUCACGCAUUCGGUCUACCCAUCAGUUUGAGGAUGAUAAGCCGUACUAAACUUCAACUUGGUACCAAACAACUAGAACAGUGUGCCCCAAAACUUCCCCGUAAAUCUCGAAUCACUAUCCAAGAUCAUUUCUUUGGGAAGACCACGAACCCGCACUACUUCAUCAAAAAAGAGCUUUGCUGCUUAUUUCACAUUCACUAUUUCUAUAGUUGGAAUGAAGUGUGCAAUCUUCGACAACCGAUCCACAACCACCAUCAAAGUAUCAUAACCCUUAGAUUUUAGCAAGCAAGUGACGAAAUCAAGUGUCACACUUUGAAAUGGCCAUGCCGAUGCUGGAAGGCACUGCAAUUUGCCAGUCUACUUCUCAGUUCUACACUUACAUUGCUGGCAUAUAGGGCAUGGACAUAGUGUGCUACAUCACCUUCCAUACCAGACCAAAAAAAUCCCUUUUUUAAUGAAGCCAAAGUCUUCUGCUUUCCACCGUGUCCCACUGUUAGAACAUCAUGAUGUUCCCGUAGAAACAACUGUUGCAGAUCCUUAGAGGGAAGAUACAAUCUUUCUUGCUUAUAGAAUAUAAGCCCAUCCCGAAUUGAGAAAUGAAGUUUCACAUUGGUGUGGUUAGCAACUUUCGCUGCUUCGCUACCAAGGUUCUGCUUCGACAACUCCGCACGGUGUAAGAUUGACUUCACCAAUGGAUCAAUUCCAUAUGAAGCCCAAACGUCCAACCAGUCCGAACUAAUUGCUGAUAUUGCUUGGAACUGAGUCUGAUGACUCAAUGCAUCCGGAACAAUAUUGUCUUUACCAGGUUUAUAUAUGAUUUCAAUAUCAUAUCUAACAAGCUUCUCUUGUUAACAGGCCUGCUUUGAUGUAAGCUUAGGCUGCAUAGCAAAGUAGCUUAGUGUGUUAUUAUCUGUAUAAACCUUGGUGUGUCAUCCCAAGUAGUGUCUUCAGUGUUCCAAUGUCAACACUAUAGCAAACAUCUCUUUCUUGUGCGUUGGCCAACUUUGUUGGGUUUCAUCCAAUUUCUUGGAAUAGUCCUUACUUUGCGAUGUUUGGAAGGCAUCUUCGAACAGCGGUGGAGUUGGGAUUGCAUUUGAGUAAGGACGUUCAAGAAAAGCUUGAUUCCGAGGCAACUGAUCUAGCCACAGAACUUGAUGAGAUUCUGGUGGUGUGCAAACAGAAUUUGCAAGCAACUCAGGAUAGAGCGGAGAAGUUUGCUAAUAAGCUUUAUUUCGUUAAAGUGGGAUUUAUUCAGUAAAAUGGGACUAGGUACAAAUUUUCAAGUAUUUGAAAAUGACGUGAAAUUAUAUGUUUUUUGUCCAGGGGCUAGACAUAUCUGGGGCAUGGUGACUAGCGCGGUGACUUUGUGUCCAGACUGAGUCCAUCUGGUUGUAUAAUAAAUCUCAUUGUCAAGGUAAACAAGCCGAAUCUGAAGCUAAAGAAGAGCGAUGGCAUGCGUGCACACACUAUUUGUUUGUUCAUUGAGCGUGUGGUGAGCUUUCCAAGAUGAACGUCAUUCCUAUUAGCCAGACAUAUAACUUAAUGGUGAGAACAUUUAGAAGGAUAUGACGGAUUAUUGCAAGUCCUUUACGACAGUGCCUUUGAUGCAAUUUUGGAAUUCAUCGUAGAGUUGUGGGAGGGUGAGGACAUUGGAUCGCCGGAGGGACUCUGCCAGGUGACUGAACAUGGCAUCGACGUCUUCAUGAGUGUGCCCAACCAUGAGAAAACCAAGUGUAACCGUUUCAAAUAUGCCUUUGGCAACAAGCAUCGCCAAGUACGCGAAGACGUACAUGUUUUUGUUCUCACUGCCAGCAUUGUCUGUUUGGAGCAGAAGAUGGGGUGGAAGGCCACAUCAGCCGCAAGAACUUCCUUGAGAUUCUGCUUUGUUUGGAUGAGGCUGUGCAUUCACCGGGCGACCAGCCUCAUCGGAAUGGCAUGAGGCCUCACGUGAUAACCCUACAAUCUGACGGCCAACAUAUUCACUGGGAUGGCAUGGGGCUCCACGCGAUACUGCAAGCCUUUGCUCCUCCUCCAGCUGAACCCUGUAUGGGGUUCGAUCGACAAGGGCCUUAUGCAAGGGUUGGCAGUUCAGCUCAGUCUGCGCACUUUGCAGAGACCUUAAGUGUUUUGCUAGGGACGCAAUCAUCAUGUUUGCACCCCCGCCACCCCAUAGAGGUACAAAGAAGUUCCCAUAGUUCUGGGCACCAUGCCCAUGAGCGAUUAUGCCAAACAGAGACACAGGCAGCUGCAUGGAUGAAGAGAUUGCCUUGGGGGCAGGAUUGAGUCGAGGUAAGCACGUCUUUUUCUGGUCCAUUUUGUCGUGGAUGAUGCAGAGGUAAGAGUCAGGUCUCUCCAUGGAGAGAAUCCUGUUAUGAUAAUAUGCAGUCCUGCAGCUUCUCUGCUCGAUGUUGUGGUCGAGCCGCCUUCUAACCAACGUCUCUCGCUCUUGAGCGAUGCAAGAAUUCUUCGACAAAGCCAUUUUGAUAGCAGUGCACUCGUCACACUUUGAAAAGCUGGAGUACUUUCCUAUACUCACAUCCCUGAACCUGUUGCUCCACAAUCUACUAAAUCUAGAUUGGCUCAGCUUCCUGUAGCCAUUACUCUGGAGUUCCCGAUUCACAUCUUCCAAUAUGGCCCCCUUGGUAUACAUGGAAGGGAGAACUCGUUGGGUGUCUCGUGUUCCAUCUUCCAAGAGGCGGGUUUUAUGUGGUUGCUGCUCGCUACAUGUCUCGACAAACCUCUUGAAGAUUGCCUCUCCAUAUACAACAUGACCCCUAGUUUUGUGCGUACCGUCGUUCCCAUGGACUGCCUGUUGAACCCUUUGUUUCUCGAACUCAGUUUUGAUUUUGUAGAAUGUGGUUCGAGGGACUCCAUAAAUGAUUCUCCAUGCCUUCAUGCAGACCAAACCCCUCUGGAAGACCAUGCCCCCCACCUGAUGUUCUAAAGCAUCAACAGAUGACCGUAAUGCCUUAUACACAAAAUUACGAGCUGCCUUCCAGGACAAUGUCUUGUAUCUUGCUCUCUCCUCUUCAAUAGCAUCCCAAUCAGCAUGUUGACAGCACCUCCUCUUGCAACAAGCAACUGUCGAGACCAUUCGAACCUCCAUCGCCAUUUUCUGCCUUUUCGGUUCGUUGCUCAGAUCCCUUUGGCUGCGCUUUAGGAAGGUGUACUUUCUUUUCCCAUGAAGAGAUGUUCUGUCAUCAGUUGUAGUGGUGUUUGAUUGUGAAUCCUUCACAUUCUCAAACACUAAGUGCCUCAAUUUCCACCGCACAAUGCUUCCAAUAGUCAGACUAUUUUCUUCUGUGUCAACAACCUCUAUAAUCGCAACUCCAAUAUCAUCCUAGCCCAAUUCUUGAUUAGCAACCACAUCUCUUGGAUCGACAACUGUGGCUAAGCCCUCAGCUACCACCUCCCCCUCGGGGUUGUUUAGAAACACCUUUGCCUGAAUCCAUGUAGCACGGUUCUUAAGAUCCACGGAGGGAACAUGCAUCACACUUGCGUUGUCCCCAACAUCUGCUUUCUUCUGAAGAUUUUUCAAGGCAACAACAACAUUUACCUCGACGACCAUCUCUCCUCGUUCAAUAACGACCACAUUCCCAUCGAAGACAGUCUCUACUGAUACAGCAGCAUUGCCUUCCCCAAGCCUUUGACAGUGUAUAACAAAGUUCCGAUCCAUAGACACAAGGGUCGCUUUUGCAACUCUCUUCCCACCAUUCAAAAUGUAAACCUUUUCCCCAACCCUGAAGGCCAUUCUGAAAGUGCAGAAAAGAAGUUAAGACCAUACAAAAAAUGAUUGAAGAAUGGCCUAAAUCAUAACAUACCAAACAACCUCAAUAGCAUGAGGCCACAUGCCAUUAUUCAAACAUGCUAUUGACACCCACGUGAAAUUUCGCAUUCACAAAAUUGGCAUGAGCCCUCAUGCCAUUAGUGGUACCACUAAUGGCAUGAGGCCUCACGCUAUCUUUGGCCAAAGAUGGCAUAAGACGCUAUCUAGCAGGGGCCAAAGAUGGCAUGAGGCCUCAUGCCAUCUUGAUAAACACACAGCUACAGGCAGGUAAAGAAACUAUUGGCAAUAUGCUAGUGAUGAACUUGCAAGCCCCAAGAUGGCAUGAAGUGGUACCGUAGCGCUGCUCGCACCACCGCAACUGCUCGUAGCGCCGCUCGCACAAACUGCCACUCGCAUAAAUUGCCGCUCGCAAUGGCACUCGCAAUGCCGCAACCGCUCGUAGACGCAUAAACCACAGCUCACAACGCCGCUUACACAAGCAGCGCUCACUGCGCUCAGCGGAACCAAGAACACGGCACACAAAAAUGAUAGACCUAGGAAUGAGUUCGAGAAUUCAAAAAUAACACACACUUGAACGUCACAUCAAAUCCUCUGACAAACCAAAUCUUAUGAUUCCUCUGACAAAUUUCAAACUGAGUAGCUUCUAGACUUUGCUGUCGGAGGUUGAACUUUGUCACAUCAUGUCCUUGCCUCGAUCCAGCUGUGCCAUGUCAGUGAUUCGAACUUUGCCAUGCCAUGUCAGCGAUCCGCGCCAAGAUUAUUCACCGUGUAAAGGAAUAAUUAUGCUGUGUGUGUAUGUCCAUUUAUGGCAAUAUAAGGCCACACACCAUUCAAAGAAUAAUGCUAGUCGAGCAUUUUUUGGUGCAUUUUUGGGUUCAAAAUUGCAUGAGCCCACACGCUAUAAAGUUUACCUGUACCAAAAAUAAAAACAGCUUUAUUUACUUGGGAAUUUAAGUGGUUGAGGCAUUUUUAAACUUACAAACACAUGCCCUACUUACAUUCCUUUGGUUGCUUAAAAUUCAAAAAUAUUAUAAACCUUUCUUUUUGCAUUUUCAAUGUUUUCAAUUAUGGUUUUUGAUUUUCGCAAGACCAGCCUAGUAAUCUAUUUGCAUCCCGUCAUGUUUAUAGCUAGCUUUCGUUUGUUCCCUUCGCUAGCCUGAGAUACAUCUGCUCGGCAUCUGCCUCUUACAGCAUUUGCCCAGAAAGGGCAUCUUUCUUCACGCAGCAUUUUGUUUAGGGUUUAGGGUUUAGCAAUUCAAUAGCUUGAUAAACAUGCAAAUACAAAACUUAAUGCAAAAUCCUUUGAUAUGUCACAAUGCCCCUAGGACCAUAAACACAUUUCAAUAGAGAGGGUCCUUUCAUUUCAUAACUCCUUACGUAGAUCUUGGUGAAACCAGAGUUAGUGAAGUUGGUUUCUUGUGAUCCCGCAUCUGAUUGUGAUGUCCCUUUGCAGUGUCGAUGGAAAGGUCAAUGCACACCAAACUAUAGAAUCUUGGAGCAAAAUAACGGUCAGAUCUAUGGCAAAUGCCCCUGAAACAUUGUAAGGCUCGUGUGGUCUCAUGUGGUGUCCGAUCGAGAUGCUUCUUUGCAGGGUCAUCAAAAAGGACAUUGUAUACCAUUCUUUAUUUAGCUGAACAUCUGGCAUUUUUGGAAAUACAAGAUGCUUUGGAAUAUCCAAUCAUGCAUGGUAUAAAUAUAGCAAGGGUAUUAAAUGAUAUCCCAAUCAUGAUCUUUCUUUUGGAUUUCACGUGCAUGCAGUCCGAGGAAUGAUGACGUUGCGGAUUUCUUUUGGAUUUCACGUGCAUGCAUGCGUGCGGCGAUCCAGAAAUUAAUGGUGGCGCCCAAGUCCGAGGAAUGAUGACGUUGCGGGAUUACCAACCGUCGUGACAUUUCACGCGUGUGAGGUUAGGUUUUGCAUUUUGCUUCGUACUCGCGCUCGCACACUCGCGCUCCCACUCGCGAUCACACUCACAUUCGCGCUCAUCUACCUUCUCUACAAGUUUCUCGUGUGCAUCGGCGUCCACUCGCGCUUGCAUCACACUCGCGCUCGCAUCGCACUCGUGUGCAUCGGCGUCCACUUCAAGACACACCCAGUUUGUAACUUCGCCGCCAACUCCGCCGCCCACUCCGCCACCCACACGCAGCCCACUUGGCGUCCCGGGAGAUUUCAGCGCCACUCUCCAACUGUAAGUGGCAGAGUAGCCUUGUUGCUACGAUCCGCUGCACACACAGUGCACAUUCGCCAGCGAGUCCGGCCUCGAUUGUCACGCCUCCAUUCGACUUCAAAUGGUAAGUCUUUUAGGCCAAGUAGAAAAUGGCAUGAGGCCACAUGCCAUUCAGUAGCAACAUUGGCAUGCACCGAUUGGGCUCUCGAGUGCAGUCCGGUUACAGAUGGCGUGUAGCCUCACGCCAUCUUAGGAUGCAGCCUCAAGACAUCUGAUGCAGUGGUGAAUGGCGUGUGGCCUCACGUUAUUUCCAGCUGCUAGCUUUUCAUCUGUUAGCUCUAAUUGUUGUGCAUUUUUUAACAGGCGAGGAAUUGCGUUCUUCUUCCAGCCACUGUCAAUGUGGAUGCAGAGAAGGGGGAGGAGCUCACCAGUUGGACUUUCGGGAUGGAAGGCGAGGAUCUGAGGCUGUACAACACAGAUGGUGGGAGAAAAGAAUGCAUGGGGAUCCUCAUCCAAGUGACAGACACUCCAUGCAGUUCCAUGCAAGAAUAUGGACUGGCACUUGUGGUAGAGACAACGUCUGCCUUCAAGAUCCACCUUGCACAUCCUAGCGGCUUCCCGGAGGGGGGCAGCGGCUAUGAGGAAUUCCUAGAGGGAGCUAGGGAGAGGUUGUCUAGGAGGCCCACAAUUUCAAAGACGUUGCGGGUCUAUGAAGAUCACAUGGAAUCCACGGACCUCACCUACGGCGAUGUUCAAAAACUAUAUUCCAACAUUGAGCCGUUGAGAGUGACUCCAGUUCACGAAGCAAAGGGGAAGGGGGUCGAUCUGGAAACUCUGGGUUUAACUGAAGAAGCCACAAAAACCAGGACAAGGACGUGCGCUAGCAACUAGCGUCUGGCAGGUAAGCCUCAUUGCAUGUGGCAUAGCAUGUGGCCUCACGCCAUUUCCAUUGCAGGAAUUCUCGAGUCUUCUCUCAAAAACACUGGGGGUCAAUGACACACUCAGCAUCCAUAACAUUCUACUCGCGACAAAAGUUGUUUUUGACAAAUGGGUAGAUGUGCUGAGGAGGUACCAUGACGGGGAGUUGCUAAACUUAAUGGGUGUGGAGGACAGCCGGAAGCCCAAUGAUUUGAAGCUCAACACUUUGCGUUUCUCGCGGUCUCUAGACAACGAUGACCUUCUGACAGUGGCUAAUGCUCUUCUACGUGGUGAGGUAGUCUUCAACAAGACCAAAAUGACUCCUGGCCAUAUUGUGACAUACGAGGACUUGUGCACGACUCUGAGAGCUCGUGCGCUAUUGAAGGAUUGGAUCUUCGAGCAAGUGGCCGUGGAGAGGGUGAGCAUCGACACCACGCAAGAGAUGAUAGAAGAGCUGGAGUUAUCAAAUGAAGACAUCAACGAGUACGUGAAGGGGGCCCCCAAGUUCAUCGAUCUGCUGCGGGAUGCCACGAAAAGUAAAGCUAAGAAGUUGGAUCAAUAUCCAAAUUUCAUUAAGAGGGAUGUCGACCGCCAGCUUCAGAAACAGCUCGACCCCGCAGUAGAGGCCUAUCGAGAACCUUACCGGGUAUACGUGAAUUCGGAUGAGGAUCAAAGGUGGAGGAGCAUCGUUUCCCGCGGAGAUGAGCAGGUCAAGAACAUCUUUUGUGUGAUGGACUUCACAAACGAGGAGAUCACUCAUGCAGACAAAGUCAGCUCCAUCAUUGACUUAAUGGUGGGACUUGCGGAGGUGGAAUCUUCAGUCCACUAUAUGAUCUACGACUCCGAAUCCUAUCACAAGUUCUGGAAAGCCUUGAACGAGGUGAAGGCUCGGUUGAAAGGCAAGGAGAUGCGGGAGAUCCAUGGGAUAAUGGCUAAGAAGAAGAUACCGACGAAUGUCCGCAUCUUCACACUCGCCUUUGUUAUUGGUCCUGCAGCAGAGUGGGACUAGAGUGACUUCCCAGCUUCGUUCGACAAGGCCGAUUGAAUUGAUCUGAGGGAGGUCAAUUUACCCGUGCCUGAGGAACUGAAGACGGCUAUGGAGCUUUCGAAUCCAGAGAAAGCUCCAGGUGCAGCAUGGGAAAUGCUCAGCUGGGUCUUCAACGCAAUAGCGGGUGGGUCACCUGCUUCCGACUCCAAGGGCAAAUGCGUUGUCGAGUACAACUGCGGCGGACUAUUCUUUCGAGCCGCACUACUCAAGGGUGUCCCGUGUGUUACGGUGACAAACUCCAUUGAAGAGGUGACUUCAAUGGAGCAUAUAAUUACAGUUGCCAAAGAAAAACAGUAUCUUCUCUGCGAACCUGGUGAGUACGCACUUUAAGUUUAAAUGUUAUCUCACAAGCUCUGUAUGCAGGAGCGUGGCCACCCCCAGAUGCUGAAACGGCGUUAACAGCUACUGUUGAAGAUACCCAUGUUGGGCCGAGCUCACAACCUGCACAAGGUAAGGUCACGUGAGGCCUCACGCCAUUUUGAUUAUAGAUCGUUGUGAAUAUUCAGACACGAGGACUGAAAAGCGCAUUGGUGGCGCGUCGAAGAAGGACAAACAGACAAACAAUAGGAAAAAAGGAGGUACAAAUUAUAUUUGCAAUGGCGUGUGGUCUCAUGCCAUUCCUUGCAGGAGACACUUCUUCAAAGGCAAAACAGACAAGCACCAGCCAAGUACAACAGACGAGAGGUACCAAUCAUUUUUGUUAUACGUGAAUUCUCAUGCCAUUGCUUCUUGCAGCUCAAAUUCCAAAGAGACUAGGGCAAGCAGCGUAGACCUCACGACAAGAACCUGAAGGUUUGAUGGCAUGCAAUUAACUAAUGUUCUUGCAGAUCGCGUCGAGGAAAUCGAACGGAACAACGUGCCUCCAGUGGAGGAGGGGGAAGCCUCGGAGAGUGAUAAGGAGAGUUCCGAAAUAGGUACGAUCAUGACAUAUGGCCCCAUGCACUUAUCUAAGUUUGUAUUUCAGGGGAACGAGUUGAACCAAUGGAAAACUUUAUGAAAGGUAACUUAAAAAUAUUAUGGGAUGUUGCAUGUGUUGAUGCAAUAAUAUACAGUUCAAGUGCCAAGGAGACGUCGUGAACCUCGAAUUAGGCUACCUGCAAAACAGCUUUCAGACGCUGUAGACAAAGAGAUGGACAACCGACCAGGGCAGAGGAGGAAGGGUAAAAGCAUUUGUGUGCUUAUCGCGUAUGUCCUCAUGCUAUUUCUGUAGAACGGGCGCAUAAGAAACGAAAGCGAAAGGGAAUUGAGGAGCAGGCACCUGAGGAUGCGGAAGGCACGACAGAGCCUCCAAGGAUGGGAAGUAAAGCGUCAUGGUUAUUGCGUGGGUCCUCAUGCCAUUUCUUGCAGAUCAAGCUCAAACUGACAGUGGUCAUAAAAAGUGAAAGCACGUUGGACAGUCGUCGGGAUCAGAGGCGUUUGAUUCGAAAAGGAAGAAAGGCAAUGAAAAAAUGAUAGGUAAUGCCUCGCAGUUAUGGCGUGUGUGCUCAUGCCAUUCAUUGCAGAUCAAGGGCUGAGUGAAAGCAGCCAGUCACCACCUCCUGACUCAGAUUCCUAUGGCAGACUCCCCUUCCCCAAUCUCAAUGGAGAGGUACAAUGGAUGAGGGAUGUUUUUCAAGUCAGGGCCAUGUUUUUCUCAUCUCGUCGUCUUCGAAGGGUGCAAGAACGUGUAGAAACCAUGUUAAGACAGUCGGGUGAGGAUACGGUCCUAGGUCACGCACUAAAACAGGCUAUGGAUGUCUUGUAUUUUGAGAUGGAGACUCAGCCAGAUGAUUUUCCCAAGAUGGUCCUGGAAGAACAAGCCAUCCAGCCUGAGCAGCCUAUGGAAGAAAUGCAAGAGGGGGAUGAGGAGCCAGAGAAAGAUAAUGAGCAGGAAGAGCAGAAGGACGAAGAGGAAGACAAAGAAGAGGAGGAUGAAGAAGAGGAGGACGAAGAGGACUUGGAUGGUCCUCACAAUGGUGACGAUCACAAUAACGACGACGACGAUGAUGACGAUGAUGGCCAGCCUGAGGUGGCCAAAGAGCAACGGAGGAAAGUCAUACAAGACAAACCAUCAGGUAAAUAAUAGUACAUCCAUUCCUAACCUUUUACCAUUUCUAACAUUGUCCAUGUAGGUCGCAGAGCAAAUGGUAAGUAGAGAUUAUUCAGUUGAAUUAAGAUACAAACUCUAGCCUUUAGUGUCGAGGAAGGAUAGUGCCAAGCAAGGGUCGAAACGUAUGUCCAAUCCUUCAGAAUCAGCAGUGCGCCCAAGUGAUAUUGGUCCUAGUUCCUCAAUAGCAGUUGAUGGUAAAUACAGUAUAGUCGAUUCAAUGUGCUAAUGAGUUUGUUUUUAGUAGCACGGGAGGAUACCAUCUCCAUCGAAGGGAGAUAUUUGGACAUGCAUAUGGAUCCGCCAGUGGACUCUACUUGCCUGCAAGAGUCAUCAGAGCUGGUGAAGGCUACUAUCCAUAUCAACGCCAAGCAAGCUGACCACGCUCCACUUGAUGCUGCCCAUACCACUGAGUCAAUCUUGUCCACGUAUCCAACUGACGGUGACCAGGCGCCAUUGGACCCGCAUGAGGCCGCCCCAGCCGCCGAGCCGGUCAUAUCCUCAUUUCCAACGGACUCAACGUGUGCCCAAUCGUCUAACUACGCGCCGUUGGAACCUCCCUACACCGCCCCUGCUGCCUGUUCGGUCAUGUCCACUUUCCCAACGGAGGCACCAGCUGAAAUGGCAUGUGAUCACACACCAUCGGAACCACCCCAUGCCACUGUUGAGCCAGUUGUACCAGAGUCUACAGCUGAAAUGGCAUGUGCCCACACGCCAUCGGAUGCGAUUGACCCCACAUUGCAGAGGAGAGUAUUUCCGCCCUUCAUAUUUCCUUGACCAAAACCCUCUCAAUGACCAUCGGGAGCACCAUUCGCUAAUAUUGUAGAUGGUAAAAUUGACUUGUACCAUUUUUUAUGCUGACGCAUUUCAUUUCAAAGUCACGGCGAAGGUACUGUAUCGUUUUUGAUCUGAACGGUGUCCUUUUCUCCCAUGAGCGUGGCUCGUCCUCGAAUGUCACUGCACCCUCCAAAGCCUGCGGUCGCAAGUUGGUCAAAAGAGAUAGAUUCACAUUAAUCACACGGGACAAACUGCGGGAUCUAAUAAUGACCAUGCGACACUUAAAACAAAGGGCCGGGUUCAAUUUGCAAUUGGGAGUUUGGACAUCCAUGAUGCGCCACAAUGCAUUAACGUUGCUACAGAUGAUGCACGAUCAGACGCGAGUAAUAUUACCAUUUGACUUUCUCCUAACGCAGGAGGAUUGCUUGACUAUGGUCCAUGUGAGGGGUAGCAAGCCCAUCUUCGUCAAGCCAGAGGCUGUAGUGAUGAACCGGACUGCUAGGUCAAGUGAAAUCCUCAUCAUCGAUGACUCACCAAUUAAAACUGCAGCGAACACGCACACAUAUGCAGUGCACCCCAUCUCUUGCAAUAUGGAAACUAGGGAGAAGAAACUGUAUGUUCUGGGGGACCUUGCAAAACGGCUUGGAGCGAUGGUGAUAGAGAACCGGCCAGUCCAGGAGGUGGCUGCAGAAAUCAACCAAAUGGCAGAUGGAAUGGUAUAUUAGAAACCAUUUGAUCGGACAGACACCAGUCAUCAUUUAUGGCAUGUAUAUUGUCUAGUCAAGCACUAUCCGCAUCUCCAUAAUCUGCUCAACCGGAUGGAUUCUUCGACCACUGAACAUGAGCGUGGACGUAUUAGAGAAGAGAUGGCAUUACUAUUGGGUUUAAAUCUUGAUAGUGUGGAGAGUGAUGAAAUUCCAAGAUUAUUGUAUAGGUGUUGGAGGCAAAAAAUAACAAUCUGAGAUGGCAUGUAUUUAUUUAAAAAUGUAACUUAUUAUGGCAUGGGGUUCCAUGCCAUUGUAUUAAUAUUAAAAGACAAUUCUUUGAGAGGAUUUGCAUUAUACUAGAAGUGUUACAGCAUGUUAUUGGAAGUUUACGAAGUUGUUUUAUUAAUAAGGGGAAAGUAAAGAUUGAAUGGGGACUUGGGCUCCACCUAGACUCGGAGCAACUGAGCCAAUAUUAAAAGGAUGGAAAGAAAUUAGACGACGAUGACAAGGAGAAGAGAGAGGUGAAGCAGUGGCAGGGGGAGGAGAAGUGAUUGAGUAGACAUUUCCUUGUUUAAAAUAAAAUGGCAUGUGCCUCAAUGCAGUUGAAUUUUGUUAUAUUUAUAUACUAUAUAAAGGUUUGGAAACCUUAUUUUACAAGUGGGAUAAUGACAAUUCCCACUUUAACGAAAUAGAGCUUUAAUGAGCAUCGCCAAUUCCGGGAAUAUAAGGUGGGUGAUCUCGUCUUCGUGCAAGUGAUCUUUCCGUCAAGUGAGUGGCGGAACACCUUGGUGCCUUUACGGAUAGGGAAGAGUGAUAAACUCUCCCAUCGAUAUGCUAGUCCAUAUGAAGUGCUGGAGCGCAUUGGUAAAACGGCUUAUCGGGUGCGGCUGCCAGCUGGGGUGAAAAUUCAUCUGGUAUUUUAUGUCAGCCAGUUGAAAGGUGUACUAUCUCGGAGUGACGGGCCCAAUGCCUCCUUAAUGUAUACGGCUGUGGAAGAUGGACCAGGAGCUUGAGCAGGAUUCCCUAGAAAGGGUGAUCACCAGUACAACUCAUCCUUGGGACAAGGACUUUGUUGGGGGGGAAGAAUUGUUAGGCGCCAGCUUUGACUACGUGGUCAACGUCGGUCAAAGGGAGGCUCAAGGGUAUAUUAAGGCAUGUUAGGGUAAGGGACUUAACCUACCCUAGGGCUCACAGUGGAGCGGCGGUGCAGUGGAGCUUUUGAGGUAGCUCGGGGGUGGUUGGGUGGUGAGGAACCUCAAGAGGUGGCGUAGCAUAGUCUAGGGCAACUAGAUCUUUGUCUUUUUGCACCGGAUCAUAACAUUAAAGGCCAUAUUUUUUAUUUUUAAGGGAAUUAUUUUAAGUUUAUUAGAAAUGAGGUAUGCAAUUCCUUUCUUUGUAUUUAGUUUUAUAUGGUUUAUUAUUUUUAGCUCAAAGUUAUAGGAAACACCAUCUACUUCUUUUGCCCAUAGAAAAAUUCUUCCUUCUAAUCUCAGAUAUUUUACAUCAUUGUCUUUUAUUUGAGUUUCACCACAACACAAAUUUAACCUUUGAAUACAAGCUCCAUGACAAACUACUUCAACUAAGACAUAUAAAUAAUUUUCCAGUUUAUCAACCAAAAGGCAAUAUUAUAAGUAAUGGUUUAACACCAUCCAUCUAUUAUCCAUCAUAAAAUUCAACUUUUAUAACAAUAUAAGAGUGAUGAAUGGUCUUUGAGCUUUGAUAACCAUCGGUUGGGGUACUAUGGAUCAUCUCCCCUCGACACCGACAAUGUAGAAUCAAUAUAUAUUGGCAAGAAUCACCCUGAGUGAAAAAGAACCUUUAGAAAAAAAGAUAGAAAGUUGAAUGAUACAUUAUCUUAAUUGAUCCAAAAGAUGAAUUUAAAUCCUAAAAUCUAUAGCUCUGCCAAAACUUACUGUUGUGCUAGAAUUCCUUGAUCAUUGAUAAAAUUCCUUCAAACCAUUCAUUUCAUUUUCUCCACAAGCGAAGGUAUUUAUAGUAAGACGAUACACUUGAUAUUAGUAAAUUCAGCUGCUUAGCUAAUGGAAAAUUAUGAAACAUAAAGUUACCUUCAUUGUAAUGGUACCUUGACAUGGAUACCAUUCUAUCUCAAUAAUAGUCUCUUUAAAGAUACACCUUCAGAAUUUUGUAGAAUGCCUUCUUAUGCAGCUAAUGAAAAGUUUUAUUCAUCCAUUGCUUGCAUUUGGAUGAUAGUCCUCUCAAAUUUAAGUUUUCUACUUAGCUCCUUUAACUCCUAGUGUGUUGCUGUGGCUCUAUCAAACUUUGGAACAUAAUCUAAAAUUAAAGCUCUUUCCUUUAACUCCUAGUGUCUUGUUAUGACUUCACCAAACUUUGGAUCAUAAUCUAAAUUUAAGGCUCCAUCUAGCUCAAAUUAAAGCUUUAUGCCCAGUUGGUCUCACUCCCCAUGUGUUGCUAUGGCUUUCCCAACCUCUAGAUCAUAAUCUGAAUUUAAGGCUUCACUUAGCUCAGAUUGAAGCUCUUCACAGAACUCCUCUAACUCCCUAUGUGUUAUUGCUACUUCACAAUUUGAUAUUAGAUUUGCUAUUGUGAUUAAUUCUCCAUCAUGAUCUUCCACCUAGAUCGCAACCACUAUUGCUUCUAAUUCACAAUCUACAAAACUCACUAGAUCUUGACAACAAUGUUGGCACCAAAAUCAAUUAGACAGAAAGUGUCCUCCAGAUGUGCUGGAGAGCCACAUCAAGCACAUCUACAGAUCUUCUGAAUUUUAGGGCAAAAUACUACAGUGUAGUCAAUAUAAUCAAAAUUACAAAAUCAUAGUCAGUUUAUAUACUGUCUGGCAAUUUCAUUAGUUCCUAUUUUGCUUCCAGAAAGAUCACGAAAAACAAUCAAGCAAAAGAAAGAAAUAAACUAGACGCCAAUGGAUGGAACUAGUGCUAGCGUUUUAGAGAAAGAUCGCUUACCAGGAUUGCCUUGUGCACGCACACAUCCGGCCCAUCACACGCCUUGAGCGUCAACAGUGGCAAAUCGAGGGUGACCUGGUCCCAGGCACGCAGGAAUUUGGCCUGGCACGCCACCGCUUGGAGGCGGCGCUCCUUGUCCCGGAGGUGCUGCUGCGCUCCCCACCAGCGACUCCAACCUGAGAGGAGCCUCUUGCAAAGCA